rnacentral:lncRNA from 1 species
UAUAUAGAGCUAGGCUGGUAUACUAUCGGUACUACCAAGUUGUUUUCAAUAAUGCCGCUUCCAAAUCGACGAUCGGCUCCAUUAGACUUGAUCUAUACUAUUUAAAGUAUUUGGAAGCUAAAUUUCAUAAUUUUUCGGCAUCAUUUUCCUAUCAAACGAGUAGUCUAAAAAUGAACGGCUGAAAAUAAAAAUCUCAUAAAAAAUGAUGAUAAAAGACUUGAAUUUAAUAUCAGAGGUACUGAUCUUACUCUAAAUAGUGAAAAAAAUUUUCUAUAAAAAUUUCAUCAGAUUUGGAUUAUUUUACACCGUUAAAUUCACAAACGCGUCACAUCAACCCUUAAAAUUGUCAAUUUUGAGACCUUUUGAUUACUAGCCAAACGAUGUCAAAAAAUUAUAUGGUUUCCAAAGACUUUUAAUAGUGUAGAUCAAGUCUAACGGAGUCGAUUGUCGAUUUGGAAGCGGCAUUAUUGAAAACAACUUGAUAGCACGGAGGCCUUCGUGCUAUUGAUAGUAUACCAGCCUAGCUCUCUCUCUCUCUCUCUCUCUCUCUCUCUCUAUAUAUAUAUAUAUAUAUAUAUAUAUAUAUAUAUAUAGAGUGAGCUGGUAUGCUUCUGGAAGCAUGGAGCCUUCCGUGCUUCCAAACCGUUUUCGAUGUUGGGACUUUCGAAUCGACGAUCAGCUCCGUUAAACUUGAUCUAGAGUAUUUGAAGUACCUAGAAAAUAAAUUUUGUGAUUUUUCGAUAUCAUUUGCCUGGUGAUUGAAGGGACUCAAAAUCAAUAAUUUUAAUGGCCGUGGUGAGCUGUUUGCAUGUUUAACGGUAUAGAAAUAUCUAAAUUACGUGAAAUUUUGAUAGAAAAUUCUUUAUACUAUAUAAAACAAGAUCAAUAUUUUUUAUCUAAAAUUUUAGGUAUCGUUUGGUUUAGGUAUAAGCAAGAACUAGCUAUUACAGGGAUAGGUACAAGUAUGGGGAUAAGAAAAAUAGCAUUUGGAUGAAAAUUGGGUUGUUUCUGGGGAUAAGAAAAAUAGCGUUGGAUAGAUAAUAUGGAAUAAAAAAAAUAUUAGGUAGUUUUAUAUAGAAAAUGGAGGUGUUGGUGGGGAUAGUUAUAACCGUUUAUUAUAGGUAACCGAGAAUUAUUGUUCUCGGGUAAAAAAUUAGUGUUUGGGUAUAAAGGGGGGAUAAGGGCAUAUCCCUAUCCCUAUCCCCUAACCAAACACUGCCUUAAUGUCAUAUCAUCAUAUUUUGUAAGAUUUUUAUUUUCAGCCGUUGAUUUUGAGCCACUUCGAUCACUAGGCAAAUGAUAUCAAAAAAUCGCAAAAUUUAUUUUCUAGAUACUUAAAAUACUCUAGAUCAAGUCUAACGGAGCUGAUCGUCGAUUCAAAAGUCCCAACAUCGAAAGCGACUUGGAAGCACGGAGCGCUCCAUGCUGGAAUACCAGGCGCACUCUAUAUAUAUAUAUAUAUAUAUAUAUAUAUAUAUUCUCUUGAAGAUGAUGCUGUUAUAUAUUGAUUCUAUCGUGGUUAACAUUCCUUAGGGUGCAUUUGGUUCGCACUAUCUUAUCUAGAUAUCCAGAAAUCUAGUAUAUAUUAUAGCAUUUGGAAUUCUAGUUAAUAUUCUGGUUAGAAACCUUUUAUUCCGAAUGGAAUAAAAUUUACUCCAAAAAGGGUAAUGUUAUUAACGGAAUGAGAGAGGGGUAAGUAUCUCACAUUUCUAAAUGCUUGUAAUCUGAGAUGGUUUUCCAAAUUCCUAAACUACCCUCAUGAAAUCUUGAAACCUAUUAUUUAUUUAAAUUUUAGUUUGAAAAUAAAUUUAAAUGCAAAUUUAAAUUAAAAUUUAAAGUAAAAUUCUUUAAGUUUUUUGAAUCCAAGAAUCAAAUUCUCAUUUUAAUUCACAAUUUAGAUGUAGAAUUUAAAUUUUGAAUAUUAAAUUGGAAUUUAAGAGUCAACGCACAUUUUGAAUUCAACAUUUGAACUCAAAAGAAAACAUUGAGUUUAAUGUUUUAUUUUAAAUACAUUUCGUAAUUAAAUCACUAGAAGCCCUUUGAAUUUAAAAAUGCUUCAAAUAAAUUUCGUUUUAAUUAAUCACUAGAAGCCUUGUGAAUUUAAAAAUUGAACUCAAAUUUGAACUGAAGCUUUAAACAUACAUUUCAAAUUGUACAUUGAUCUCAAAGUUUAAGUUUGAGUUUAAACAUAUAUUGUUUAGUUAAAUCAUUCAAAAUCCUUUGAAUUUUGAUAAUUAAACUCAAAUCUGAAUUCAAGAGUUAAAUAUAUGAUACAACUUGAAUUCAAUGUUGGAGCUCCAAAUUUGAGUUUAAUUUAUUUUAUGCAAAUAUAUUUAAAUUUUAAUUAAAUCACUAUAAAUCCUUUGAUAUUGGAAACUAAACUCAAAUUUGAGUAUAAUUUGGACAUAAAAUUUAAUUUAUAAUAUAAAAUUAAAUUUAAAUUUUUAUUCAGAUAAAUAUUUUAGUUAGAUAAAUAUUUCAAAAUUCAAAUAAAAAAAGGGGCUUAAAAACAAAUUGAAAUAUUAAGCCAGCAACAUAUAUAACGAGUUUAAGCUUGACUUUUUUUUAAAAAAAUUUCAAAAUCAAAAUUUUGAUUUAUAUAUUAAUUUUAUUUUAUAUUCUAAUGGUAAAUAAUGCCUUUAUGAAUAAAUAAAGUUCUUUCUGUCGAAAAUUUCUGGAAAAUUACAUAUAUCAUUAUCUAAAUUAUAGGAAAUCUAAUGGUUAAAUUAAACACAAUAAUUUUAUACUCCUGAUAAUUUAAGAUAAGACUAGAGCAUGAAUGAAACGCGAGAAAACUACAUUCCCACUAAUCUACUUACUGGAAAUGAUUUCCUUUAAUCUGAUAAUUCUUGGGAAUUCUUUGUUACGUGAACCGAAUGCAGCAUUAACUGAAUUAGAUGGAAGUAGGCACCAAGAUCAGUAGAUUGUAAGAGGUUAUGCAACAUGCUCGGUAUGAGUCACACCCAUGUUAGAGAAGCACUCUGUACUGCAAAAUGUUUUUACAACAUUUUGAAACUAUUUUUUAAGGCAACCUAACAAUCUAGAUUGAUAGAGAUGCAAUGAUGAUAUUCUGCAGAUUCCAACACAUUAGCGUACAAUAGGAACCUCUACAUUCUGACUAAAUUUUUAUCUGAUUACUCGGUAAGAAGAUUCGAGGAUCCACAUUUAAGCUGAUAAUACUCCUAUACAGCUAUACUUCAUUAUCAGAUGUUUCAGAUUACAUAGAUUUUGUUUUUUCUUCCAGUCUUGCACAAGAAUCUUAUGCUGUAUCAAAUAGAGCUUUCCUAGUCCCAUAUGCUAGUUUUUCACAGUACAAUUACGAAAUUUGGUGUAGAUUGAAAUGUUAACAAACCAGCGAGUAGUUCUCUUUGAUAGUGGUCUACUUUAGGAGGUGGUCUGGGUAAGACCUAUUGCCAAUCUAGAUGAACAUCAAAAGGGUGAUGUUACUUACUUUGUUAUUCUAGUAUACAAAACCAAAAUGUCUAGUCUACAAAACGAAAAUGGCUAUCUUAUGCAAGAUGCUCAAGUCUGCUUAAAGCAUGAGCCUGAGCCUGUUCUUGUGUCUAGACAAUAUCCUGGUGAUUGACAUAAUUAGACAUUUUCUAUUCACUCCCUGCAUCUGAUAACUAUCUCCUUGUUCUAAACUUGUAUUGCUUACCGUCGUUCAGUUAUUAUCUGUGGACCCAACAUAAUUUUUUUUUCUUUUUCUCGGCAUGCUUGCGAAGUGUGACGUUAAUGGGAAAAAGACUCUGGAUAUGUCCACUGCCGUGUCCUUAUUGAAGGGUGAAAAAAAGAACUUGCGUAGAAAAGAAAAACGUGCAAGGAUAGAACAAAUCAGGGUUACUCUUGGUCUUUCAGACUCUCAGAGGACCCCUACGGUAAUUUUCUAUUUAAUUUUUUUUUCCCUUUUUUCAAGAUUUCUUAUAUAUAAUUUUUGAGCUGCCACUAUUUAGAAGUUGCCGUAGUAAACUAUAUUCCAUUUUGCGUGCUCACUCGAGGAAAAUGCUGAAACAAUCUUGUUCAUUAAAUGCUGCUUAUCUCUGAAAACAAUAAUUGGUCAAGAAGUAAUGCUUUCUAGGACUUAAGCUGUUAUUACUGCUGAUAAAUAUGGGCAAAAUGUUUACAAGCACAUGCAGUAUCCAUAAAUAGAAUAUCAGUGCAAAAACUAUGAAGCCAAUAUAAAAAUGAGUAAACGUUAUUAGCUUGAGAAGCUUCCUGCUGGCUGCAGAUGACUUAAAACCGAAAUUAUGUGUUCCAACUAGUGGGCAUUACUUAAUCAUUGGAUUUUUUUUUUUUUGUAACCUUUAUUCACAGAAAGAUGUCAUCAUUAUCUCAAAAUGAGAUAAUUAAUCUUUCAAAUUUUGUUUUAUCAAUGGCUAGUAUGGAACAAAGGGAACUACUGUUGUUCAUUUCGUACUUUGGCUGUUUGACUAAAAAUUUUUAGAUCUUUUGGUAAUCACAAAUUCUAAGAAACUGGCUGGUUGAUUAGAAAAAUUUUAGAUCUUUGGCGAUGUUUGGUACCAUUGCCUUUUUAUUUUGGUUUUUAAUCACAUUCUAUGUAAUUGGAUGCAUGAGUGGAUGGACUUCUUGAUUUUCUGUUUUUGUUGGUGAGCUUGCAAUACACCCUGGAGGGAUGCUGAACAUCUCUUUUGGGAAAAUAAACCAGACAGAAAAAGUUGCAACUAAGUUUUUUCUUUGUUGCCAAACAAACGAGGUAAACGUACAAAUUGCAAGGAAGCAGCCAUCCACUGCUGCACUUCAUUGCAUUGGAUUUUGUGUUCUGAAAAAUGGACAAAAAAAAGCUGUAGUAUCAAAUGAGGCCUUAUUUGUCAAAAGAGUUUGUUGUUGCAUGGGCUUCAGAUAGUUCUUUUUGUAUUUUUCUGACAAUAUUGAUCGUUUAAUUCUGAUUGUAAAUUUUGUAGCCUGGAGAAACUUUGAGAGAUUUUUAUAGAAGAACAAGUAUGUACUGGCAAAUGGCUGCUCAUGAGCAUACUCAACACACUGGAAAGGUUUGUUACUCUGUUUUUUCAUCCAAAAUUCUGUACCAAUUCCUUUUUUUUCUAUUUAAUUUUGUUGACUUUUUUAUUGUUAUAUUUACCGGUAUCCCGCUAGUAAGAUACUUGGGUUAGGUUUUGGGGGUGGUUAGGUUCGAGCCCUUGCGUAGAGGGCAUAGUGAGGGGACGUUGAGGUAAAGGUAACGGUGUAAGAGGGGAGAGUUUUUUUUUUAAUGCAAAAUAUUGUAGUAUGAAUUCUUUAGAGGAGCCCUAGUAUAUAAUUCAUCCCCAAGUAGUUUGUGCCAGCCUUUUAAUUGCCCAGGUCAAUGCUCAAAAAACAAACAAGUAAAAAUGUUAUUUUACCCGAGGUUUAAAGUGCCGCUCCGUGCCGUUUAAAGUGCCACCCGGUGCCGCGGCACGUACCGUGCCACCAAAAUGAUGGCACGGUACGGGGGGGGUCUUGGACCCCCUUCCGUGCUGCAACAUGCGACGUCGUGCCGCAUGAGACAGCGGCACGACGCAGUGUGUGGCGGUACAGUGCCAUGCCGACACUUUGCUAUUUUUUUUUUGCUUUUUUUUGCUUUGUUUUGUUCUUUGGGGUAUCCGAAUCAUUCUAGGUACCCUACACCCUCCAAAAUCAAAAAUUUACUUAUUAGGUAAGUCAAAAAAAUUAUAGUUUAUUUUUUUGUUUAUCAAUAUACGGACAAAAGAUUUGUCCGAGCCCUUCGCUUCCACCACAGACAUCCAUUUUUUUCUUCCAAAAUUUUAUCAAAAUGUCGCACCGCAAAAUUUUUGGCAAAUUAAGGGAACAAUCGAACUCGAUAAACAAAUUUUGACGCACAUCAAACAUAAAAUUUCAUUUUUGUGCUAGAAGAUUGAAAAUACUGAUAAAAUUAAAAGCUAAAUUAAAUAAAUUGAUACUUAAAUUUAUUUAAUUUAUUUGUCGUAUAAUUUAUUGUUUAAUUUUUUGCCCAAUUUGCAUAAAAAAUCCACUAGUUUUUUUUGCAGAAGUGGGCUGUCUUUUUCGAUUUUGCAGAUUCGGGCCGGAUUUUCAGCCUUUUGACCAAAAUGCCCCUCGUCUACAUCCGCCUCUUUUGUAUACGGUGAGAAACGUAUAUCAUAACGUACGAUCCUGACAGGCAUUAAAUGCGCCCCUUGCGCUUUACGCAACCACACUCUCAUCGGAACCCGAACCAAAUCGGCCCCGCUAUUUGCCAGCCUCGGUGUUUGCUGUUCGGCUUUAAGAAAUUAAAUUUGCUGAAGCUACAUGAGAAAACCUACACGGCCGGCAAUAGGAAUAAUAGUGCAACGCGAAGAGAAAUGGUGCAACAACCCUUCUAACAGUGCAUCUUUCGGCUGGUAUCAGUGCAAUCUCUGCCGCUCAGAUGUGCAAUGCAGGUAUUCAACAUUCUCCCUCACGAGAGCAAUCUCCCAUUCCCCCGUAAGGAAGGCAGUCUUGUACCUAGACCAUAAGAAGCGUAGGGGAGUAUAAUCCAGCACUCUCCUUCCUUAUGGAAGCCUGGCAGUUUAUUCUAUCACUGUAUGCCGACCGCUGCAUUUGCAGAGGAGAAAUGGAAGAAGCGUCGGGAAGGGACAUGGCUUAAAGGUUAUGAACUGGAGGAGGGAUGAGGCAGAAGGAAGGAGGGGAACAAGGCGGUCACACCAGCAAACCGCUACCAAAAGGCCCAGCAAGUAUUAAUUGUAAGAGCCGCUUUCUCUUCCCGAGGAAAUAUUUGUGCAGGUGAAUAACCGGUGGAUAUUAAUUGUGCAAAUAUUUGUACCGGUCUCACUCCGCCUCACCCAUAAUCGAGUAGAACAUAUACGUUAUUGUACGACCUCUGCCGUGAGGAUUAAAUGCGACCUACGAGUGGAUACGCAACCUUCGAAAUAUCGGUAUGCGAACCAAAUCUGCCCCGCUAUUCGCCAUACUCAGUGUUCGAUGUUCGGUUCUUUGAAAUUUGGAAGAAACGUCACCGGCGACGAGAAUAUUGAUGCAAAUGGAAGUGAAAUAAUACAACAACCCUUAUAAAAGUGCAGUGCACACUUUAUAUUAGUGCAACAUUGUGGCAAACAGUGCACUAUUCGAGCAAAUAUUUUCCACGGUUGCUGUAAACGAACCAACCGAAAAAGGAAAGAUGUUCGGUCAUGUGGCAAACAGUGCACUAUUCGAGCAAAUAUUUUCCACGGUUGCUGUAAACGAACCAACCGAAAAAGGAAAGAUGUUCGGUCAUGUGGCAAACAGUGCACUAUUCGAGCAAAUAUGCUGCAAUAUUAGAUUAAAUCGUGUAAGAUCGUUCGAAAUAAAUUAAGAUUUAUUUAAAUAGAAUAAUCAUGUGGCUAUUCUGAAUACAUUUUCUCGCUGUACGCUGUUGACUGUUUGGUGUGCUAUCACGUCAGGACAUUACUGGAUUCUUACGAUGUGUGAUGAAUAGGUUGUCCCCAACGAGCAUCCCACUAACUAUCAACCGCCUUAUUGCUCCCAUUCCCCUAUUCUUACAAUUUAUGCAUUGUUUAUAACCACCAUCGUCCGCUUCGAAGCCCAAGUGGCCGUUACACUUUCAAUCUAUGUUGCUUGCAAUGGCCUCAAAGUCGUCGCAGUCUACUGAUUCUUCGUCUAACGCCGCCCGGAAGGCACUGUCGUGGCCGGUUAUCGGCGGCCCGGGCGGUAUAUUCAUUGUGAAUUCGAGGUGUUUCGUUGGAGCAUACAGGAAGACUUACGCGUCGGUCGUGAAGCCCCAUCAUCUUCCCGUCAUCCACAGUACCAUUUUCGGCAAUAUCUUAUAGUUUUUCGACAUCACCUCAGACAGGCUCAUGCUGGAGUUCAUUCUGCAACAUUGGAAGGAAGGUGUAGAAUUCGAAAUAGGCCCGCAGGUCAUAUGCUUCACGGCCCAGGAGAUUGCACUUCUGCUUGGAUUAUCCCUGUCGGGCCAAGUAUCAGAUCUAAAUCUGAAAGUUGAAUCGGAGAUUCAGAAGCGUUACCUUGAGGGGAAGAAGGUCGACCGCAAGAACCUCGAGGUAGUAUUGAAGGAGAAUGUCGCCCAAGGAGGACGAAGGCGACAUCUGCGACUUCGUCAAAUUACUCAUUCUGUAUUUUUUUUGUUGCAUUCUUUUCACAAAUACCAAUAAUAUUUGCCCAAAAGGCCUUGUUGCUAUCUUGUCGAUGAACUCUCUGGCCUGGGACGCUAUAAUUGGCCGAAGGCAGUACAUCGGCUAAUCAUCGACAGCCUAUGCUCCGCCGAAAUAAAAUUGCAAGGUAAUGUGUAGCGGGUGGGAUACGUUUUUGGAUGCACCCCUCUUCUCCCUGUAAGUGUAUAUUGUGAAAAUAGUUUUAGGUAUCUAUCAUAUUGCAAAGUAUAAAAACAUUUGCGACAGGUCGCAAGUAAUCGUGCAAAAGGACUUUGUUCUAUAUGUUAAUCGUGUAAUUUUAUGAACUAUAGCGUAAUAUUGUGCUGAUUAGUAGUGUAAUAUCGUCUUUGCAAUGAGGUGUGGAUAUAUGAGCACACUGGAUACAGAUGUCCUUUAUCUUUUUGCCGUGCAAUAUUUUCUCGUGUCCAGAUGUGGGAUACAAUUAGAUAGAUUCGGCAUUCACGGGUAUCGUCGAGAGUGAAGGAGGAUUUUAACUUCACUAGGUGCCGACGCAGGCUCGACCUCUCCCCGGAAGAAUAACGGUUGCUAGGGGUCAUGGUUGAUGUUCCACGUCGUCGGCGCCCCACCAAGAAUGAGGAACCCCCGAGUGGCUAUAAAGAGGUGAUAACAGCAAUUGUUCGUCUGGAGGGCGUGGUGUACAGUAUUGCCACCUCCGUGGUCGCCAUACUGAGCAAUCCUGCUCUUCUACCAGCACCAACAUCAUCGCCAGCGCCUGUUGGAAGUAAAGAGAGUAAAAAGAGGCACGAAAGCGUGCAAGUUCCACCCCCCACCGUCUGAAUCCUCUGGGCGCUCCUCACGACGUGUGAAGAAACGAAAGUUAGCAUCGCCCGUCUUGGCGAUGCCGGCAGAGAUCUCGGGCAAUAAGGUGAAACCCGAAUUCGGGCAAGAACGAACGCCUAGAUCGUCGAAAUCUAAAGAAGAUGGGGUCGUCACAAACUCCGCAGUCCAUCUAGAGUUCCCCAUGAGUGGCGUAAGAAGCGCACACCGGAGAAAGGCAAGCGAACUAGGAGCUCGUACCUUCUCCGACCGCUCUGGGGACGAAAGAAGAACGGCGGCGACCUGAUCGCCGACGUAUGUAACGCGCUUAUUAUUUACAUUCUCAAUAAGAGUGUGAUUCUUAUGUUACAUUCUCAAUACUAGUGUGAUUGGACCACACUGAGUUUAAUAAAAGUAUGUUUUAAUUAUUUAUUGGUGCAAAAGUUAUAGUUAUAGUGCAACAUUUAGUCAAGUAGUGUAACAUACAGCCGUAUCAAUUGUAUGCAGGUUGUGUCGCCGAGAGAGAGUGCACACCCGCGGGCGGCAAGAGAAUCGCAUCCGCGCCCGAUCAUUGUUUUUGAAGAACAAAUCGAAGAAGAUGACCGUACAAUAGUGCGUCUGUUCGCCGGCGACGUAGCAGUGGAAUGCGACUAAGUAUGUAAAUGUGUAAUUGUUGUUUAAAUAGUGUAAUUGUUAAACUAAUAGUUCAAAUGACUAUUUUUUUACACAAUUUCAACUGCAUAAUGUUGUCAUCCAAGUAUGUCACGACAUCCAACCAUUAUCUUCGCUACCAGAGGCGUCGGAACCCAUAUUGUCGGAAGUGUCGAAGUCUGGCGAAGUGGGGGCACCCGCAUCGCCGGAACUGGAGGCGGCGGCGGAACCAAUGGCGGCGCCGAUACCGGAGGCGGCGGCGGUGGAAGAGGAAAAGCCCGCCGAUGGGGCGGCACCCGCAUUGUCGAAACGGAAGGCGGUGGCGGAAGUAGUUAAGCCCACUGCGGCGGCGGAAGAAGCAAAGCCGGUCGAGGCCGCGCCACUCGUCUUGCCGGAAUGAAAAGCGGAGGCGGAAGCGCCGAAGCCCGCAGAGACGGCACGCACAACUAAACGGGUAACUGAAUGUUGCACCGGUACUUUUUAAUUAAUGCAAUAUUUCUUCUAUUUGUGUAAUAUUUAUCCACUAAUGGUUUAGUUCCCUAAAUGUUGCACUAUUUUAUUUUCCUGUGAAUAGGCGGCUGUUUUUAUCGACAACCCUCCCGACGAAUGCUCGCAAAUCGAAGAGACGCUAGGCUCGUGCCACACCGGCAUCGAAGGCUUCUACAUAAGAAGCGAAGUCCGCCAAGCCGGAACCCAACAAUACAAGGGUAUGUGAAUGUUGCAACGAUACUUUUAAAUAAUGCGAUAUUGCUUCUAAUAGUAUAAAAAAGUCCAGCAAUGGUGUAGUUCUCUAAAUGUUGCACUCUUUGAUUGAUUUAUAAACAAACCCCAGUAAUCAUCGACAUCCCCCACUCGGAAGAUACUCUUCCAAAACAAAAAAGGGCCAAAAACUACACGUCGCAAAAGCGAUGUCGACCAAGGAUUUAAAGUACUAUGGUAAGCGAGUGCUACCACAGGAGGACCAGAAGUUAAUAAAAAAAUAUUUCUUGUCAACGACACCAAAACGAUAAGCGUGCCCUCGAAAAACAUUGGCAUUGGUCAGAAGGACUUCGUCGACCUUACAAGUUACAUGGCCUUCGUCAGCUCCGAUAUUAUUGACUUCUACCAGCAUCUACUGGAGAAGGCGAAAGGCCAGAGGUGCAUAUACUCUACAAGCUUCCUUUAUCAAACCAUGGAUACAAAUUUUGGCUCAGAGAUGUUUAUGACGAAUGUGACCGAGGGGGCGAUUAGUGACGCAAAGUAUUGGUUCAUCCCGCUCUUCGACUUCGAGUACUUGCACUUGCUGGCAGUCGAUCUCCAAGAAGGAAAGUACCUCUACUUAUCGUCGAUCAAAAACGUUAAAUAUAACGCUGGGUUCGAAAAAGCGAUAAAUAUUCCCUUAAUAGUGUAAUAUUGUGCCUGGAUUAUUCUAUUAUUUUCUCUAAUUAGUGCAACAUUCCCUUAUUCAAUGUAAGUUCGUAUGAAAUUUCUUGGACAAAUUUUUCCGAUUUGUUUCGUCGCCGCGCCACCUGUCCCCUUGACUGAAAGAAGAUCAACAUAGAAAACAUCCUAAUCAAGAUAAGUCAAAUGACUGCUCUAUCUUCAUUUAGCAUACGAAGAAUACUUGCAGAAGGGGUGGAACAUUAACUUCUCCCAGAAGGAUGUGACGAAGAAACGCGACGAAAUUGCAGCAGAAUUUUUGCAGCAUUUUUACUUUGAAUGAUUUGAUUAAUUAUUUUUAAAUUUUUUUUCAAUUUUUUUCACAUUUGAGCAUUCGGUGGAUUUGUAAACAGCAAAUGUUUGGGUUUUACUGUGUAAAUACAUGACUCAAAAUUUUUCUGUAAUGGUGUAACACAACAACCAAUUACACAUAUUUGUUCAAAAUAGUGUAAGUUUGUAUAUAAAGAAGCAAAUCAAUGACUCCUUCACUCUCGACUAUCCCCGUGAACGCCGAGUCCAUCUAAUCGUAUCUCACCUCUGGAGACGAAGAAAUAUUGCACGGUGGAAAGGUAGAGAACAUUUGUACCCAGUGUGCUCAUAUAUCCACACCUGAUUGCAAAGACGAUAUUACACUACUAAUCAGCACAAUAUUACACUAUAGUUCACAAAAUUACAUGAUUAACAUAUAGAACAGAGUCUUUUUGCAUGAUUACUUGCGACCUGUCGCAAAUGUUCUUCUACUUUGCAAUAUGAGAGAUACCUGAAAAUAUUUUUACAAUAUACACUUACAGGGAGAAGAGGGGUGCAUCCAAGAACGUAUCUCACCCGCUUCACAUUAGUUUGCAAGUUUAUUGUGGCGGAGCAUAGGCUGUCGAUGAUUAGCCGACGUACUAGCGUCCCAGACCAGGGAGUUCAUCGACAAGAGCAACAAGACCUUUGGGGCAACAAAAAAAAAUACAGAAUAAGUAAUUUGACGAAGUCGCAGAUGUCGUCUUUGUCCUCCUUGGGUGACAUCUCUUUUAAUACCACCUCGAAGUUCUUGCGGUCGACUUUCUUCCUCUCAAGGUAAUGCUUCUGAAUUUUUUAUUCAACUUUCAGAUUUAGGUCUAAUACUUGGCCCGACAGGGGUAAUCCAAGUAGAACUACAACCUCCUGGGGCGUGAAGCGUAUGAUCUGCGGGCCUAUUUCGAAUUCUACACUCUUUCCAAUGUCGCAGGAUGAACUCCAGCAUGGGCCUGUCUGAGGUGAUGUCGGGAAAGUGUAAGAUAUUGCCGAAAAUGGUAUUGUGGACGACGGGAAGAUGAUAGGGCUUCACGACCGACGCAAGUCUUUCUGUACGCUCCGACGAAACACCUCGAAUUCACAAUGAAUCUACCGCCUGGGCCGCCAGUAACCGGCCACGACAGCGCCUUUCGGGCGGCGUCAGACGAAGAAUCAGUUGACUGCGACAACUUUGAGGCCAUUACAAGCAACGUAGAUUGAGAGUGUAGCGGCCACUGGGCUUCGAAGCGGGCGAUGGUGGUUAUAAACAGUGCAUAUAUUUUGAGAAUAGGGGAAUUGGAGCUAAGGCGGGUUGAUAGUUAGUGGGAUGCUCGUUGGGAACAACCUAUUCAUCACACAUCGUAAGAAUCCAGUAAUGUCCUGACGUGAUAGCACACCAAACAACCAACAGCGUACAGUGAGAAAAUAUAUUCAAAAUGGCCACAUGAUUAUUCUAUUUAAAUAAAUCUUACUAUAUUUCGAACGGUCUUACACGAUUUAAUCUAAUAUUGCAACAUAUUUGCUCGAAUAGUGCACUGUUUGCCACAUGAAUCUUCGGUCGGUUCGUUUACAGCUACUGGGGGGAAUAUUUGCUCGAAUAGUGCACUAAUAUAAAGUGUGCAUUGCACUUUUAUAAGGGUUGUUGCAUUAUUUCACUUCAAUUUGCAUCAAUAUUCCCGUCCGGUGGCGUUUUCUUCCAAAUUUCAGAGAACCGAACAGCAAACAUUAGGUAUGGCGAAUAGAGGGGCAGAUUUGGUUCGCAUACCGAUAUUUCGAAGAUUGCGUAUCCACUUACAAGUCGCAUUUAAUCCUCGCGCCAGAAGCCGUACAGUAACAUAUACGUUCUACUCGAUUAUGGGUGAGGCGGAGAGAGACCGGCACAAAUAUUUGCACAAUUAAUACCCACCGGUUAUUCACCUGCACAAAUAUUUUCUUGGGAAGGGAAAGCGGCUCUUACAAUUAAUACUUGUUGGGCUUUUUGGUAGCGGUUUGCUAGUGACCGCCUUGUUCCCCUCCUUCCUUCUGCCUCAUCCCUCCUCCAGUUCAUAACCCUGAAGCCAUGUCCCUCCCCGAUGCUUCUUCCACUUCUCCUCUGCAAACGCAACGGUCAGCAUACAGUGAUAGAAUAAACUGCCAGGCUUCAAUGUAGAGGGAGAGUGCUAGAUUAUACUCCCCUAUGCUUCUUGCGAUUUAGAUACAAGACUGCCUUAUGGGGGAGUGGGAGGUUGCUCUCGUAAGGGAGAAUGUUGAAUGCCAGCGUUGCAUAUCUGAGCGGCGGAGAUUGCACUGGUACCAGCUGAAAGAUGCACUGUUAGAAGGGUUGUUGCACCAUUUCUCUUCGUGUUGCUCCUUCGCAUUGCACUAUUAUUCCUAUUGCCGACCAUGUAGGUUUUGUCAUGUAUCUUCAGCAAAUUUAAUUUUUUAAAGCCAAACAUUAAACAUCGGGGCUGGCGAAUAGCGGGGCCGAUUUGGUUCGGGUUUCGAUGAGAGUGAGGUUGCGUAAAGCGCAAGGGGCGCAUUUAAUCCCCGCCAGGACCGUACGUUACGAUAUACGUUUCUCACCGAAUACAAAAGUGGCGGAUGUAGAGGAGGGUCAUUUUGGUCAAGCGGCUGAAAAUCUGGCCUGAAUCUACAAAAACCGAAAAAGACGGCCCACUUUUUCAAAAGCACAAAACUACUGGAUUUUUUAUGCAAAUUGGCCUAAUUUUUUGAUAGAUCUAUUAAUUUUUUGAAAAAAUAAUUAAAAAUAAUGUUUCAAAUACUUUUUAAAAUAAUUUUUUUGUAUUUUAUAAAUUUUAGAUUGUAAUAUGGUCAAAAGAAAAAAAAGAUGUUUUUGCAUUUUAAAAUUUCUAACUUAUAAAAAUUUUUAUUCUGCAUCAUAUAUAGUUGUACUUUACAUACAAAAAAAUUUACAAGUAUGUUAAUUGAUGAGUAUAGUAAACUAUAUAUAGCAAAUAUUCAUAAUUAUUUGAUUAAAUUUUUCAAAAUAACAUUUUAAGAGCUUAUUAGAAUAAAAAAAACUGAAAUAAGCCGGCACCAAAACAUGCCAGUAGGAGGUCAUGCGUAUCCAUUAGUAUGCAAGCGUAUCAUGUGUCGGCACGGAAGCGUACCAGUGCCGUACCGUGCAAGGCAAACAGCGGCACGCCCUCGUGCCACGGCACUUUAAACCUUGCUUUUACCUCUCUUGUUUUACCUAUAAUGGGAAUGACCAGAUAGUCAUGAAUAAAUGGCUUUGUCCUGUUUUUGAAAUAAAUUCUGUUCGAGUGGCUUUCCAUCAACUCUUAGGCCAACUUCUUGAUUUUCUUCCCCCCUUUUUUAACCUUCAAAUUGUAUAGGAUUUUGUUUUUCAUGGCUGAACUGCUCCCUCCGGGGGGCUUUUUUCCCACUCAAUCUUUGCUAAUGCUUCUCUCAUCUUUUCCGCAAGUUGUUUUGUACCUCUGUUACCAGAAUAAUCAGUAGGGGUGUAGCUUCAAGACUAUAUCUAAAUUUGAUGCCUCUUGGAGGCAUAAAUAACAAAAGAAUCAAAUAGAAGACGACCUAUGAAGCAUGUGUGCCUAAAUACAAAUACAGCUUCCCGGAUUGCAUAGGACAAUCAUUGCUCACUUUUUUGAGUUUGUGUCGACUAUCAAGUUAGCCGGUCAGAGUUGCGAUGUUCAUAAAUAAUGACAAGCCAUAAGCUGAAUUGCUGAUAAAGUAAAAUUGAUGGGGAACUGCUAUUAAGCGGGGAAUAAAGUGUUGAUCUUUGCUGUUAUUUUAUGGUUUGAUUUUAUUUGGACUGGAGGAAACCAAAGACCAUGAUUAUGCUAUAAUAACAAGAAGAAAGUUGUAGAUGCAAUGGUUGUUAUCUUUGCACAUUGUUAAUGCUAUUUGUUGUAAUAUCUUGGGAAUCAUUGCAUCGUCCCACCUGUACAUAUGCUUACAACAUUCAAACAGUAUAUUUUAUUGUUUGGAUUGAUUAAUUCAUCUUUCAUUGUGCACUACGUAUCAAUUUGAGUCUUUUAGCCAAGUUAGGAAUCGAUAAUGCUCCUUUACACAUCAUCUCGACCCAAUUUUGCUUUGACUAGCCACAGUUCUGUGCUCUCAACAUCUGUUCAGACAAAUUUUGGCAGCGACUCUAGAUUGUGGAUUUUUCGGUUCUCAUACAAAGACACCGUAUCACUGAUCAGUCGAGAGACAUUAACAGCUUCUAGUUUUGGUUUUUAUUCUUAAUAUUAAGUGCUUAGGAUAUAAAAUGAAGCAAUAUUUACAAGUCACUUCAAAUUAAGGAUCCGAUAUGGAUUGUUAAUUACUAUGCUUGAGCUACAGAUUUUUAGCGACUUAAUUUUAGUAGGCUUGCACAAUUUUUGAAACUGUCACUUAUUACUGUAUGUGAAUAGCCUUUUUUGUUUUCACUAUGGCUUCAAGUUUUGAUGUUAUAUGUCUAUAUAUUUGUAUUUAUUUGAACAUCAGGAGCUUCGGAAAGAUGGUUUUGAUCUUGCCGAAGCCCGAUAUAAGGAGCUCAAACCCAUACUUGAUGAGGUAACUUUUGGGCUGAAUUUUACCUAGUUGCUUGAUGUUUAUAUAGAUUUUUGAAAUAUUUUUAUUCAUUUGUUUCUGUCUCACAUGGUGUGCAGCUGGCAAUACUAGAGGCAGAACAAAAGGCUGAAGAAGAAGCCGGUGCCGAAACAAGUUCGAGAAAAAAAGUCACUAAGAAAAACAACCGAAAAAACCCAGCGAAGUAGUUUUAUUUUUCGUUGUGGCUUUUUGAAAAUCUCUUGCUUCAGUAAUACUUUUGUGCAUUAGUCAACGACGACGUCAUGGGCAAAAUUGUGUGUUUUGAUGCAGCAUUAUGAUGAUGAGAAAGAAAACCAUUGUGAAAUUUUGUCGGAGCCUAUUAUCAGCUUCUGUGUACAUUACUAGAUGUUUAUUUUUGUUUUGAUAUUUGGGUAUUUACAUAACUGUGUAUUUUGCUUCUGAAAUACUGAGGUGGGUAAGUGAACAUGUCCCGAACCAAUUUUGAACUGCUUUAGAAUCGAAACCUGGAAAUUGGGUAAUUGAAAACCUGGUUAGGGGACUGAUAUAAGAUAUUUUUAAAAAUUUUUUGUACUGCAUAAAAUUCGUGGUUAUUUGUAGUUUGUCCUUUAUUUUACUUAACAAGUUAAGCGGAAGAAGUGGAUUGGAUACCCAAAGAUAUCAUACCUUAAGGUGGUGUUUUAAAUUUCAAAGUUUAAAUUUUAAAUUUGAUAUUUUAAAUUUUAAAUUUUAAAUUUGAUAUUUUUAAUUUUUAAAUUUUAAAUUUGAUAUUUUAUAUCUUUAUUUUUUGUUUAUAAUUAUCAAUUAUUUUUUUNGUGGUUAUUUGUAGUUUGUCCUUUAUUUUACUUAACAAGUUAAGCGGAAGAAGUGGAUUGGAUACCCAAAGAUAUCAUACCUUAAGGUGGUGUUUUAAAUUUCAAAGUUUAAAAAUUAUAAUUUUAAAUUUUAAAUUUAAAAAUUUAAAUUCAAAAAUUAAAAAUUUAAAUUUAAUUUGAGAGGGAUAAUAUCAUUAUUUUUUGUUUAUAAUUAUCAAUUAUUUUUUUUUAUUUUCAAUAAUCAUCUAAACACAAUUUUUCUAGUUUCAACUUAUACUCAUAUUUUUAUCCAAAUAAAAAAAUAUUUUUGUUCUUACAAAAAUUCAUACUUGUAGCUAUUCUCGGUAUAACUAGUUUCAGCUUAUACUUUUGUUGGCCUCAAACUUAUGGGGCCUAAUUGCUUGCUAGUGGAUGAUACAACUGAGUAAGAAACAACUAAUGAAGCUCCUUAUUUUGGUGUUAGAACGAGUAUAUAUAUCUAGCUUGUGCCCUACCACAGCCCCGUUUGGAUACCUUAUAAAAUGUAGCAUGAUUAAACUAUGCUAUACCCGUAGAAAAUUUAUCUUAUGAGAUGUUUGGGAGGCUCGAAAGAGCACCAAUUUUUCAAAGCAUAGUUACACUACAUCCUAAAAAAUGGAGUAAAAUGAUAGCUCCAUCCCCCUCCUCUCUGCCUUAUGUAAAAUUUUAAAUUUUAAUGUAAGAUAUUUUAUUUUAAAUUUUAAAUUUGUAAAUUUUUAAAUUUAAAAUUUUUAAAUUUUUAAAUUUUAAUUUUUAAAUUUAAAUUUUGAAAAAUUAUAUAUAGACUUCUGAGUCUUUCAAAAUUUAAAGUUUAAAUUGUACAUUUUAAAUUUAAAUUUUUUUAAAUUUGAAUUUUAAAAUUUAAGAUUUAAGAUUUUAGAUUUCACAUUUCAGUUUUCUAAUUUCAAAUUUCAAGUUCCAAGCUCCUAAUUUCAAAUUUAAAAAUUCAAAAUUCAAAUACUUAAAUUUUAAAUUUAAAUUUAAAUUUUUUAAUUUUUAAUUUUCAAUUUUCUAAUUUCAAAUUUAAUAUUUCAAUUUUCAAUAUUCCAUUUUCAAAUUUUAACUUUUAAUUUUCAAAUUUAAAUUUAAAUUUAGAACUUCUAAUUUUCAAAUUUAAAUUUAAAUUUAGAACUUCUAAUUUCAAAAUUUUUAUCUCAAAUUUAAAAUUUUACUUUUUUAAAAUUUAAUUUUAUGUUUCAAAUUUCAAAUUUCAAUUUGAAAUUUCAUUUUUCAUAUUUCAUAUUCCAUAUUCUGAAUUUUGAAAUUUAAAAUUUAAAUUUAAAAUUUAAAUUUUUAUUUUUAAAUUUUGAAUUUUAAAUUUUAAAAUUUUAUUUUUAAGUUUUAAAUUUUGAAUUUUAAAAUUUAAAAUUUUAUUUUUUUGUUUUGAAUUUUGAAUUUUAAGUUUUAAAAUUUUAGUAUGAUACAUAUCCAAACAACUUAAAAAUGAAGCUGUGGAAUUUUUUUAUAGUUAUAGAAUUUUAUAUUUUAUUAAGAUCAAAAUCACAGAAUAGAAAUUUCAUGAUGUUUUUUAACUAUAUAUCCAAAUAUGGCCUCAAAGCUUUCUUUUGUAACUACAGUUUAGAGGUUUUAUUUUAACUCCUUGUAAGGUCUUGAAUAGUCAUAUUUAUUAGGACUAUCCGCUUGUUAUAUCAUUACUACAUUGAAUGAGUAUUUAAAAAAAAAAAACAAAACAAAAGUCAUGGAUUCAUGAUGCCGAAAAUGUUGGAACAAUGGCCACACAUAAAAUCUGUUUGUGAUUUAGAUCUAACUAAAUCUUAUUAUGAAAAUAAAUAAAUCAACUUACAUAUGAUCGCUAAAUCCAAAUAAAUACUUAAUUGAUCCAGAAGCGUGCGAUGCACUACCCUAAAGCGUAUUCCCGUCCUUACGUGUGGGAUUAACCGGAAAUAACACCCCAAGGUACGACCGGAAUUCCUCCUCCUGCGAGCACGAUCGUGAAGGAGGUUGACGGAGAUUCUUUCAACACCCAAUGAUAAAAAAAUCAAACAAAAUAAAGGUAAAAUAAAAAUUUAAAUAAUGUUUCUUCUUUUGUUUUUCCACUUGGCUCACUCUCAGUCAUAUAUAUGUCCUAGAUAAACAGUGCAAUCCAAUGUAUAUAUAUAUUGUGGAGAGAGAAUGGAACGUUGGAAAUUUUUCCAAUGUUUCCAACGGUCAUGCCUUUAUGUGGCAUAAAGAAGAAAUUAAUUACAUUUGAUCCAUCAAAUUAAUUAACAUAAUAAAAGAUAAUAAAUGAGAAUAAUUGUAAAAUUAAAUAAUAUUUAGAGAUUUUGGAUUUUUCACAUAAAUUUUGGAUUUUUCACCAACAGAAAAAGGCCUUAAAACUCCUACUACAGUGAAAAAAGUGAAUAAAUUUAUAAACUCCAAAAAAUUCUUCGCUAAAUUAUUGAGUGUGUUUCGUAGAUAGCUACUAUACUAGAGCUGAUUCUUGCUAGUAAAGCUUCCAAACAGGACUUGAUAAUAUCCAAAAAUACUUUUUGAGCACACCUCAAUAUGUUAUUGUUGUAAAUUUCUGAUAUUUUUUUUUUUAUUUUGAGAGAUUUUUUUUUUUUUUUAGAGAUAGGUAGCAUGCUACCCGCUUCGUUUAUUUUAUUUAGAAAUAAAUUUUAGCUGAAAAUGUGAAUCAAUUAGGAUUUGAACUUGGAACCUCGGAUACCAACCACCAAGCCCUUUGCCACUUAGUCUAGGGACGGUUGGUGAGAAAAAUUAUUGAAAUGUUGAUAAAUACAAAUGACACUUCUAACUGUGUUCAUAAACCAAGACACUUACAUGGAUAACAUUCUUAGGCACCUUAGUACCCUAUGUUUGAAGUGAAAAAAAAAAAAAAUUCCUAAUCAUAAUCGAAACCGAUUAGAUUCAGACUCAAGCAAUUUUGAUAGGUCUCCUGUUGACCAAAAAAUUUUGGGGCCAAUAAUUAUAAUUUAAAAUCUACAAUAGGCCCAUUCAUAAAUGUGAAUUAAUGGGCCUCAUUAAAGCCCUUUAAAACUUUAGGCCUAUACAAUAAUUCGGGCCUCGUCUCAGCCCAAUGAAUAAUUGUGGCCAACAAGUCUCAUCAAAGUAGGCUCAAUUUCAGCCCAAUUCAUGGGAUCAUGGCCCACAUUUUCACCCACGUUUGAAAAUUCAAUUUCGAAUAUCAUAUUCAAAUUCGAUUUUAAAUUUUUAAACCCCCCGAAAAUAUCUGUUAUCCUAAUAACCUUAUUCGAAAUUCGAUUUCGAACUUCGAAUCAACUCCCAAAAUAUCUCUCAACCAACAUUCAUUCGAAUUUUGAAUACCUAUCCAUCCCAUAACCCAUUCAAAAUUAAAUUUUUGAAUUUCGAAUCCCCAACCAACAUCCAUUCGAAUUUUGAAUACCUAACCAUCCAACAACCCAUUUAAAAUUUGAUUUCGAAUUUCGAAUCCCUAACCAAUUCCCAAAACAUCCUCCAACAACCUAUUCAAAAUUCGAUUUCGAAUUUUGAAUUCACUAACCAAUUCCCAAAAUAUCAUCCAACAACCCAUUCGAAAUUCGAAUUUCGAAUUCCCAACCAUUUCUCAAAAUAUCUUCCAACUAUCCAACAACUCAUUCAAAAUUCAAUUCCCAACCACGCCCCGAAAAUUCCAUCGACCUUGCGAGGUGCGUCAUUCGUGGUGGCAGACACCCUACUUUGUUAGGGCAUAACACUUCUUCUUCUUCUUUUGUCAUAACCUUACAUUACAUCUUUACUCGGGGAGAAGUGAUAUUUUUAGGCCAUGUUUAGAAGUAUGAAUAUUUUAUUCGAUAUAUUUUUUUAAUUUAUUCAAAAAAUGUGUACAUUUGAUUGAUAAAGAGUAUGAUCAAAUGUUUAAAAUUGAAUACUAUAUUCGCCCUUCGAUUCCGUUUUUCGAAUAAGAUAAAUUACUUCGUAGUUAAGAUAUGUUAUCCUGUUUAUUCAUAGAUAGUAAGACUUUUGAAGUAACAAAAAUCAAACUCAUCACAUACAAUCAUAAUAGAACAUUUAUUCAAAAUAAGUUAUUCUUAGAUAAUUAUUUCGAUAUCCAAACUUCAGUGAGGAACUCCCUAACGAUGUCUCAUUAAAGAGUAUUAAUCUAUCACCACGUGUCACUUUUAUCUCCAUCCAAAGAUUAUAAUCCCUCCCUCUAAAAUUUAAUAUUUCUUUUAAGUAUUAAUAUUUAAAAAUUCUGAACAAAUUAUUGGAUGAAAACAAAACUAACAUAUAACAGCGGAUCGGAAGCUCUCCAAUGAUGCGUCACUGGGGAGCUCCUCACUGAAGUUUUAUCCUGCAAACAGGGCCUUGAUAAAACUGGAAGGUCAUCUGCUCCUAACAAAAUAGUCUAUGCCAAUAUGAACCUCCCUUCCAAAAGGCUUGUGGUGGCAGUCCAAGAAUUUCUUUUUGCGUAUACAAAUUUGCUAUUCAAAAAAGAAUAAUAAAAAAAAAAAUGUAACUCAACAACAUUGUAAAGAAUGAUCCAAAAUCGACAUCGAUGCGUGUAAAAAUGUGCUAGCUUUAAAUAAUUUUUAUUCUUGUGAUAUUUCAUCUUACAUCGUGUGUGUGAAAUCUUGUAGUAGAUCAUUGAAUACCAAUAUGUGUAGAAGGGCCACAAAAAGAAUGACAUGUGAACUAAUCUAAAGAAUAAAAAUAUAAUAAAACCAUGAUUAUACAUCCUAUAAUACAAUUUGCAAGCCAUGGCCCAUGGGAGGUGGCUACAUGCUGGGGAAUGUCAUACUACGGUGACUAAUAGCCAUAAAUGCACGAAGAGCAAAUAUGCUAUUAGACCUAGCCUGGCUCCUGGCCUGCUCAUGAGCAUUCGGCCUCCCGAAACCCUGCAAUAAGUUAGAAGGAAAUUAAAGUCCUCGCUAAGUAAAAGCUUGUAGUUAUUAACAUAAAUAGAAAAACAACCAUACAAAAGCACCCGCAAUCAAAGAAGCCAAUUGAGAGAGACUAUGAACUGCUUUUAAUAUUAUGAGCAGACUGGAGUGUUAAACAAUGGUCCUCUAAUGGAAGCAUAAUAUUUUCUCUCUUUUCUUUACAUUCUAUCACUCUGUUAGAAUUUGGGUUCAGAUGAGGAUUUUGGGUCGACUUAAGAUGAAAAUCCGAUCCAAACAUGAUCUUAACUUGGUUCAAAUCCCAAAUUGCAAUGAAGCUGAUGGAAAGGUCCUCAAAGGAAAACUGAAGUAGCAACUCAUGAAACAUAAAUGAUACAAAUGAAACCACAGGGACAGGGCACUGAUUUGAAUAUGUGCUAUAACACAGCACCAUUUUAUUUCCGAACUUUAGCCCUUUCCCUCAGGCACAAAGGGAGAAUUAAACAAUUAAAGUAAACAGCAUUUCUCAAUUUUGGUGAAACUGACUAGGAGAUUGGGAUAAGCCCGUUAAAAAAUUUUAAAAUGUCAAUUCCCUUCGUAUUUCUGCAUAGAUUGCCAAACUGGGACAAAAUAGACCAUUUCACCUGGAUUAGCAAUUCAACUUUUGUAUUUUCUUUUCUUUUUCCUAAUAAAUAACAUAUAGUCUGGGUCUGGCACAUAGUGCCAAGACAGCUUGGCCUCUUUAGAUUGUGGAACAAUGAUUACACAUUUGAACUUGAAGGACAAGGUUAAAGAAAUUUUAAAAAAGAGACACCCAUCUGUUACUUUGUUGCAGUCAUCAGUUAAACAAAAAUUAUGGAAUGUUGCACAUAAAGUUAAAUGGCCGUAAAAGAUGCUACAGCACUGUUAUAAUGACUAAUAAAAGAAUCCUGUAAGUUGAAAAGGACUUUUUAUUCCAAAUGUGAAACAGAAUUUAUAAAAUGUAUUACUACAAUAGGAAAAUAGGAAUAGUUUGGUGAAUUGCUGGUAUUGCCAGAAAUUCUAAUAAGAAAUACACGUCAAGAAGCCCACAAAUAAGAUGAUGAAAAUUGUUAAGAUGGUUCGGACACAUCUAAAAAAAGAGACCGUGGCAUCAGCAAGAAGCGAACUGAAUCAAGGAAGGUUGAAGCUGUGGCAAAAAAGAUAAGAAUGGACUGACCCAAAAAACUUUUGGAACAUUAAACCAACACAGAUCUAGCUUGAUUGGUGUAAGAGAUGCUUUUAAUUGUUUUUGAUAAAAUAUUAAGCACAAAGAGUCUGGAAUAAUAGGUUAUGCAUAAUUUAAUGGCUGGUCCAUUUAGUAUGUCCAUUUUGUCAGAAAAUAUAAAUGUGCAUGUACAGAGGAAGAAGCAAUAUCAAAAGGACUAAAAGUACAAUGAAUUAACAUAUUUUUGCCAUAAACAGCUUACCAAAGACCAUCAACUCUAUCAGCAAUAAGCUUUCCUUGCUUUGGAAUAAGGCCAGUUGUGUUCAGCGACUUGAAAAAAUGACCUGUAAAGAAGAAGGUGCAACGAUAUUUAACAGCUAGAUAUUAUUGAUGAAUGUCACAAUAGACAAAGUAUACAGCAUCAAACCUUUGUCAUCAGUUUCCUGGGCAGCAAUUAAUCUCUCGGACUCCGGAUUAAUAUUAAGAAUAAGAUGGUCAUUUGACCCCUUACGCAUCGUUCUUGCAUGGGCUGCCGUGGAGACAGGAGGUAUCAAAGAUUUUCCCAUCGCCCCCUGCAAAUAUGCAAGUCAAACACAACACAAUGCAUAUCACAAACUAGAUGCAGGUUAAUCUAAAUUAAAAGUAUUAUUUUGGAUCUUCGAAACAUUUUUCUGGUGUUGUAUAGCUUCAACAAUAAAAUAUUUAAAAUUCCAAUGCAUACAAAAGCAAAUGCAAAUAAGAAUAACUAUAAUAGGUAUCAAUAAAGAGCUACAAUAUUGUAGAUAUCAUAUGAGUUUGACAAGUGACAUUACUACAGGAGGAUAAGUUACGAUAAUUGCUGUAACAGCGGAUGGCAGGGUAGGGAGGGAGGCAGGGAAUUUAUUUGAAAAUAUAAAUGAAACAUUCGUUUCAGGAACAAAUUUUGUGAACUAAGCAGAUUUAUUCCCAAGUUAUCCUCCUAUCCUAAGAUAAUGAGAAUGAAGCCAAUUCUGCAGUUGGUGUAAUAAUAACUGUAUAUCGUAAUAAUAGCUGCAUAGUAGGGACAAAGUGAGGGAUAGUGGCAGAUUAAUCAAAUUUGACCAAAACAACUAACGCCAAGUACUUUCUGGCGCAUUUGGUAGGGAAAAGUUUAGGUUAUUCUCCAGUUGUUCUGAGAUGAAACAAUGCCAACAUGUAGUAAAAGCACUAGAAAGUAAUCACAGUAUCUGAUGCAGGGUGAUUUAGGGAUGUUGAAAGUGAGAUGGGUUCUAAAUGAGAUUUGUUUAGAAGUUUGAAUUGAAUGACUCAGAAGAAACUGUAAAAAAAAAAAAGUGAUGACAGGUCAGUUUGUUUUGGUCUAAAGCAUCAAAACUAUCACCAAAAUUCGAAUUUAUUGAUACAUUUAAAAGUACUGAAGUUUCAGUCUUCAACCAGUUCGAUCUUCCAUGCCUUCUUCACAUGGAGAACAUCAUUUAAAUCUUUGGCAUGGACGUUGUUUUCUCCUUUAAUAAUGAGGUGCACCAAAAUUCCCAGCUCAUUCCUUUUCUUUUCUUUUUUUUAAACUUCAGUAAUUAACUUAAAAGAACAUCCCCACUAGAUUUACUAAUAAAGCUACCUCUGCCUUCUGUUUCUGGCCACUAUUAUAGUUAGAUUGACCCAAAUCAAGCACAACAAAGGCGGUGAUAAACUCUGAACUCUAUAGCUGAAUAGACAAACCUACAUAUAUGAAUUUUUUAUUUAUUUAUUCUGUGGGAGACUAUGUUGAAGAUGAGAAGGAUACGAAAAACAAGUCUACCAAUUCUUCGAUCUCAGAUAUCUCUGAACCAAUUGCUGAUGAAGAUGCUUCAAAGACAGUUCUUUCUUUGGCAGCCUCUGACUGCACAAGACGAGUACGAUACGAGUCUUCAAGAAUUUUGAGCUUUGUUGAUAGAUCAUCCACAACCUUCUCCUUGGCCUGCAACUUAGCUUCCACUUCCUGUAACGUAGACUUGUUAUUCUCAGAUUCGAUAGUUGAGGCAACAGCCAAUCUUUCCAACAAUGACAAGAGUGCCUUCACAGUGAUGGGUUUCUGAUCCUCAAAGGAAUCUUUUCCUCCCAACAGAUCAAUUAUUUUUCCUAAACCAACCGUCAAUUCAGCUAAUUCACUCCUCUUUGAUUCCAAAUCCUGAUAAUUGGAAUCAAAGAAUUCCCUGGCCUUCUUUAGCUGUUCGAUCUCAGUAACAUGAGAUGCAAGAAGUAACUGCAUGUCAUCCUUUUCAUAGGUCAAAGUAUCCAAUCUAUGCUGCAGAUCACUGACUUUAUCAACAAUAUACGAGAGCUUGUCAAUGGGACUUGAGAAAUAAAUUCCUUCGCCCUGGAACUGUGACUCAUCAGAAGAGAAAUUUAGCUUAUUUACUUUGUCAACAAGGGUUUCUACUUGGUCUUUUGAAAAUUGCUGAUCAUUUGUACCUGAAACAACAAAAGAACUUCAACAGAUAUGAGAACUGAAAAGAGCUAAGGGGAAAAAGAAGUGUCAAGGAUAAAUCUAUAUUGUCUCAUUACCUCCAUCUUUUGCAACCAAAAGCUGGAGUGGUGCAAGCCCUUCCUCUCUAGCCCUCACUAUAUCCUCUCUUGUCUGAUAAUUCUCUAUCCUGGUCUUCAUCUCGGUGUAAGCCUCUUGCAACGUAGCAAGAUCAUUUUCCAGCAGAGUACCUCUCUCUUGAUAAUGAUGACAGUCUUGAAAGGCAGUUUCCGCGGCCACCUCAGUUUGUUCCAAUUUGUGCUUAAGAUCAUGCAUAGAUCCUGCACAUAAUUUUUUAACAUCUACCAGCUGUCCAAUUUGCAUCUUUAGUCUCCCAGCAACAGAUAACAGACUAUCUGCUGCACUAACAUUCUCGCUAUCAUCCACCUUUGGUCCAGUUUCCACUUUGGAUCUUGAUUCCAACCCAAACAGAUCAUUGAAUCCAAUUUGGACCUCUUGGGUGUCAUCAAUACAUUCAGACAGAAGUGCCAUCAGUUCUUUUUGCAGAGAAAGCAGUUUACUUUCUUCAGCCUUGUUACGAGCUUCCAGCCUAUCUACAUGUGACUUCAAGGAUUCCUGUACUUCAAGAAUAUUGAAAAAUUCAUCCUUUGUUAUUUGCAAUGCUUGGAACGUACGUGCUAUAUGAUCAUCCAUGUAAGCUGACAAAUCUUUAAAAGAGUCUUCAAGAGAUUUGACCCAAUUAUUCAACCCUUCAAUCACCGUACCAAAGGAUAGAGCUUCAUCAAGGUUUGCCGAACUUGUUUUACCGUGAGCCAUUUUUCUGUUAAUAAAAUCUUCAUAAUUUGGUAGAGAGAAGAGCUUCACAAAUUCUGGAACCUAUAAAUUUUGAACAAUAAUUUAUCAGAUUAUGUCCCAAGCAUGAGAGGUUCAUUCAGCAAAAUGUAACACUGAGACAACAGAAAAUUGAAAAACUUAAUAGCAGAAAAAAAAAAGAUAAAUAGAAGAAAGACAAAUUAUGAGACAGCAUUGAUGUUUCUCUCUAGAUGCUAAUGAAGGAAAUUUAAAAAAUUUACUCCCUAAACUUAAAAUUUAUAUCCUUUGUUCUACUUCAUCACUACAGCUGAUUACAAGACAAGGCCAUGAAUCACUAUUAUCAAAUUAAUUACAUCGGUGCAUUGUACAGGAAAAAGAGCUACAUCAUUAAUCAAACAAGCAUCUAGUAAUAAUUAAUAUGUUCUUCAUGGUUUGCUACAACGAGCAAUUAAAACAUAAUUUAACGAAUCAAGAUUACAUAACAUACACUCAUUCAGCAACAAGUAGAAUAGGCACCAUCAAAAUGGUCGAAAUGAGCAAUUCAGUCCCUAUUUUCUCUUGUCGCUAACAAGUUGGCCAUUACAAUAAUUUUUGGGAUAUCUAACAGCAAUGAAGCAAACAAAACAUUCAAUUACCAAAAGUGUAUAACUGCAAACAUGAAGCAACAGGACUUGCAGUGAAUUAUAAUUACAUAAAGAUGUUAGGAUAUUCUGAACUACAUAUGACAUAAUAACCAGAAGACUAUUACAGAAUUUCAUGUCAUUCACCUUCCCGACGUAUAUAUAUAGAGAGUCUCUGCCUGCUAUACUAUUGUAAGUACCAUCACCUUCGUUCUCAUAAGUUGUUUACAAUGAUAGAGCUUUUGAAUCGACAAUCCAUGCCGUUAAACAUAAUUUAGAGCAUUUAAACAUUCCAGAAAUCAAAUUUCAUAACUUUUUGACAUCAUAUGCCCUAUGAUCAAAGGACCUCAAAAUUGACAUUUUAAAUGACCCGUAAGGAGCAUUUCCGAAUUAACGGUAUAGAAGAAUCGGAAUCGAUAAAAUCUUUAAUAGAAAAUUCUAUUCACUACAUAGAUCAAGAUCAAUAACUCCAAUCUUGAAUUUAAAAACCCUAUCCCCUAUUUUUAAGAGAUUGUUCGAUGUUGAUCGUUCAUUUUAUACCCAAUUGAUGGACUUUAUUAUACGUUCGAAAAAUUACAAAUUUCUAUUUCUACAUACUUCAAAUACUUUAGAUUAUGUCUAACGGUGUGGAUCAUUGAUUUGGAGGCUUCAUCAUCGAAAACGACUUUUGAGUAUGAAGGCCUCUAGAAGAGUAUAGUAUGUAUAUAUAUAGAGUUGAGCUGGAAUGCUAACGGUAGCAAACGGGCUCCGUUGCCACCCAUUUGUUUUCGAUGAUGGAGCUUUCAAAUCGAUGAUCGGCACCGUUGAACAUGAUCUAUAUCACUUGAAGUAUCUAGAAAUCAAAUUUCAAAUCUUUUCGACAUCAUUGACCUAAUGAUCAAAGGGUUUCAAAUUUGUAAUUUUAAUGGUCAAUAUGAGGCGUUUUCACCUUUAACGGUGUAAAACUAUCCAAAUCAAUUGAAUUUUGGUUAGAAAAUUCUUUAAACUAUUUAGAACGAGAUCUAUACUCUCGAUCUUGAUUAAAAAUUCCUAUCAUCACUUUUUAGAGGAUAUUCAUUUUCAGCCAUUCAUUUUUACGCCCACUUGAUAAACAAGAGAACAAUAUCGGAAAAGUAUGAAAUUUGAUUUCUGGAUAUUUCAAGUGGUAUAGAUUAUUUUCAACGGUACCGAUCGUCAAUUUGGAGGCUCUAUCAUCGAAAACAAAUGGGUGGCAACAGAGCCUGUUUGCUACCGAUAGUAUUCCAGCUCAACUCUAUAUAUAUAUAUAUAUAUAUAUAUAUAUAUAUAUAUAUAUAUAUAUAUAUANUAUAUAUAUAUAUAUAUAUAUAUAUAUAUAGGCUGGGGCUACUAUACUCUUAUGAGUAUAGAUCCUCUUGUACUCAUAAAUUUUUAACCGUUGAUUGAUGGAAUGUGUGGUUAGGAUGAUGGUGGUCCACACUUAAAAUGAUAGUGGUCCCCUAGGGUUGAGUGGGUAGUUGGUUGAAUAGUAUGAUCUAACGGGUGAAAAUGAUCAAUUGAAUAAAUCUAAGGGCUGAAAACUUAUGAGUAUAAGGGAGUCAAUACUCAUAAGAGUAUAGUAGCCGGACUCUAUAUAUAUAUAUAUAUAUAUAUAUAGGCUAAUAUUCUAUUAAUAGCACCAAGUCAUUAGUGCUACCAAGUUUUUGGCCAUUGGAUUAAGUGAUGUGCGGUUAGGAUGAUGUCGGUCCCCUAGGGUUGAGUGGGUGGUUGAUUGAAUAGUAUAAUCUAACGGGUGAAAAUGAUCGAAAGGAUAGAUCUAACGGCGAAAAACUUGGUAGCACCAAAUGCUUCGUGCUAUUAAUAGCAUAGUAGCCGAACUAUAUAUAUAUAUACACACGGAUUAUGCGGUCGGGUAAGACGCUUGCAUGGCGAGUCCGCACAUUCCUUGGGAAGAAUCCACAUCUCGCUGGAUCCUCAUGUAUCCACCCUCGCCCCACGCCGUUCCCCAUGAGUUUUUUAUGAGCCAAUACUUAGUUCCGUCGUCGGCCGNGUAUAGUAGCCGGACUCUAUAUAUAUAUAUAUAUAUAUAUAUAUAUAUAUAUAUAUAUAUAUAUAUAUAUAUAUAUAUACACAUAUAAGAGUCCAGCUACUAUACUCUUAUGAGUAUAGGACCCUUUAUACUCAUAAAUUUUCGGCUGUUAGAUCUACCCCUUUGAUCAUUUCCAUCCGUUAGAUCAUACUAUUCAACCAACCAGCCACUCAACCCUAGGGACCACUAUUAACCUAACCGCAUAUCACUUUAUCCAACGGUUGAAAACUUAUAAGUACAUAAGGAUCUAUACUCAUAAGAGUAUAGUAGCCCUAGCCUAUAUAUAGAAGUCAAAAAGGGAAUGCUACCACUUUAUGUAAAAGACCAGUCAAAUAAUUGAGCUUAAGCCACAUUCUUGUAGAUUGCUAUGUCCUUCAGGGCUUCAGUCCUGCUACUUGCACUAAAAUAUUUUUGGAAAAACAAGGGUAUAAAUGUUCUUUAAAUUAAUCUUUUACAGCUUUGACUGCUUUAACAUUAAAAAAAAAAACUUCAAACAAAUACGAUGAAAAUAGUCAGCAUAUGCAAAGACAACCAAUGAAUCAUAUAAGAAUAAUUCAUAGAAAAUGAAAAAAAGAAAAAGAAAAAAAAGAAUACCUCCUCCAAGCCAUGAUAGUCAUGAAGUCCCUUCGCAGAGAACUGCUCAUGCAUGCUCUGCAUUACAAGGCCCAUGUCUGUCAAGCUAUUGGUCUUUUUUCUGAACUCUUCAGUCAUCAAGGUUACAAGGUGUUCAUCCAUCAUAAGCAUCUUAAAUUGUCCAAGGUGACUAUGCAGUUCAGCUGAAUGACUUUCCAAACUGCCACGAGUUCCUGCCAACUCUUUAAAGCAUUCAGCAAUCUUGGCAUUCAAUGAGAUUAUCUGCUGUUCAUGCUUUUCUUCAGCUUCCCUCUUCUUUGCAUCCAGCAGAGAAAAACUAUUUUUUUCCCGUGAUAAUGCAUCUUCUAAUGAUUCUAUAGUUGCAUGGGCAUCAGCUAACUUGUUCGCAUUUAUAGAAGCUUCCUGUUUUGUUUUCUCAAACUCCUCCUCUAUACAAGCCUUAGCAAGUUGAAUUUCCUUCUCUUCUUCAGUAAUAAAAGAAAUAUGUUCUUUUGCUCUACUUAGUUCAUCCUCUAACGAUUUGAUAGUUAAAAAUGCAUCAGAUAACCUGCUAGCAUACGAGGUAGUUUCAUCUUUUACCUUAUGUAGCUCUUCCUGUACAUGAAUCUUAGCUGCUUCUGUUUCUUGAAUGUGCUUUGCAAUCCAGUUCACCUUCUCUAAAGGGCCUUCAAAGAUGUUAUCAGCUGGGAGAACAAUAUUUUCUAUAGAACUAACUAAUAUUUGCAGUGAAUUUUUGUUUUCAUCCAACAUCCUUUCUAGUUCUGUUCUUUGAUUAUGUAAGGACACAAUAUCAGACUCAAGCUUCUGAAUAAGCUUAGAAUGAGCAGACAAAUGCUCAAUUUGCUCCUUCAAGUCUGUGAUUGUCAAAUCCCUAGACUGUAUCUCAUGUUUUAGUUUCUCUAUUUCAGAGUUUUUCUCAUCCAAAGAAUGCUUGAUACCAUCACGUUCUUGCAUCAGGCCCUUUCCUUUCCUCACAGCCAUCGAAAGCUUUUCUCUGAGCAAAGAAGUUUUCUCAUCAGAUUUUUCAAGCUCUUUCUGUAAAGAGUCUUUCUCAUUUCUCAAAUUAGUAACUUCCCCUGAAAUUCUUUGCAAUUCUUCAUAUAGUCUGGUCCUUUCAGAUCUAUCAAUCAUCUCUUCUUCAAGAAUGUUCUUACACAGUAUCAGUUCCUGAUCAGUAAUGUACAAUAAACUUUGGAAACUCUCAAACUGCUCAAGAUCAGCAGAAGCAGCUUUUAUCCUUUCUUGGAUUCUAUCAACACAUUUCUGUAUCAUCAAGUUGCUGUCCACAAGAUGCUCACCAUCCAACUCAACUUCAGAAACAUCUACAAACGCCUUUAUCAGCUCAUCCUUUUGAUGAGAGACCUCAGACAGCUUUCCCGUGAUUCCUUCGUGCUUGGACCUUAAUUCAGCAUGCUCAUUUUUGAGAAUCUCUCUCUCCUGUUUCUCUUCCAAAAGAGACACUGUCAAACGCUCAAUUUCCUCGCGCAUCGAAGCUAAAUCUGAUUCAUGUGAUGCCGCAGCAAGCCGCAUCUGUGCAAUUUCAUCCUGCAUCCUGUUUACAUCAUCGUUAGCCUUUUUGAAUGAGCUUACUAGCCAGUUAAUCUGAGCAUCUGAUCCUAUAGAAGAAAUAGAUUCUGGUAGCUCAAUUGAGCACAAGGCAUUUUUAACUUUCUGAUGCUCUGCGAAAACUACAUCUGCAAUAUUCUUUUGAUCAACAAACCACCUGAUCUUAUCUACAGAAUCUGAGGAAAGCAGUUUCUCAGGAACAUUAGUCUCAGACAUCACCUUAUCGAUUUCCUGAUGAACCUUGUCCUUUUGUGAGAGCAACUCUUGAAGAGAACUGACAAGAUUGUGCGAUUCCUUGAGCUCAGCAGCACUAGCUUUAGCAGUCUCUAGGGCAUCAUUUGCUUCCUGUAACUCGAGUAAGCACUUCUCAAGAUCACUAGACUUCUCAGCUAAGGACAUCUUCAGCUCCUCAAGACUGGCCUCAGUGGCUUCCAUGGCAUCAGACUUCUGUUGCAACUCCACCAUGCACCUCUCGAGCUCACUUGUCCUCUCUUCUAAUGACUGCUUUAGCGAGUCACGAUGUUGCACCAAGGACUUGCCCUUUUUCGCAGCCAAACUGAGCUUUUCUUUGGUAGUAAAAUAUCUGUUCUCCGCUUGCUCAAGUUCCAUUUUCGUUUUGCUUGUCUCGGCAUUAGCCAUAUCUAAAUCAUCUUUCAUUUUCUUAACCUGCUCAUUCAAAACAACCAUUUCUUCCUCAAGUCUACCCAUCUUCUCUUGCAAAAAUUCCUCCUUUCUCUUGCUUUCAAGUAAGUGUUCUCGAGCAAGACCUAGAACAGAAAUAGGCUCAUUCCCUGAAGCAACCGAAUCAGGCCUAACUUCUCCCAAAGAAUCUCCAAGUUGUCUGAUUUCCAACAGCAACUCUCUGUGUUUCUCUAUGAGCAAAUAAGUUUUCUUCUCUAACGGAGAGUCUCCUUCAACAUCAGAAUCAAGCAAAGACCCAUGUUCUCGUCCAAUGACUGUGUCAAGGGAAGCUAGCAACCUACUGGAAGCAAGAUCCGAUCUCUCUCUCAGAGACUCCGACCAAAUCUCCCGAAUCGAACCCAAGUACGAAUCAAUGACAUUGCGCGAGAUCAAAGACACAGAAGCUUUUACAUUGAGGUCCUCAAUCUCCUGCUCUUUGGCAUGAAGAAGACUAUUCAGGAACUGAAUAGUGGCCUUAGUGUUUGCGUGCUCAUCAACAAUAGUUCUCAAAUGAUUGAUAAAUGUGGAACAGUCCUUCAACAUGGAAUGCAACGGCGUGGGAAACGACACUGCCAUUUCGUCGUCUCCACCGGACUCAACUCGAUGCGCAUGCACAACUGACUCAUCACUGCUUGCUGGCUGAUGAUCAAUAAUAUCUUGAAGUUGCUGCCGUAGACUGACCACUUCUCUCCCAAACACUUCUCUUUCUUCCUGAAUCAAGCAAGAAAAGGUCAUUUUACAAAAUCUACUACAUCAGAAAAGCGGAAGAGUUUGGAUACCACUUUACCACCCCAUGGUCAAACCUACACAACUUUACCACCUAAGUUUAUUUUUCCAGUAGGACGUGCCAUUUGGGACCGCUUCGAUGAGCGCAUCGUAACACGUGCAUAUGGGAAACAAACUAUAUAAGGAUUUAAGUGCUUAACCUUACUAAUCCUACAAUGUCAACAAGGAGUAUCUAAGGUUAAUUUUUCCGGGAGAAAAAGAAAAGGACGAUAAAUUCGGCGAUCUCACCUUAUACUUACAGCACUCCACCGCGGCGUCCUCGAGCCGGGCCUGGGCUCUGGCGAGCUCGCCCGCCGAUCUAUCCCCAGAUCUCUCCGCGAUCUCGAUCAGGUCCGACGCAUCCUCGAACGUCUCCUCCCGCCCGCCGUCCUCUCCGCGGUCCCGCUCGUCCGGCGCCUCCUGCGUCGACCCAUCAAUAUUCACCAGAAUGCCGCUAGAAUCCUGCACGUAAGAGUCAAAGCCGCAGUAUAUAAAUAAGAAUAUAUGUGCACGAACGCAAUAUUAUAAACGCAUAGAGAUCCAAACUUGCGAUAGGCAAUGAGGAGAAGAGAUGAGAUCUCUAAAUUCUGACCUGAUCGGGGUUGCCGGGGAGCUCGACGAGGACGCCGUCGCUGCUGCCGCUGUCGUUGCUGGGCGAUCCGGGAUCGGCGAAGGCGGAGGGGUCGGCGCCGGGGCUCUGCGGCGGCGACGAUGGCGGCGGCGGCGGCGGAGGCGGCGGCGCCACCGCCAGCCUCGGGACGGUGACCGGCGCGUCGUCGUCGGCGGCGGCGCCGGAGCUCGAGGAGUCGGAGCUGCUCCUCGACGCCUUCGGGGACGAUGCCGAAUCCGAAUCCGAAUCCGACAUUGAUUCGGACCAAUUCGACCGGAUUCAGAUCUAUGGAGUUGGACUGGGAGAAUUGGAUCGAAGAGGGAGAGGAGAGGAGAGGAGAGGACAAGGGGAUCGUCGGAGGGGAUAUCUUAUAUUAGCUCAUUAUUAAAACCCUAGGGAGGAGUAAGAACUAAGAAGGUGGGCAAUGGCGAGAGAGAGAGAGAGAGAGAGAGGAGAAGGGGCGAAGGAGACGAAAUUCUCGCCUGCACCCGGUCUACUCGUAUGCAUCAAAUAGUAUCUACACCGCGAGCGGAGCUACUAUACUAUAUAUACUCUUUAUUAUCGAGUCAUUUUCCAUAUUAAAGUUUUUAGUAGAAGAUUAAUUAAUACUUACUGUUAAUUAAACAUGAUUUCGAAAGCUUCGGAGUACCUAAAAAUCUAUUUUCGAAGAUUAUUAUAAGUUUAUCAAAUAAAUAUAACAUUAAUGGUCAAAAUUAAAUGAUUUUUCCUCAAAAAAAAUUUAAAAAUAUCUUCUGUAAAAAUAAAUAAAACUAUCCAAAAUACCCGAUAUACCAUACCCGAUCCGAACCCUACCUGGAUCCAAACCGAACCGGAUAAAAAAUAAAUAGUAUACUGGUGAAAAAAAAUUAUUCAUUAAAAUUUUGAAUACGGGUCCGGAUACUUUAUACCCAUACGAAUCCGAUCCGAAUCGGACAUUUUAAUAGGUAGGCUCGAGAAGAGUUUCCAAAUUCGGACUCAGACGGACUUAGACCUAGACCCGGUGAAGUUUAGUAAAUAAAAAAAAAAUUGAAGUUGAGGAAUCAAUUUCAAUAAAAUUUAUAGAUGAAGGGUCUUUUUAUGUUUUCAUCUUAGUGAAAACUUAGUCGCUAUGUUUACUCUUUUUUUUAAUUUUUUUUCUAUUCUUUUUUUUUUAAUUCUAACUGUUUAUUGCUUGAAUUUUUCUUUUGAGCGAAUUUUAUCAGACUGAGCGCAACUAGUUAGAACGCUAGUUUUUGUAGUAAGAGGUUUAUGAUUUGUUUAUAGACUAUUUAAUAAAAUUUAUAAAAUUAUAUGCAUAUGGGUAUCCAUACCCGAUCUAGCUCCGACCCGUACUCGAUCAAUUCCCGGUCUUAAGCAGGUAAUAUACGGAUAAUCACAACCCAAACUCGCUCAAAUAGACCUGAUGAGUACAUUAUUAACUUAAGUAUCUAGACCCGGAUCCGAUUCGAAAUUAAAUAGGUAGGGUUUUUUUUUUUCAAUUCAUUUCUUUUUAGGGUACAGGUAUAGUAAAUCAGCUAUCCAAGCCCGACCCGGUGUACGGACACCUUUAAUAAAAAGAAGAUUGCAUACUUCAAUUUAAAAUUAGAGUUAUUAAUCUUAAUCUAGAUAGUAUUAACAAAAAAUUGAUCAAGAUUCAACUAAUUUUAGUUAUUUUAUACUAUUAAAUGAGAAAAUGUUUUAUGUCAGCUAUCAAAAUUAUCAUUCUUUAGAUCUUUCCAACUUAAGGCAGUUGGUGUCAACAAAUUAUAAAAUUCAGUAUUUAAGAAGUUUAAAUGAAUUAAAUCUUAUUUAACAGCAUAAAUCAUCGAGUUGUAAGCUCUAUUAUAAAAAAUGACUUAUGGAACAAAAAUAAUCAUACUCAUAAAAGCAUCAUAUAACAUAUGAGGUAGCGCUACCCGCUUCGUUUAUUUCAUUUAGAAAUAAAUUUAGCUAGAAAUGUGAAUCAACUAGGAUUCAAAUUUGGGACUCGGGUACCAACCAUCAAACCCUUUGCCACUUGCUCUAGGAACGGUCGAUCAUACACAAGACCUCUAAAAACAUAUAAACCAUAAAGAAGUAUGAAGUUACUUAGGAGUUCAAGAGCACCAUACAGAAGUGUUUUCCUCAUCUACUUGGGGGAGUCAACUUGAGUUUUAGUUUUCUAAACGAAACUAUUUUUUAGUUUCACGGAAUGAGGGAUAUAAUGCACCGAAUAAAUUAACAAAAUGUGAAAUAAGUCAGGUAGACAUGAUUAAGUUGAGGCGAGUGUGGAUCGAAUUGAAAUGGAAUUUCGAAAAGAGGUAAAGUGUGAGUUCCAAAUUUUUUUAUUAGAUGCUUGAAACGGGAAUUCGAGCAUGCAGAAUGGAACGCCCAUUUUAGAGAAUGAGGUUGGAGAGAAGGGCCACUUUCGGGCGUUCGGAAUGUUUUAGACACUACUUGAGAACAUCCGGACCAUCUUUUGAACCCUCAACCUGAGAGAACUAUCGUGUGGCACAAUAAACUCUGGAUUACGCUGGGACACUCAAAAUGUAUUUUGUAUUUUGCAUGGACUAGUGGGCGUCUGGAUCACCAAUCAGGUACAAUUAAAUGAAAGGCGCCCAAAAGUUCAAUCGGGCGCCUAAAACCUAGUACAAAGACAGUAGGUUAUUUCUUUAUAAAUAAAUAAAAAAUAUUAGAGGUUUAUGUGCAAUAAAUAAAAAAUGUUAGAGAUUUAUGUGCUAUUGCAACAUUUCGAUAAAUGCCCAUUUCAUAGCCAAAACCCCAAUCUCUUCCCAUCUCUCUCUCUCUCUCUCUCUCUCUUCCUCUUCUCUUUCUAAAACGAAUGGUUCCCUAAUUUAGAGAUGUCAUAUUCCAACCCGAAACAUAACAGACGCUUGUAUAUCUGCUAAAUUAGCAAAUAUAUAAGGCUAGAGAAUCAAAGAGAAAACAGGCAAAAUAAUGAUUACAAAAUUUUUCACUAAAUCCAAGAAUCAAAUGUUGAGGUUAACAAUUGAAUUUCAACUAGAAUUAAAUGAAUUCUCACAUAUAUAUAUAUAGAACUAAAGUUUAUUAAAACCAGAGUUUAUUACGAAACACAAAUGAAAUUCUAUCCAAUAAUACCACAAUAUCAAAACAAAAGCAAAAUAAAUCCAGAUAAUAGUUUUACGAACUUCAUUUAUUCACAUCUAGUAGCCAGUUAUAAAAGCAAAAGAAAUUAAAUCCAGACAGUACUACAUCUAACGUUCACUAGGUCCCACUCCCGCCCGGCAAAUCAGUCUCGGUACCUGGGUAAACAAUCAUACGCCAUAUUAGUCUGAUUAAGCAUACAAAUAAAUAUAUAAUAAAUGCUCUGAAGUAAAUUUUUAUACAAAAAUUAAUUUAAGUGACUGGUCUUUAAUUUGCAAAAUUUUUAAAAUUAGAAAUGAUCAGAAUUUAAAAUUCAGAUCAAAUAUGGACUACAAAUUUACAAAGUAUUUUCUCUUUCAUCAAAUAAAUGAAAUAAAAAUUAAGUUCUUGAUAACUAAGUAUAUUGUGUGAUCCGUUGGAGAGAUCGAGAGGCAUCCGUAGGCGCAAAACAAAAUAGAGGCACACAAAGGUACAUAUAUAUAGAAUAAAGGCACUCGAAAGCACAAAUACAGAAUAGAGAUAUGGAUAGGCGUGACACCCAAAGGUGAAAUACAGAGACGAAACUAACUUCUAUAACAGAAUAUAUACCGACAUUGCCAACAUUAGUAUAGCAGAAUAUCAAAAGACAUUAUAAUUUAAAACACUUAUCUAGUCCCUAAUUUAUAGAACAGAUUAUCAAAUUUCAAAAUCUUUUGCUAAAAGAACUUUUCAAUCACAGUUGAAACUCAGUUUACAAAAAUAUUUAAUAGUACGCUCAACCCUUAAUUUUAUAAUCUAUAAAAUAAAGAUUUUUGCCCAAUCAGAAUAUUUUUCUAAAUUAUUUUAUGAAAAAUUAACGGGUGUCCAAUCGCUUAUCUCAAAUGUAGCUUCUAAGCUAAAGCUAUCCAAUCAAAAAUCCGAAGGGAAUCAAUCACCGAAACCUAAAUUAAGAAUUACGAUUCUCUAUAAGCUACUAAAAAUAAAAUUACAAAGAGAAUAUAAGCAUUCAGAAAGAUAAACUUAUACAAAAAUUUAAAUUUGGAUAAGCUCACAUAGAUUAACAAGAUUGGUUUCAAAUACAUGCAAUUUAAGUUGAGACGGAGCACGAAGGAGGUUUAGAAUAAUAAGCCCAAUGAAACUUAACUAUCCAUCAAGAAGAUGAAGAGCUAGCUAAGUUUAUUUCUAAAUGAAAUAAACGAAGCGGGUAGCAUACUACCUAUCUCUCAAUAAUAAACAAAGAUUCUAAUGUUCGAAAAGAGGGUUUUCAAAUGUUAAAUAUAGUUUUAAAAUUUACAAUCAGAUAGGAUCGAAACUAGAAACAAAACGACAUAUGCCUUCUCUUUGGCAUUUUGUCAAAUAUGUAAAGAGCAUUCCAAAAGUAUGUAGAAUGUACAGAAUUUACAUCACUAAAUCACAUGGAGAAUACAAGAUAAAAAAUUACGGUACAAUCAAUAUUAAUUUACAUCAAUAGAAAACAUAUCUUAAUGGUUUUAAAUUUCAAUCACCAAGAAAUAAGUAUUCAAAAAUAAUCACAUAACCAUAGAUAAGGAGUUUUGAUAUUGUCAAGAUUUGGUAAAAGAGACAAAAGAGGUAAGAGGAAAAGAACAUCUUCAAAGACAAAAACGAUGACGACGAGAUGUCAUCGGCGACAAGCUAAAAAUGCCGAUAGAGGUCAAGGAACACAACUGCGGCAGCGGCCACGGAUGAUGGCGACGACGAUGGUGAUCGAACGGCAUUGUACGCGCCUACGGGAGAUGGGAGGGGUUGUAUGGGUACAAGGAAAAGAGAGAUAAUGGGAGGUGGGUUGCUGAUAUGAAUUGAAAUAGAAGAUAAAAUUAGGGAUUUAAUUACACAAUAUACCACCAAGCCCCCAAUUUUUAAUAUUUACGAAAAGGCCUAAAUUUUAAAAAAAUAGGGGUCAAAAUAAAAAAUACAAAUGUAUAGGGUGUUAUAGGAGAUCCACUUAGUUGGAGGCUUGGAGAAGAUCGAGGGCCUCAAGAGGAGCUUCUAGGAGGAGGGAAGCAACCAUUUCACCCACGUUUUUCUUGUUAUGAGUUGAAAAUUUUAGGGUUCAUUUUGGAGCUUUUUUCAAAUAAAGAAUUUUUUUCUUAGAGCUCUUUGGAGAUUAAGGGUCAUCUCUAAAAGAGGGAAUUAGAGCCAAAGUGGAGAAUAUCAUCGAAAUGGAUUUGAUAUUUUCUUUCUUUAAAGUUUCUUUGGUUGCAUGCAUGUAUUGUGAGUAAUAUGUAAUCUAAAAUGUAACUUUAGUUGCAUGCUAAAGGAUCUAAUUGGUCAAAAUAGUAAGUGGGCAUUUGACUUAUGAAAAUAGAAUUUAGCCCUUUAUUAUGUUACAAGAAAGUACUUGACAAAUGCAUGUAAGUAUUAUGUAAAGUCUGAACAUUAGAAACAAGUAGGGCUGGCAAACGAGCGAGCCGGCUCGUGCUCGAAUAUAUAUAUAUAUAUAUAUAUAUAUAUAUAUAAAAUGUAUUUUAAUUAUAUAUAGGCUUUAAUUUAAUUUAGCUUGGCCCAUAAAAUAAACUAAACAAGUACAACCGUGCAAUUGAGCUCAACUCUAAAUUUACAUUACACACUCUCUCUUUCAGACUUUUACUGUUGCACAUAACCUAAAACAUAAUAACAUUCAAAUUUUCAAAUCCUUAAUUUUUUCCCCCUCUCUCUCUUUCUCUCUCUCUCUCUCUCGUUCUCCCUCAUACCCAUAGUUAAUUAAUUCGGAUUUGGCAAUAAUUCGAUAUGAAUAUAAUACGUAUAAAAUUCGUUUUCUAAUUUUUAAAUUCGUUGAAAAAUUCGGCUUAAAAAACGAAUUCGGUAUAAAAUAUAAAAUAUAAGAUAUAAAAUAUAAAAUAAUUUAUAUUUAAAAAUAAAAUUAUAAGUUUUUUAUUCAUAUUUUCAAUGAUUCGGCAAUAAUUCGCGAAUUAUUCGCGAAUAAUUCGCGAAUGGCCCAAAAAUUGGCGAAUAAUUCUCUCUCUUUCGAAAAAAUUCGUAAACGGACCGUUUAAUUCGGAUUUUCAAUAAUUCGCGAAUAAUUCGCGAAUUACUAACUAGGCUCAGACCCUCACCCCAUCAGGCAGUCACCCUAGCUCACAUUUCUUGCAAUUAUUUUGUAUUUUGAACUAUUAGACAUGUUGCAUCAAAUUGUAGGUAAUGUUCUAUAAAAAUUAAACUUUUGAUUAUAUAAUGUCGAGAAUUUCAAUCAGCUCGUUUAGAGCUCGAGCUCGGCUCGACUCGAAAUUAGGCUCGCUCGAGCUCGGCUCGAAUUAAUUUCAAGCCGAGCUUGAGCCUAGAUUUAGGCUCGAAAUUAAUUUCAAGCCGAAUUUGAGCUGACAUAAGCUCGCUCGAGCUCGGCUCGUUUCCACCCCUAGAAACAAGUGUGGCAUUUAAUCUAAGUUGAAACCUAAGGUGUGAAUGUAGUUGAAUGUAGUGGCACAUGAGCUCUAGGAAAAUUUUCAACUAGAGAACAUGAGAACAGGGAAAGGAACCUUAUGGAUUACCCCAGAAGUCAUUAACUUCGGGUGAAAGAUGAAUUAUGUUGCGACCUUCCGGAAGUGUUAUACAGGAGAAGUCCAAUCCUCUCAGUUCCUAAUGCCGCACUUUGGGAAGUCCGACAGCUCUCGACCCGAAGUGCUUAUCGAUUUAAGAGAAGUCUAAUCUCUCUCGACUCUCUAUAAGGUGUUUAAUAAGAAAGUAACCAAACUAAUAAAUUAGUUAAAGUUAGGAAAUAAAUUAUGAUAAUAAUUUAGGCAGAUGACAUAAUAAAUUGUUAGGGCAUAUUGUGUAUAUAUCGAGGCAUUGUAGUAGCAAUUGAUUUCUUACAUUUGUAUUGUAGAAGUAGAUGUUUUGUUAUUAUUAUUGUCUACUAAUGUCUCCUUUUGAUCGAAUGAGUAUAGAGUGCCACUUUCGGCAGUUGCACCUAAUAGAAACUUAAAUUCUUACCCAGUUGUUUGUCUACCCCUUUUCAAAUCUUACUAUCGCCUCUGAGGAGUAGAACCGCGACAGGGGCAUCAUGGAGUUGCUAGAUCGUUGUGAAUCAAUCUAGUGGCUACCUUUAGGGUGUGUUUGGUUCGAAGUCGGAAUUGAUAUCAGAAUUGAAAUGAGAAUAAGCUGGAAACAGAAUCGGAAUGAUUCAUUACCUCAUUCUGUUUGGUUCGCCACUUGAAUUGGAAUCGGAAUAAACAAUUUCCAUCGUUGAUAUUUAGUUCAGAUCGAUAUCAGAAACGUAAUCAAAUUAAUAUGCCAAUUUUAUCUUUAUAAUAUAUCAGUCUAAAUUCAAACUAAAAAUGAAAUAUUAAAUAUUUACAUCAAAAUUUUAAAAUAAUGUCAAAAUUUUAAAUAUAUUUUUUAAAAAAUUAAAAUUUGAAAUUGAAUAGAUAAUUAAAAUAUAAAACUAGAUUUCGAUUUAUUCAAAUUAAAACUUAAAAAGUAUAAUUUAAAUUUAAAUUUGAAUCCAUAAAUUUAAUUUAAAUUUUAAAUAAAAUUUGAAUAAAACUUUAGAUUUUAAAUUAAAUUUAAAUUUAAAUUCAAAUUUAUAAGUUAGAUUCAAAAAGCUUGAUUGAAUUUUAAUUUUUAAUUUAAGUUCAAAUUUAAACUUAAAUUUAAAUUAUUUUAUAUAUUUUAGACUUCUUCCAACAGUUUUAUAUAGAAAAAAUCAUUCUAAUUUACAUAAUGUAGAAAACCGAUUUACAAAAAUGUACAUUAUAAUUUUUAGUUUAACGAAUUAUUAAUUAAGAUCAACAAUGAGGCCUAUAGGAUAUUUAAUUAAAAAAUAACUAAAGUAGAUGAAUCAAAGCGUUCAUCAACUAAAUCAUAAACAAAAAUCAGGUCAUUCUUGGAUGAAAAAUAUAUUUAUUAGCCCCACAUUAUAUCAUACAAUUAUUUAUAAUUAGGUAUAACUAUAUAGGAGCAAAUUAGUCCAAGACUCUUAUAUAUAUAUGUAGUCUAUAUGGUGGAGGAUAUUUUUGCUAUAAUUUAUUAAAAUUUUUAAUUUACUCAGCCCAAAUCUAGAGUUAUAAUUUCGAAACCCAAAGUCCGACCCAUAUAUAGCCCAUUAGACCGGGCCUUGUUUAGGCCCAGACCCAAUUCCUAUCCUAUUUCUAGUCCAUACUUUUGAUGAUAUGAUAAUAAUUAAAAUAUCGCAUCACUUUCAUAUAAGUGUUAUAUUAAUAUUUAGUUAACUAACUUAGGUUGUAUUACUUGAUUGCAUUGUUUUAUAUAGUCCGAGAAAAAAAUUAUAAUAAAUUAAAAUUUUAGGACCAAAAUGUCACACUAUUCAUAGUCUGUCGACUAAACGUGAAGUUGAGCCUAUAAAUAAAUAUAUAAUUAGGUUAGACGAUUCGUAUAUUAUGUAUCUGAUUGCGUUACAUUCUAUGAGAUAUUUAGUUUUAUAUGUACGUAAUUUCACGUUACACAUAUCCAAUAAAUUAUCCAAUAAGUUAGUUACAAUAUAUUUUUUUGUAAGCAUUGAAACUUUUCAUGCAACUUUAUUUUGCCUAAUGCCUAAUGGCAUCUCAUGCUAAGUCGAUAACCCAAAAAGAAUUGUUGCGGUUGCAACUCUUAUCCAAGGAUUGAAAUAUUUUUUCUAGGGUUUAAAUUUAUAUUUGGUAUUUACUUAAAAAAAUAGAGGAAAAAAAUAGUAUGAAAAUUUAGAUUAAUAAUAUUAUAACUAAAAAAUAAUUAUAGAUAUGGCAUUGUUCAACAGAAAGGUAACAAUUCAACAAAUUUGUGACGAUGACACCCUGAGGUUGAGUUUUUUUGUCGAAUUAUUAAUGGAUACAAAAACCCAAAAAAAAAAAAAAAUUGCAAAAAUUAAAAAGCUCCUUCCUUUUUUUGUUACGCCAUAUAAAGAUGUUCGCUGAAGCACAUUAUAAAAAUAAUGCAGAAAUUAAAAGUACAUGAAUGAGAAAGAAAUUAACCCUAAAAAGAAACUUAUUGCUCCUACAGAAUCCAAAUCAUAUAAAAAGAUUAAUUAAUCUUUUUGACGAGUAGAAUAUUCUAGAAGUAAUCUAAAUGAUAAUAUUGAACUAUUUUCGUAUAGAUUUUUACUCGUGCGUUUAGAAUUAAUUCUUACCUUGUCAAAAAAUAUCGUCCCAUGAAUCCCACCACGAAUGCCUUCGUAUGUUCGAUAAAAAUUCACCAGGAAAGAGCGGCUGUAACAAAAAUUAAGCCCAUCAGAUCAUCCAAAUAAAAAAAAAGAAAAGAAAAAGACUUAAUAUACUUUCUAUCCUUCAAAGUUUGCUAUACUAAUAUAUGUUAAAGUGGGGUGCGCAUGUUACACCAUUCAAGAUCAGUAAUCUUUUGACUUCGUCGCAUUAAUUUUUUUUAUUUUUAUUAAAAAUUAUUUGAAUUUUUACUUUGUCACAUUAAUUUUUUUUUUUUAUUUUUACUAAAAAUUAUUUGAAUUUUUAUGAAAUAGAAAGAUAGUGGGUUAAUUACUGUAAAAAAAUAAUAAGAAUAGUUUGCACACAAAGGGGAACAAAGUUAAGUUAAGUUAAUACGUACGCCGAGCUGUUGCUGUAUGGAUCUCGGCCACCUCUUCUUGGGUCGCCAGCCUGGCCUUUUUCCGGUGAUGUGCAUGAAGUCGUUCUUGAUUUCCGCCUUGGAGAGCGCGAAGGAGAACGUCGGACUCUUUUGCCUUAUGGGCAGAGGAUUGUCGCGAUCCGGCAGCGGCCGGAACGGUAAGCCGGUCUUCUGGUCACCGGAGGCCGCCCUUCUUCUGCUCCUCAGAUUCCACAUCGGCAACGAAGGCGGCGGCGGUGGCGGCAGCGGCGGCAGCGGUUCCUCAUUUUCCUUUUCCUUUUCCUUUUCCUCCCCCUCUUCUGCUUGCAUCUUCUUCUUCUUCCGCCGCUGCUGCCGCGGAGGCAACGCAUUCGUAAUCGGCGGGUUGCAACGAGUCCGGGUCUUUAGAGCAUUGCGGUGGUAGGACGUAUUGUUUAAAGACGGGAAUCGGGGGUUCGGGAGGUGCGGCCGAGAGGGCCGCAGCCGAGGCGGACCAAUGCCGUCUUCCGCCGGUGGAUCUUCCUCUCGGCCUCGGACGGCAUCCGGCCGGAACGCGGGCUGCCGUGUCGGUGUUUCGGGGCUGUCGCCGGAUCUUUUCUGAUGCGUCGGAGGCGGGAGCGUCGACGGCGUAGAGCCCUCCAUGAGUGCAAGUCGAUCGAUCUCUCCCUUGUGUUUUCCACCUUUAAUUCAACUAUUUUUCUAUAUAUUAGCAAGCAAAUUGCAUUAUUAUUAUUAUUAUUAUUAUUUCGGAAAAACUUCAAAUACCACCAUGUGGUUUCAUAUUUUCUCACUUUAGUAUCCUGUUGUUUAAAGUCUAUCAAUUUAGUACCAUGUCGUUUCAUUUUUAUCUUUUUAUUAUCGAUUUCACUAAUUUUUUUCGUUAAACGGUGAUAACGUUAAAACUAAAGAAUAUUAAAGUGAAUAUUUGAUAAAUCUAGAUAGAGUAUGUGAAGUUUUUUUUGUAUAUAAUUUAAUAAAAUAUUAACGAAAAAACUGACGAAAAGAUAAAAAUAAACUGAGAAAGUGCGAAACCACAAGGGUGGUAUCUGAAGUUUAUCCUUUUUUCUAGAGAAAGAUAGCAUGCUACCCGCUUUGUUUAAAUUUUUUUAAAAAAUAAACUUAGCUAGAAAUAUGAAUAAGUUAAUAUUCAAACUUUGGACCUCGAGUACCGACCACCAAACCCUUUACUGCCACUUGCGCCAAGUACAAUCGGUUAAAUUGCAUUAUUAGUCCCUCAACUUUGAGUCAAAUUCAAUUUGGUUGAUUCUCAAACUUUAAAUUUCGUAAUUUUUGAACUUCUAACAGUGCUAAAUUUUCAUCGUUAUAUUCGAUUAAAAAUAGUUUCUUGCAUCUUCUCGAUACAUUAUGCCUCCAUUUGGUUCGGGAGUAAGGGGAAAUAAGCUCUUGUUCUGUUUUUAUACGAAUUUUUGGAAUAAAUUGCUAUAAUUUGAUAUAAGGUUGGAACUGUUAGAAAAGUUUGUUCCCAAGUGAAAAUAAAAUUAAUUAAAGUCUAAAUUUAAUUUUAAUUAUAAUAUUAAAUUAUUAAUUAAUCUAAUUAAUAUGUUUAAAUCAUUAUCCAUUACUUAAAUAAUAAAAUAAUUAAUUAACUUAUUAUUUAUAAUUAAUUAGCUGGUUAAUUAUUAAUAAUUUAAUAUAUUUAUUCAUAAACUAAUAUUUAUAUUGAUCAAUCAUUAAUAUUUUUAUUAAUUUUAUUAAUUUUUUACUAGUUAUCUAACUAAAAUAAUUUACUAACUAAUUAAAAAAUUAAAUUAUACUUAAUAUUUAAUUAAUGAAUGAAUAUAUUUUUAUUAUCUUAUACAAUAUUCAUAGCUAAUAAAUUUAUUAAUUUAUUAAAUUAUUUUUAAUUAAUAUUUUGAUGUUAAUUAAUUAAAUAAAAUAUUUUUAAUUUAAAAUUAUAACCCUUCCAAUCUAACCAUUCAAACACUAUUUAUCUUAUUCCCAUGAAUAAGCCAAUUUUCAUCCAAACACAAAUUUGGUCUAAUACCUAUUUAUACCUGAACUUGUACCCAUCUCUAGAAUAAGCAAUUCUUACUUAUAUCCGAACCAAAUGUAGCUUAUUAAGUUUAUUGUUUCUUCAUAUGUGUUAUACUUUUAAUUUAGAGAUCAAAAUCUUAUAUAAAAAUUUUCAUAAUUUAAUGGACAAUAGAAUUAAAAUAUAAAAAUAAAUCCGUGAUACAGAAAUGCAGAGAUGCAUUACAGGCAAUAAUUAGAUUAUUCUCGCCUAAAAUAAAACUUAGGCGUUUGAGGAUUAAAGGACUACUAAUAUUAAAAUUAAAAGUUCAAGGACGAAAGUGAAAUUCGACAGAAACUUUGGUACUAAUGAUCAAUUGGUCUGAAUUAACGAUGCAAAUUUUAAAAACAUAUAACUCUUACAGGAAUUGAUUAUAUAUUGAGAUAAUAUUCAACCCAACCCAACCCAACCCAAAUCUGAAUCUGAAAUUUUUCAAAUAUGAGUUAGAAUUUUACUAGAUCCGACUCAUAUUCAAAUUCAGAACCAGAUCUCGAACUAAAAUAUUUUUGGAUUCGGAUUCGGUUUUGGGCUCACUAUAAUUCUUCCGAUUUGGAUUAUUGAAUUCGAAACUUGUUUUGAUAUAUUUUCAGCGUGCUACAUCCUCUUUGAAUCUAUUUUUAAUAUUAUAUAUAUUUUUAGAAUUCGUAAGGUUUUUUUUUAAUAUUUUUCUAACUUUUUCUAUAAAAUUAAGAAGCGUACAUAUAUGUUGUAUAUAUUUUGCUUUUAGUACUAUAUAUUACUCAAAUAUUUUAUUCGCAGCCCUAUUUAUUUAAUAUUCAAUCUUAUUGAAUAUAUAUUUAAAUUUUAAUAUCCAAUCAACAUCUAAAUCUGUAUGCGAAUCUGAUAUAAAAAUAUUGAUAUGGAUACAAGUUAAGCACAAUCUAAGCCCUAAAGAUAUAUGAUAUUUACUAUUUGACCUGAAUCGGAGUCGGAACUCGUGUGAGAAUGAAUAUUUUCAAAUAAAACCAUUCGCUCACCGUUAGGAGGUGAACCUUGUUGAGCUUUUUCUUUUCUUUUCUUUUCUUUUCACUUCUAAAACCGAAUUAAAGCAAAUUAGAACACAAACUAAAUCGAACCAAACUGAAAUAAUUUGAUCGGCUCGUAUAUUCGGUUUAAUUAAACCAAACAUGGAUUUGAACAUAGCACUUUUACAAAAUAAUGUCUGAAUUUUUAAUUUGAAUAAUUAAUUAGAGUUGAGCUUAAAAGUACAGGAGUAUUUGUGCUCGUGACUCUUUAGUCGUUGGACCGCCUCAAGAUUUAUACAUCACUUUUAUCGAUGUAUCCUAUUAAUUUCACUUUUACUCAUCCUGUAUGGAUUUUGAGAUGAUUCGACAGCUUAAAAGUUAGCUCCUGUGUUUUGAAAAGCACAAGAGCUCAACUCUAAUUAACUAUGCCUUCUAAAUUUUAUUAAAUAAUUUGAUACACCUCUCUCCUCACGCAAAGUUACUAAUUGAAAAUAUUCAUGGAUUUACAACAACAAACUCUACACAUAAAUAGCUUUCUUGAUUUUUCAGAUUUUUCUCAUUUUAAAGACCUGAAAAUAAGGUUUAAACCAUCGUUUCUCUAUAUUGAUUAUUCCUGCUUUGAGUGCUCAGUCACAUCAUGUUGAACAUAAAUUUCUAUAAACAUCUAAUUAGAGAAUCUGUAUUUGAAGGAUGUCCAGAUUUAAAUUCGAAUCCAAAAAUCAGAUUUACAAGAUUUUUUUAAAAAAUUUUAAAGACUCGUAAAUAAGGUUUGAACAACCAUUUCUCUAUAUUGAUUAUUCCUGCUUGUGUUGAAAAUAAAUUUAAGUAUAAAUAUUCAAACUAGAAAAUCUGUAUUUGAAGAAAAAUCGAAUUUAAAAAAUUAUCAUUGUUACCGAAUUCGAAUCUGAGCUCGAUGGAAUUAGCUGAUUUUGAGAUUUUGACUAUUAUCGAAUUUGUAUUCGGAUUGGAUUAGAAAUAUCCGAACCAUUUUAACCCCACAUCCAACGAGUUCUAUCUUUCCUAAUUUAAAUAAUAAUAAUUAUAUUUUAAGAAAUUAAUUAGAUUGUCGACUUAAAAGUAAAUUGGAGUAAAGCGCAUUUAACUUCUCUUUAUGCAAAUUCUAAAGAGGAGCUUCGUAUAGAAUUUUUUAUUCGCUUUGUUUCAUCUGUCUCUCUUUCUCUUUUCUUUGACUAACUUUUAAGAGGCCACAAAAGCAUGUACGAAAAAGAUUUCGACCAUAAUAAGUUGAGAAAAUAACAACUAUCAAUUAAAAGGAAAAAAAUUGUGCAACAUGAAUAGGGUUAAACUUUUAAAAUAGGAAUACAUAUAUUUGCUAAUUGUAAUCUAAAUAGGCUAAAUUCAAAAGCAAAAUCUAUAUCUCUAUGUUUUUAGGCAUUAGGUUGAACACUUAGUAGGCAUUCCAAAGAACAUACAGAAUAUAAGAAAUCUAUAAAUUGGUAUCUAAUAGAAGCACAGAGAUUCAAACAGAUCUCGAAAUUCUACCAUAUAAAUUUCAAAAUUCUAAAAAAGUACUUUUUAAAUUGAAAAAUCUAUCAAAAAAGGAAUUCCUUCAAAAAGAGGGAAAGAACAAGAUAAAGAGAACAAAUAAAAACCUUUUUAAUGAUGAAAACGAUGACGGACGAGAUGCUUUGGACGAACGAAGCAACGCCAACGAUGAACGAGAGACGGAGUUGCGAUGUCGUUGUCAAAGAAUGAGAAGCCAAAGCCUUUUAGUGCGCGCGUGCGAGAACGGGAGAGAUCACGCGCAUGACGGAGAUGCCGACCGUGAUGUGGGCGUACGGUCGAGAAAGAGAGGAGCCGCCGAUUUGAGAUGUCGUACAACAAAGAAAAAGGAGAUUUGGACGCUUUUAAUUAAUUAGGGUUGCUCAAUUUUACUUUGACCCCUAAACAUUUUACGUUAUGCAAAAUAGUCCCUCUGUAUCAAAAAUAAAUAAAUAAAUAAAUAAAUAAAAUUAAAACAAAACAAAAUUAAAAUAAUAGGGUGUUACUGUCACUUACACCGUCUUCCCCUAAAAAUAAGUUUAGUCCUCUAAAUUUACUUACCUCAACUCUCAAAAAGUUGAGGGUACUUCAAUUUCAUCUACUCCAGCUUCUAAGGCUUCGUUUGGGAUUGCGGGGAGAUUGCAUUACGUGCGAUGAGAAAGUAAGUUGGAAAAAUACCUAUUUGUUUUCGUACGUAAUAUUGCGUUCCACAUAUCACGAUGAGUCGAUUAUGAUAUAUUUUUUGCGGUUCCACCAGAGAACGCAGAAGCAUAUCCCUAUAUGCUUUUUCCUCAACUCCAUUUUAUCUAAUAGCGUUAGAUAGGCCUCAAUACCAAACUAAGCCUAAGUAGUCUCACGUUCAGAAUGAUUACUACAUUGCACCUUCACAUAUAGAAUAGUUUGCCUUAUCAGCACUUGAUCUUUUCUGUCUACAAUACGUAUAGGCUGUUCAACAUAAGAUAAGUAUUCUCUAAGGAUAUGUUUGUUUGGGUGGAAGUGGGACGAAAGUAGAGAAGAGAGAAGUCGUUUUCAUUAUAAAUGAUUACUUCCGUUGUUUGGUACGCCAUAAAAAAGUUACGGUCGAAACUCGAGUUAACCUGAAACGACGUAAUUAAUUUUGGCCCAUUAUGGGUCGAAGUCAAUUACGGUGAAGAGAGGCGAAAAACAUAAUAAAAUAAUAUACUAGGUAAAAAUAAUUAUAUUUAAAUAUAUUUAAUUACGGUACUAAUUACUCUUUUAUUCAAUUGGCAUAUUUAAAAUAUGAUAAAAAUUGAUUAGUUAAGUUUUUUUUUUUUUGUUUAUUUUGUACAAUUAAAAUAUGAUAAAAAUUGAUUAAUUAAGUAUUAAUAUUUUUUACUUUAUAAUUUUAUUGUUGUAUUACUAUAAUUUAUGUAUAAAAAAUGAUUUAGUUGUUUUAAAUUAAAUUUUAAUUAUAUAAAAUAUAAUUUUUUUUAUUUAUUAAAUUAUUUAUUAUUUAUAUAUAAAUUAUAAUUUUACAUCAUACACUUUCUACCAAACAAACAGCAGAAUUAAUAAAAUUUCACUUCAAUAACUACGAAACAAACAGCAGGAAAGAAGUGGUUUUUACCUAACUCCACUUCAAACCCAAAGUCCAUUUUAACCCAAAGUCCAAUUUCAGUGAAACAAACAUGCCCUAAGCUGCAAAAGUGCUAACUCCAUUACAUAGCUUAGGUCAUGAACAUAUUUACUUAACAUGGACACAUGGAACACAAUAUGCACGCCGACCAACGAAGGCGGUAAGGCAAGCAUAUAGGCCACAUCUUCUACCUUCUCAAGAAUUUCAAAAGGACCGAUAUAAUGAGCGCUGAGCUUUCCACGAACUACAAAGCGCAUACUACCCCUAGAAGGUGACACUUUUUGUUGGUGUAUAUAUUUAAGAAAUAGAGGUUAGUUACAAAAAAAUUUAAAAAAAUGUCAACGAGUCGAUCAAGCCGAGGCACGGAUAUCUCGCUCUCUUUAAAGAGAUUCAAGCUCUCUGCGGUUGGCAAAGCCUUUAAACAAAUGCAACAGAGCACUGACUUGUCCCCUCCAGGAUACAACGGCUCGACCCUAGUCGUGUAGCUUCACCAACUCUGCACAAGUAGAUGAGCCCAAAGCUCCACCAAAAGAAACACCUUUCUUUGACCUUCUCUCUCUCAAGUAUAAUUGAAAUAACUUUGUUGUUUUUUGAGUUGUGUUUAAGUGAAUAGAGAAGCCUCUAUAUAUAGGCUCAUAAGACUAGGGGUUACAAAGGUAUAAAGGCAUAGGUUAGAUUUCAUUUAGUGUAAACUUUGCAUAGUAAAUGUACUAACGUUAAUCUCAUUUGAUGUAUGUAAUGUAUAGGUUAAAAAAGCUUAUAUUGAAUGUGAGUAAAGUGAAGUUGUAACUUUGCUAACCAUGAAUUAAUAUGUUAAAUUUUCAUAAUUAAUAAUAAAAAUGUAACAACAUUCUCCCACUCAUUUUUAUUAUUAAAAAUAUAUGAGAGUUUGAUGGCUAAAGAUAGACCAUUAUACAUAAUGAAGGUGUGCUCUGCAUUGAACCUUCACUUAGGGGCUGUUUGGUUGCACGUAUUUACAACUGCAGUACAGUUGCAAAUGUGUGCAACCUGAAUUCCUAUGUUUGGUUUAGUGCAGUUGAGUUCAACUGCUGCAGUUCCAAUUGCACAAGAAGGUCCAAAUGCUACAGUUGGAACUACAUCUAAAUUGGCCGUAGUUCCAACUGCAGCAGUUGGUGAGGAAUAGGAUCACCCACAAAUUAACAAUAAUAAAUAAAUAAAUAAAUAGCUAAAUAAAUAAAUAAAUAAUAUAUAUAUAUAUAGAUAAAUAAAAAUAUUUGUAAAUAAACUCAUACUAAUAAAUUUUUUUAGGCAAUACAAGCUUUGUGCAAAAAAUUAAAAUUUUUUAAAUUUAUUUUAUUUAAAAUAUAAAAUUAUUUUUUUUCCUAAAUUUUUAUAGAAUGUGAUUGUGUAUGUUAACUUAAUAAGUUUUAAUUAAUUAUAAUUAUUAAAUUUGAUAAAAAAAAUGAGAGAAUCGUUUAAAUUUUUAAAGUUUGAUUUACAUAUUAAAAUUAAAUAAAUUAAAACUUUUAAAUGUGUCGAUUAAUAAGUUGAAAAUUUGUUGAAAAAUAUAAACAUAUUAUAUAUAUAUAUCUACUUAUUUAUUUAAAAAUAGUAAGUUUAAAUGAUUAAUGAAUUUAUACAAUUAUUUUAUGCAUAGUGAAGGUAAUCUCACCACUCUAUCUGAAGAGGUGACAAAAUUCACAAAUACAAACUAUCAGCUUCAUAUUACCAAACAGAAGAAAUGUAACUGCAGCAGUUGUAACUAUAUAAAAUCAAACAGACUAGGUGUAGUUACAACUGCAGCAUUUGCAACUUCAUGUAUUUUCAACUACACUGUUUCUGCAAUUACAUCCAACCAAACAGCCCUUUAGUGAAACAGUAAUCUCUUCUCCAGAGCCAGAGUGGUCUCAGACUUGAACUUUGACUGCUUAGGGGAAAUAGAAAGUUAUUGCUCACAUAUAACAAUCCAGGUGUUGACAUGAGCUUUAAUAGCUAGCACGUUAUGGCCUUGUGCUGAUCCUGAUUUUCAUGAGCAUUUUUAGAAUAAGCCCGUUCUCAUAGGAAGCGGCCCUACUUCCAUGCUCACAUAGGUGAAAUCCGUCAAGGGUGCUCCUGUAAUUCUGACACCCUGCUCAUAAGAGCCACAGAUUUCAUUAAGAGCAAAAGUUCAACCCUCUUUUCAUUACAGGAUGAAUGCAUCCACACCAUAGGGAUAGGUAAAGAUGCGAUUAUAUAGAUCUAUAUAUUGUGCAUUCUUUACGACCACCAUAUGAUUCGUUUUUUCUAUUGAACUCAAUUUUCAGAAUCUCUUAUCAUCAAGUUGGGUAUCCUUAUACGUGGUUCAUGAUGUUAUGGGCUUCAUCCCUAUCCCCCUCGAUGUGCUCCAGAUCCUUUCUCUUCCUAAGACCUUGGUUAAUGAAUCUGUCAAAUUAUCAGUAGAUUUAAUAUAAUCUACAUUGAUAAUUUCAUUAUUCAUAUAUGAUCUCACAGUACUAUAGUUUCUUCUCACGGAUCUGGAUUUACCGUUAUAAUAACGAUUUCUUACUCUACCAAUAGCAGCAGUGCUAUCACAGUGUAUUAACACAGAUGGAACUGAUUUUUCCACAAAUGGAAUCUCAGAAAAUAAGUCUCUCAACCAACUAGCUUCCUCGCUGGCUGAAGCUAAGGCAAUAAGCUCGACUUCCAUAGUUGAGUUAGCAAUGAUAGUUUGCUUUUUAGAUUUCCAACAUAUAGUACCACCUGCUAAAGUAAAAAUAUAAUCAGUGGUAGAGAGAGAAUCACCUGAUAGGGUAUUCCAGUCAGCAUCAUUAUAACCCUCAAUCACAGUAGGAUACUUCCCAUAAAACAAGCCAAAAGUUUUGGUACCAACGAGAUAUCUCAUCACACGUUCCAUGACAUGCCAAUGAUAUGUACCUGGCUUGCUUGUAAAUCUACUAAGUAUCCCUACUGCGUAUGCAAUAUCAGGUCUCGUACAAUCAGUCACAAACCGCAAGCUCCCAAUCAUACUAGUAUAUUCCUUUUGAUUCAAAAUUUAAUUUUUCACUUUUGAUCAUAGUUAGUUAAUUCGGAUUCGGCAAAAAUUCGGUACAGAUAUAAUUCGGAUAAAAUUCGUCUUUUAAUUUUUAAAUUCGUUGAAAAAUACGGUUAAAAAACGAAUUCGCCAAUUAUUCGGAUAUGUGAUUUAUACGAAUAUUAUACGUUCACCAAUUAAAAAUUCGGUAUAAAAAAUUUGGCUAUUAAAUUAUAUUUUUUUUCUCUCAAGUUUUAUGCAAUUAAUAUAAAUACUCAUAAUUCUUAAGAAUAUAAGAAUAAAGAGCUACAAAAUUAAGCUAAUUAAGUAAAAAAAAAUAGCAACCUAUAUUAUGUCCCAAAAUAAAUAUAUAAUUAAGCAAAUAGCAAACUCAAAUCUGUAUCUCCAUAUUGCUAUUUCUCCAAAUUCAUCGGAAAUUCACAGUAUUGCCAGUUAAUACCCAUGUUUUUUAGCUUUUGUUAAAUUUUCUAGGUCUCCCUUGAUUUUUAAUCAAUGCAGAUGCUUGUGACUUUCAAACCUGCUAGGCAUAUCAAACCUUUUGAGGUCUUAAUUCUUAAAACCUUAUUUGCUAAUUAUUCUUGUACGCUGGGCAUAUUCAUGUAUACUGUAGAGAUUAAAGAUAAAAAGGAAGUAAUGAAUCUUAUCAAAUGCAUGUUUACAAUGAUGCUACAUGUUGUAGUCAUGGUCUUAUUACUGAUCAAAACCAUACAGUUAGCAAUUAAGAGGAGAUGAAAUAAAGGAAAGAGAGAGAGAGAGAGAAACAAAAGCAUAAAAAUUCUUGUAAAGAACCGCCCGAUUACUGAUCCAUCGUUGGAGAGCGGAAGCGGAAGAGGAAGAGGCGACGAGGAGGGUUCUGAUUUUUGAAGAAUGAAGAACCCGAUCUUCGAUGUGGCCACGCGGGGGCUUCCGAUGGCUCGAAGGGAAGAGGAGAAAGGGGAGGGAAGGGAAGAGGAGGAAGGAAAGUGAUGGGGCUGGGGUCGGCGGCAGGGCAGCAGGGCGGCAGGGUUGAAGGGUUAGGGCAAAACCUUUUUUUGGGGGUGAAGGGGCGAUGGUUUUGGGCGAGGCGAUUACGCGUCUUCGCGAGCCAAAGCUUCUUUCUCUCUCUUUUUUUUUUUUUCUGUUUUGGGCUAGCCACGAGGCCCACGACAGUAGCACGAGUCCGCGACCAGGCUGCGAGUUCGCUACCCGCAAGCCCACAGCGCCGUUUUUUUCGAGCGAAUAAUUCGUGAAUCGCAAAUUAUUCGUGAACAAGUACUUUUGACGAAAAAAACGCGUUUUUUUUCAAAUUUUUGGGAAUAAUACGUAUACGGCUGUUUAAUUUGUUUCUUCAAAAAUUCGCGAAUAAUUCGCGAAUAAUUCGCGAAUUUUUCGCGAAUUAACUAACUAUGCUUUUGAUAGAAAAUAGUGAACACUCGAAUCAAAAGUUGUAGUCGCAUACUUGCAAUUAAGAAAGUUAUACUUUCUUAAAAUUUUCUCAACAUAAUGUGACUGAUCAAGAAAGAUCCCAUUUGGUGUUUUGGUAAUUUUCAUAAAAUUAGCCUCACCAAGUUCUUUCAUUUCAAAAUAAUAAUUUAGCAUAAUUUUUGUCUCAUUGAUAAUAUUUAAGUUAGAGCCAAAAAUUAGCAAAUCAUCCACAUAAAGGUUAACAAUAACAUGCAACUUUUCGAAAAUUUUGUAAUAGAUGUACUUAUCACAUUCGUUUAAUUUAAAGCUAUUCUCAAUCAUGCAAGAAUCAAAUUUUUCAUGCCACUGUCUAGAUGCCCGCCUUAAACCAUAAAAGGAUUUAUUUAGCUUGCACACUUUGUUUUCUUGCCCAGGCUCAAUGAACCCCUCACGUUGGUCCAUAUAAAUUUCCUCAUCUAGGUCACUAUUCAGAAAAGCAGUUUUUACAUCAAUCUAAUGAAUUUGUAAGUCAUGAAUUGCAGUAAUAGCAAUCAGAACUCUAAUGGAUGUAACUCUUGUAACCGGAGAAAAGGUAUCAAAGAAGUCUAAAUCUUCUUUUUGUUUAUAACCUUUUGCGACAAGUCUAGCUUUAUACUUGUCUACACUUCCAUCCGGUUUUAAUUUCUUUCUGAGGACCCAUUUACAACCAAUUGUUGUACAGCAUGGUGGUAAAUCCACUAAUUUUCAUGUUUUAUUAGAAAUUAGAGAUUCCAUCUCAUUAGAUACAGCCUCUUUCCAAAACAUUGCAUCAUUUGAAGAUAAAGCUUCUUGUAAAGAAAGUGGAUUUUCUUCAAUAUUCAGAACAACAUAAUCAGGGCCAAAAUCUUUUUCUAUUCUAUUUCGUUUACUUCUUCUUGGUUCAAAAAUAUUUUUUUCUUGAUUUUGCAAGAAAGAGUUUGAAGAACUUGGUUUAUUUGAAACACUUUUAAAAUCUUGACCCCCACUAUUUUUCGAUUUAUAAGAAAAUUUUUCUUCAUGAAAAAUAGCAUAUCUUGAUUAAAAAAUUAUAUUAUUUUUUACCGACCGUCUCUAGAGCAAGUGGCAAAGGGCAUGGUGGUUGGUACCCGAGACCCAAGUUCGAAUCCUAGUUGUUUCACAUUUCCAGCUAAGUUUAUUUCUAAAUGAAAUAAACAAAGCGGGUAGCGUACUACCUAUCGCUCAAAGAAAAAAUAUUAUUUUCAAUGUCUAAAAAUUUAUAGGCUGUACUGUUCAAAGCAUAUCCAAGAAAAACACAAGUGGCAGCUCUAACACCCAUUUUGGGUAUUUUAGGGUCUGAUAGCCUCACAUAUGCUAGACAACCCCACACUUGACUUCUUUUGUGGCACGCGAUUCAAGACAUAACAUGCAGUUAAAAUAGCUUCACCCCAAAGGUUUAGGGGUACACCAGUGUCAACUAUCAUAACAUUUGUUAGCUCAAUAAGUGUUCUAUUUUUUCUCUCAGCCACUCCAUUAGAGGCAGGUGAAUAUGGAGCAGUAGUCUCAUGGAUAAUUCCUAAAGACUGAACAAAACGAGUUGAAUCCUGUAGAUUCAUACUCACGACCUCGAUCACUUUUAAUUCUUUUAAUCUUUUUACCGAAUUGGUUUUCUACUUCAUGGAGGAAAUCUUUAAAUUUUUCAAAAGCAUCACUUUUAUUUUUUAAUAAAUAAACAUAAGUAUAUUUAGAAAAAUCAUUGAUAAAAGUGAUAAAAUAUCUAUUUCCUCCACGAGUUAGGGUGCCUUCAAAUUCACAAAUGUCACUAUGAAUUAACUCAAGUAAUUCGGUACUUCUUUCAAUAUUCUUAUAAGGUCGUUUAGUGAUUUUUGACUUACUACAUGUUUCACAUUUGUCAAAAUUACUAUUUAGUCUGGGAAUUAAUCCUAAACUACUUAAUAAGCUAACAUAUCUGCUGUUAGUAUGACACAAACGAGCAUGCCAAAAAUUCACAGAUGAAAGCAUGUAAGAAGAAGUAGAUGAUGCUUUAUUCUCAAUGUUUAGUUUAAACAUUCCGUCGCAUGCAUAAUUUUUACCUACAAACUUUUCAUUCUUAGAAAUCACAUACUGAUCAGACUUAAUGAUCUGUUUGAAGCCAGCUUUAUUAAGAAGAAAACUUAAUACCAAAUUCUUCCUAAUCGAGGGUGUAUACAACACAUCUUUCAAGAUAAGCACCCUUCCAGAAGAAAAUUUUAACUCGACCUCACCAUUCCCUAAAACUUCAGAAGUAUGUGAAUCACCAAGCAUAAUACUUCUUGGUUGUUCAUAGGGAGUAUAUGUUUUAAACCAAACUUUAUCAUGACAGACAUGCCUAUUGGCAUCAGAGUCUGCCCACCAUCCUUCAGCAUUCUCCACUAAGCAUAUGUCUAUUAUCAUCGUCACAAGUGGCUCCUCUAUAACAUUAGUUUGAGGUAAAGCUUUAUGUUUUCGGUAUUUGCAAGUUCGAGCAAUAUGCCCACUUUUACCACAGAUAUAGCAAACUAUAUUUUUCACAUAAGAAGGAGGUGCGUGGUCAUUUUUCUUAAACUGAGGUCUACCAGAAUUCUUUCCAAUUCUCUUCUUUGCCUUCAAGUAUGUAUUUCUAGAACGAUGUCAUUAGGUAAAGACUUAGAAGAUACUAAGUUUACCUUAGUGGCGCUAGCAUCAUUCUCUUUUGCUUUAAGUGCAUCUUGGCCUCUUGCCUUUUCUUCCACGCGAAUGCGUGCAAUUAAUGUCUCGAGAGACAUCUCCUUUUGCUUGUUGAGAUUUCCGACAGCAUCGUUGAACUUUUCACGUGUAGCCUCCAUUUAUGAUUCUCCUUAAAAUUGUUGGUGUAUAUAUUCAAAAAAUAGAGUUUAGCUACAAAAUAAUUGUAAAAAAUGUCAACGAGUCGAUCAAGCCGAGGCACGGAUAUCUCGCUCUCUUUAAGGAGAUUCAAGCCCUCUGCGGUUAGCAAAGCCUUUGAACCGAUGCAGCAGAGCACUGACUUGUCCCCUCCAAGAUACAACGGCUCAACCCUCAUCGCGUGGCUUCACCAACUUUGCACAAGUAGAUGAGCCCAAAAGCUCCGCCAAAAGAAACAUCUUUCUUUGACUUUCUCUCUCUCAAGUAUAAUUGAAAUAACUUUGUUGUUUUUUGAGUUGUGUUUAAGUGAAUAGAGAAGCCUCUAUAUAUAGGCUCAUAAGACUAGGGGUUACAAGGGUAUAAAGGCAUAGGCUAGAUUUCAUUUAGUGUAAACUUUGCAUAGUAAAUGUACUAACGUUAAUCUCAUUUGAUGUAGGUAAUGUAUAGGUUAAAAAGGCUUACAUUGAAUGUGAGUAAAGUGAAGUUGUAACUUCACUAACCAUGAAUUAAUAUGUUAAAUUUUCAUAAUUAAUAAUAAAAAUGUAACAACACUUUGAGAAACACAUGAUCUCCAACUUCAAAUUCUAAUUGUCAUCUUCAAUUCUAGGCAAAAGGUCUCUAUUCAUCAUUAUCACUUUAUUCAGUACGCAAUAGUUGAUGCAUAGCUUUAGACUGCCAUCCUGCUUUUUUUGCAAAUAGCCCCCUGACAAAUUUUAUUUUUAAAAAUAGCCCCAUCCAAAAUAUAUUUGUAAAAAUGGCCCUGGCCCUGCCACGCCAGCGCCACGCGGGCCGGGCUGGGGGCAGGUGGUUUAAAUGAACACGGUGAACCAUUCACCAUGUUCAAACACGGUGAAUAGUUCACCGUGUCCAAUGCAUUAUAUGCACCGCCCCGCGGUGUGUAGGAAUACACAGGACACAGUGAACUGUUCACCGUGUCUAGACACGGUGAACCAAUCACCGUGUCCAAUGUAACCAUAUAGACCUUAGCCAAAAAUGGUUGUCACGGAUAUUUGUAUUGGACAUGGUGAACAAUUCACUGUGUCUAAACGCGGUGAACAGUUCACCAUGUCCAAUACAGCUACCCGGGACUUAGCCAUUUUUCGGGCUAGGUCGUGGUAUUUGUAUUGGACACGGUGAAUAGUUCACCGUGUCCAAUACAAAUAUAUUGGACACGGUGAAUGGUUCACCGUGUCCAAUGCAAAUUUCCACCCUUAGUCAUAUUUUUGGCGCACAACAAUAAAUACAAGAAUACAAUACAGAUACCUAUCAAUACACAUCACAACAUCACAAAAUUAAUACACAUCACAACACAACAAUACAAUACAGAUACUCAAACACAACAGUACAAUACAUCAUCACAACAUCAUAACACAAGAGUACAAUAUACACAUCACUACCAAUAAAAUCUCAAUAAAAUAUCAAUACCAAAUAAUCAAAACAGAAUAUAUAAAAUAAAAGCAAAUUGUACAAUAAUAUAUAAAUAUAAUAUCAUGCUCUCCUCCUACUCCUCUGACCACGUCGCCUACCACGUCCGCGACCACGAUCGACACCAUGCUCAUCAAAAGGCUCCAAGAUCUCCAACUGGUCUAAAUGCUCUAUAGCAGCACCCUCAAUAACCGGCUCAAUCACAACAGUAGCAGGUGUCGGUAGUAUGUCCGACCGUGGAGAAGCUGAAGAGUAGGGCUGAUCUGUACGGAUAGACCUCAUAUGUCGUCGACGCCUAAAAUAAACAAUAUCACCUGCUCGAGCUGGAUCUUGCGGUACUGGUGCUGGUGCCGGGUCCGUAACAUCCGCAUAAGGUGGCUUCUCUAUAGGUGAUGAUGGCCUCGGUGGACUAUAUAUGGGUGCAUGGCCGGACGUCGAUGCUCCACCAUAGUCUGCUGGUCCUGGAGGUACAUAGUGUGAAAGCGUAGGUAAAGACUCUAAAACUGCUUCCAUCUAAUCGACGACCUGUGAUAGGGUAGCUAAGACUCCACCUCCUGAAAUAUCGGGCAAGACACGUCUGAUCGUAUAAUGUGAUCUCUGCACGAUAUCGACCUGAAAUAAAAGCACAAUCAAAAAAGAUUAUACUAACUUUCUUGUAUAUGUAAAAAUUAAUAUAAAAAGAUAUUAUAUAUUACAAUCAUACCAAUACUCUCUCGACGUGUCCACGUGGCUGAUACGCGAGUGGUGGCCGCUGUACAGGUGUAGAUAUCCACCUCCCGGUGAUCGUCCAAUAUCACUGCAUGUAAAUAGUGGUAGCUCGUAUCGGAUCUGGAUCUGUCUCUGGGGCCACCUCUGCUAUAUCUAUCAAUCUAUUAUUCCAACGCUGAAUGUAUGAAGCAUGGUAUGCUGCCCAAUUCUCAUCUGCUCUACCUCGUGAAUUGAUGCGAGAUAUAUAUGGCAAGCACUUCUUCAGAUAUAUGCUAUAAUAGCCCAAACUGUCACAGCACACGAUCGGGAUGAUGGAGCUCAAUAAUGUGAAAGCAGACUAAGGUAGUCCUUGAUCGCCAAACCUGGGACCCCGCCAGACAAAAAGGUGGGAGCGUCUCUAAAACUGUGUCGUCAUAAGGCCUUCAUGUAAUCUAUUGUGAAAAAUACAUAUGAUUAGUUAUCAAAAUUAAACUAUAUUGAUCUCGUGUUUCUUAGAAAAAUGAGUGUUUCGGCGCUGGCACUAGUGUUUCGGAGACAAAAUUAAACUAUAUUAAUCUAUAUUGAAGGAUUGCGACGCUAACUUUGAUUAAAUAGAUCAAAAUGAGGCUUGAGGAUAAUGUGUGGUGUCCCCGAGUUAAUUUGGAAGUGUGGGGGUAGUAAACUAUGAGUUUAUAAGAUAUUUAGAGGGUAUUAAACAUAAGCUCGAUAAUGCACUUUUGCAGGAUUGAGACCCUAACUUGAAAUUGAUCGUGUACAAACCUAAUUGAGGGUAAAGCGAACACGUUGGCGAAGUCAGUUCGGUAAUCGGUCCAGCCUACGCGAAGAUAUCGCCAAAAGGACGUUUUCGGCUUCGAAAUUCGAUUUCUUUAAAACAAACAACUAAUUUCUUUUUAUGGUGAACAAAAUUUUCAAACUAAAACAAAAUUUCAAACCCAAAAAUUAUUAGAUUAGCAUUGAAUACAAAAUUUGACAGAUUGAGUAACUUUUAUUUACCUGAGACUCUAACUGUUGAUCCAGCUGAUCACGAUAAAACUCAAUGUCAGUAGUCCUGACAUUGUCCCGAAAAGCCGGCCUGGUAUUCCACCUGAUUCAUUUAUAUCAUAUUAGUUAUGAAUAAAUAGUAUAUACAAAACUUAUAAUGAAAAAUUACUUACCGACACCCUGGAGGCAUGUCGACAAGCUCAGGCUGCGGUCUUACUACCUCAGGGCGGCCAAUGUGCAGGUGGUCCCAUGCCCAUAUCUAUACAAAAAUAGCAUUCUUGUUAGAAAUAGAAACAAUAACCAUGACUUAAGUACAAGUAUUGUAAGGGUCUGUGUCGCAAAUUGUAUCUGAACUAAUGUCCCAAAACAACAACACUCGACCUUUCCCCUGAAGCAAGCAUUUCCUAGGGCGCGAUAAAGAUGAGCUAGCGCGGCUGCACCCCAUGCCAACCCACCACGAAGGUCAAAAUCCUCUAGAUGUGGCAACCAUUUCAAAUGCACCCUAUUCCCGCUUGGAUUUAAAAACAAACUACAUCCUAUCUGAAAUAGUAUAUAUGCUCUCGCUGUAGCUCGAACAAUAGCCGGAGGUGCAUCUAAGGGGAUAUCAUGGAACUGCUGAUAUAACCAGUUUAUCUUGAUCUCACCAUCCCUAAUAUCCUGCGGAACCACCCCGAGAAGUAACCCGCACAGCUCUGCCCACUGAUAGGAUCCCCCUCCAGUCACAGCCCCACCAUCGACGGAAAGUCCCGCAAUAACUACGACGUCCAUCAAUGUAAUACUCAUCUCUCCGUGUCGUAAAUGGAAACUCUGUGUCUCCCGCCGCCACCUCUCGACUAAUGCUCCGAAUAACGACUGAUCGAGCUGUAGGCGGCGCAAUCGUGAAACGUAAUAAAAUCCUGCUCGUCGAAUAAGUCCAACACCGCAGGAUGCUCGCACUGCCAUCUAUUCAUUUUACGGCCAUGCUCCGUAAAUUGAACAGGAGAAUAUCCCUGCAUGAUUGUGAAAGUCAGCUCAAAAUUAGUACAUAAGUUAAAGAAGAUCUACGUAAAUUUGAAAUAUUUUAAAAAAAUUCACCUCCUCUCUGAUCAAAGUAGAUCUAUGUCGUGGCUGCUCAGUCAGCACGGAUGUAUCAAUAGGUCCCGGCUCGUCAUGAUCGUCCAUCUAAAAUAGGCAAAAAAAUUUGAGUUAGAAACAACAUGAUGUAACAUUAGUGCGUAAGUAUAAAAGAUUUAAGAAGUUAAGUGUCAGUUUCAUAUAGAAAAAAUGAUGCAGACCGAACCCGACCCGUCUCAUCGCCCGAGUUUCAGGUCUAUCAACGAAGGCGGCGCAAGUUGGCACCCGAACCCGCUAUAUGGAUCUGAAGAUUAUUUUUGAUUUACUCUAUUAUUUUAAGAUUUUCUUGUUAGGAAUAUUUGUUAUAUUUUCCUUUUAGAUAAAUCUGUAGUUAAGAUUUUUUGGUUAUUUUCCUUUUAGAUAAAUCUCUAGUUGAGAUUUUUUUGGUUAUUCUCAGAUGUAAUUAGGAUAUAAAUAACCUACAAGGUUUUAUGAAAAGGGGACGAUGAUUAUUGAAUAAAAAUUUUGAACCUUUCCUGCAAAGAUUUUUGGUGAGAGUUUUUCCCGGAUGGUUUUCCGGUUCUGGCGAGGUCCAGAGUUUUAAUAUUUUGUUGGAUCUGAGUUCCUCUUAAUUUUCUGCAAAUUUUGACUACUUAUUUGUGAGAAUUGAGUAAGAUUUGAGAAAAUAGAGAGGUUGAGAGUAGAGAGGAGAGCUUGUGCAAGCAGCUGAGAGAAGAGGUUGAAGACGAAACUUAGAAACGUAGAUCCUUGAGGCGCUGCUCCCGAGGCGGCUUGGCUUCUUGCACACGUCAUCAGGCCAUGUGCCUGUGCUGAAGCAUCAAGCAGCAACUAUAUUGGAUGAACCCGGUUCACAGCACAAGCUAAGUAUUCCCCUAUACACCUCAAUUUACGCAAAUCAUCUACUGGUAAUAAAAGGUUGGUCGAUAAAACGUUUUGAUUUUUAUUUUUUUCUCGAAAAAAAAAAUUUCGUAGAUCUGUUUUUUUUUUUAUCGUCCUAAACUUUUAAAAAUUGUUUUGUCUCUUUAAUCUUGCAAGAUACUUGAUUAUUAUUGUUGGGCGAAAUUCGAUUACGCGGUAUUUACAAGCAUGAUUAGGAGGAUGUUGCAAAUAGAUUGUGGAUGAUCUGGACUAAUCAUAAUAGUUUAAUCAUGCAUUCGCUGGAUGUCGUAUGGUACAAUCUCCUAUCUGAUCAACUUUUCUUAUUUUAUUAAUUUUCUUUUCGAACGUUCAUUUCUAAAAAAAUAUAUAUAUAUUUUUGCUCGUUUAAUUUUAUCUUAGCAAAAUUUUUGUCUACCACAUCUAAGGAGUUUUACAUGUAGGAUAGGUUUGACCCGUCCUGCAUCAGAUUUGGUAUCAGAGCCCUAGGUUAAUGUAUGAUCCUUAGAAGUGGUAAAAUUUAUCAUCCUGAACCCAUGUCUUUUGAACCCACUGCAAUGGAUCAGAUUUUACAGCAACUGACUGCUUUGAACACUAAAUUAGAUGACAUAGGGGAUCGUGUGGCCAUCCUUGAGACUAGUCGGACUGUAGUAGGCAAUGUGAUUGCAACUCCUGAUAGAAUAGCCCUCAGAGCCCAACGCCAACCCGACCUUCCUAGACAUAAUUUCUCACUAGACAACGACAUUACCAAAAAGAUCAAAAUUGAAGCCCCAACUUUCGAUGGAAGAUUUGAUCCUAAGACUUUCACUGAUUGGCUGACUGAUAUGGACCAAUUCUUUGAUUGGAACGAUAUGUCGGAUGACCGUCGCGUUCGCUUUACCAAAAUGAAACUUGUAGGGGCAGCCAAAUAAUAUUGGGUGAGUGUUGAGCGAUAAUUGGCUAGGUCUAGGCAAGCACCGAUCACGUUGUGGGAUGAGAUGAAGGCCAAAUUAAGUGAAAAAUAUUUGCCCUCGACCCAUAGGCAGCUUCAAAUAGAACAAAUGUUGUCCUUACGUCAAGGUUCAAUGUCCGUGGCUGAUUACAUGCAAAAGUUUGAUGAGAUUUCUGUUAGGUGUAAUGUCCAGGAAGAAGAGGACGUGACAUUGGCCCGGUUUAGGAGAGGAUUACGUGAGGAAAUCUAGAAAGAGAUUACACCCCAUCGAGUAAACACAGUAGAGGAUGCGUUCCAACUCGCACUCGAAUAUGAGCGUUAUCUUAAACCACCUACUAGGCGUUUCGGUUACCAAGCCGGGGAGUCAAGUACUAAGAAGUGGACCGAUAGAAACCAAAACACUGGUAAGUCAAUCGUACCCUUCAAUCAACCUAAUCGAGAUUCUAGGGGAAAAUCUUUAGUUGAAGGAACUAAACCAGACCUUUCUCCAGUGAAGUGUUUUAACUGUGAAGUAAUGGACCAUUACUCGAAUAAGUGUCCACAAAAGCGUAACUUGAUGAUGAAAAACGAUGAAGAUGAUUUCGAGGAAGUAGUGCAUGAGACUGAGGAGUAUCCAAGUGACAAGGAUGAGAGCGCGUAUGUAGAUGACCUAGACGACAUCAUUCCACUACAAGUCGUCCGUUGUGUUCUUACCACGAAGGAGGAUGAGGGUGACUGGCGACGCACUGCUAUCUUCCACACUUAUACCAAGUGCGGGGAUAAGGUAUGCAAGGUCGUUAUUGAUGGCGGCAGUUGCAUGAAUGUGGUAGCCAAAACAGCCCUUGACCGAAUGAAGUUGACCCCUGAACCACAUCCAAAUCCCUUUCGAGUUGCUUGGGUAGAUAAGACUACGAUACCUGUCACUGAGCGAUGUUUGGUCCCUCUCAACUUUGCUACAUAUAGGGAUCAAGUAUGGUGUGAUGUCCUCCCAAUGGAUGUCGGACACAUUCUUUUGGGACGACCAUGGUUGUACGAUCAUGAUGUUACACAUUAUGGUCGUCAAAACACAUACACCUUCACUCAUGAUAAGAAAAAGAUCGUGCUAAGACCUCACCGACCUAAGCUGAUUCAGUAUUCGACCAGCCAAUCUAAUGCACGUAAUGGACCAACCACAUCUAAGGAAAAUAGGUUGGUAGAGCAAACUAGACCGCUUCAAUUCUUGAACAAGAAGCAAUUUUGUAGGGAGGCUAGUUCUGUCGUUGUUUACGCAUUAGUUGUUCGAGAGGUAGAGAAGCCUUCCCUUGAAUCUGAUCUGCCAUUGAACCUUCGAAACCUAUUAUCUGACUAUUCUGAUUUGACCCCAGACGAGUUACCUGAUUAGCUGCCACCCAUGAGAGAUAUUCAACAUGCGAUAGAUUUGGUGCCUGGAUCAUCAUUGUCAAACCUGCCACAUUAUAGGAUGAACCCUAAGGAGCAUGGUGAAUUGAAACGUCAAGUAGAGGACUUGGUUAGAAAAGGUUUCAUUAGGGAGAGUAUGAGUCCUUGUGCAGUCCCGGCACUCCUUACUCCUAAGAAGGAUGGAACUUGGCGAAUGUGCAUCGAUAGUCGAGCCAUCAACAAGAUCACUAUUAAGUAUAGAUUUCCGAUUCCUCGAUUGGAUGAUAUGCUUGAUAUGAUGGCUGGAUCCAUAAUCUUUACAAAAAUUGAUCUUAGAAGCGGGUAUCAUCAAAUAAGAAUUAGAUAAGGAGAUGAGUGGAAAACUGCCUUUAAAACGAAGGAAGGAUUGUGCGAGUGGUUGGUCAUGCCAUUCGGAUUGACGAAUGCCCCAAGUACAUUCAUGCGAGUCAUGAAUCAAGUGCUUCAACCUUUCAUAGGAAAAUUCCUUGUAGUCUAUUUCGACGAUAUUCUGAUUUAUAGUAAGACCGAAGAUGAACACCUAAGUCACCUUAGGCAAGUUUUAGACACUCUUAGGAGAGAAAAGCUUUACAUCAAUACCAAGAAAUGUGUUUUCAUGCAACCUAAGGUUGUUUUCUUAGGCUUCGUAGUAUCUGUAAAUGGAGUGUCAGCCGAUCCCGAUAAGGUCAAAGCAAUCCAACAGUGGCCCCAACCGCAGAAUAUUCGUGAUGUUAGAAGUUUUCAUAGGUUAGCGAUAUUCUACUGAAGAUUCAUUAGAGGUUUUAGUACCAUUAUGGCUCCAAUUACAAAUUGCAUGAAAAAGGGAGAAUUCACAUGGACCAAGGCUGCGAGUAAGGCAUUUAAUGAAAUUAAGGAACGUAUGGCUAAUCCACCUGUCUUGAGAUUACCUGAUUUUGAGAAGAUCUUUGAGGUUUCGUGCGAUGCAUCUGGAGUAGGAAUAGGUGGAAUCUUGAGUCAAGAAGGUCAUCCAAUUGCUUAUUUUAGUGAAAAAUUGAAUGAGGCAAAGAUGAAAUACUCCACGCACGACAAGGAAUUGUAUGCAAUUGUGCACGCCCUACGAUAUAGGCGACAUUAUUUAUUACCUAAGGAGUUUGUUUUACUUUCGGACCAUCAAGCCCUUAGCUAUCUUAAGUCGCAAAAGAAAUUAAAUUCACGGCAUGCCAAGUGGGUUGCGUUUUUUGAGGAAUAUACCUAUGUUCUUAAGCAUGUUGCUGGUAUCGAAAACAGAGCUGCCGAUGCUCUUAGUCGUGUUAUCAUGACUUUGCAUGCUGUAGGAACACAAGUCAUAGGGUUUGAUCGAGUUAAAGACGAAUACCCCACGUGUCCAGAUUUUGGUGAGACUUAUAAGAAUAUUCUUGAUGGAUUGCAUGAUAACCCUGAUUUUAUUAUUCAUGAUGGAUAUUUAUUUAAGGGUAGACGUUUGUAUGUUCCCCAAGGUUCAUUGAGAGAUUUUAUGAUUUGGGAAUUGCAUUUUGGAGGUUUAGCAGGGCAUUUUGGUAGGGAUAAGACCAUUAUUUUGGUAGAGGAUCGUUUGUUUUGGCCAAGUCUUAAACGAGAUGUGGCACGUGUUGUUGCCCAGUGUGGUAUAUGCCAGACUGGUAAAGGAAAGCGAAAAAAUAUUGGAUUAUAUACACCUUUACCUAUACCUCACGCCCCCUGGCAAGAUCUUAGCAUGGACUUUGUUCUAGGACUUCCUAAAACCAUUCGAGGUCACGAUUCGAUUUUAGUUGUCGUUGAUAGGUUUUCAAAAAUGGCACAUUUUAUAUUAUGUAGGAAGACUUCUGACGCCACCCAUGUAGCGAAACUUUUUGUUGAUCACGUCAUAAAAUUGCAUGGAUUACCAAAGACUAUUGUGAGUGAUAGAGAUGUGCGGUUUGUGAGUUAUUUUUGGAAGACAAUGUGGAAAUUAAUGAACACUAAAUUACAAUUUUCUUCACCAUAUCACCCACAAACAGAUGGCCAAAUUGAGGUUGUUAAUCGAAGCUUAGGAGAUUUAUUACGUUGUCUAGUGGGUGAUCACACUAGGAACUGGGAUAGCGUUUUACCUAUGGCCGAAUUUGCCUAUAAUAACUCAGUUAAUCGCACCACUGGAAUGAGUCCGUUUGAGAUUGUCAUUGGUUACAACCCUAGGACACCCAUUGACCUAAUUCUGUUACCCGUAGACUAUAGGUCAAGCCAACAUGCUGAAGCCUUUGUUCAACAUAUAAAAGAAUUGCAUGAUAAAAUAAGACGAGCAAUUAUUUUAAAAACUGAGAUUUACGCAAAUAAAGCAAAUGAACGUCGGCGUAAAGGAAAUUUUAAAGAAGGAGAUAUGGUUAUGGUAAGGGUUCGACCAGAACGAUUUCGCAGCGGUACAGUGAAAAAGCUACAUGCAAGAAAUUUGGGUCCAUUCAAAAUCUUGAAACAACUGAAUCCAAAUGCUUAUGUCUUGGAUUUGCCUGCUAAUAUCGGGUUUAACUCAAUGGUCAAUAUCGAGGAUCUGAGCCACUACCAUGAGCCUCUUUCCAUUGAGAAUCCCAUCUCCAUAAAUAUAUCUCCACGUCAACCUCCUCCUCCACUUCCAAUCCCUCCCAUACCGAGAAAGAAAGAAGAAAUCGAACAGGUUCUCGACGACCGAGUUGUUAUUACACGAUCAGGAGAUUCGCGUAGCUUUAUGGUAAAGUGGGCAUCCCGACCAGAUGAAGAAGUGACAUGGAUACCGGAACACGAGCUUAGAGACAUUGCUCCAGAUCUCAAGCAGCUGAGAGAAGAGGUUGAAGACGAAACUUAGAAACGUAGAUCCUUGAGGCGCUGCUCCCGAGGCGGCUUGGCUUCUUGCACACGUCAUCAGGCCAUGUGCCUGUGCUGAAGCAUCAAGCAGCAACUAUAUUGGAUGAACCCGGUUCACAGCACAAGCUAAGUAUUCCCCUAUACACCUCAAUUUACGCAAAUCACCUACUGGUAAUAAAAGCUUGGUCGAUAGAACGUUUUGAUUUUUAUUUUUUUCUCGAAAAAAAAAAAUUUCGUAGAUCUGUUUUUUUUUUUAUCGUCCUAAACUUUUAAAAAUUGUUUUGUCUCUUUAAUCUUGCAAGAUACUUGAUUAUUAUUGUUGGGCGAAAUUUGAUUACGCGGUAUUUACAAGCAUGAUUAAGAGGAUGUUGCAAAUAGAUUGUGGAUGAUCUGGACUAAUCGUAAUAGUUUAAUCAUGCAUUCGCUGGAUAUCGUAUGGUACAAUCUCCUAUCGGAUCAACUUUUCUUAUUUUAUUAAUUUUCUUUUCGAACGUUCAUUUCUAAAAAAAUAUAUAUAUAUUUUUGCUCGUUUAAUUUUAUCUUAGCAAAAUUUUUGUCUACCACAUCUAAGGAGUUUUACAUGUAGGAUAGGUUCGACCUGUCCUGCAUCAAAAACCUAUCGACGACGUCUCUCGGUCCUUCUUUGAUGAUUUUCAGAACAAGUACUUUUAUAAUGUCCAGGCUGUUUACACAUACUACACUUGCCCCUCCUACUCCCAGCGGCUUCGUCCAUAAUAUUACGGAUACGCGUAGAUCUGGGUCUUCCUUUUUUCCUUCUCCCGCGUGGUGGCAGUAUAGGGAAAUCAUAUGACACGAUCCAAUAACGACAAUCGGGAACGGGGUGGAACUGUGGUUCAUACGCCUUACAAUAGGAUAGGACAGUAUACCAAGGAGAGCAUAAGGCAUAAUAAUCUAUGUUCAUGUGUGAAGAACUACAACAUGACAAAAUGUGUGAACAAGGGAUUCCUGUGAGUUGCAAACACAAAUAUGAAUAUGUAGAACUGCUUCCAUUGAUAAUCACUUGGUAUUGAUCAUCACCCCCAGUAAGUAUGUCGGACAUGUGAAAUGCAAAUCGUCGAACUGUAUAUGCUCUAGCAGUUCUCAUCCGGCUAUUGAUGGUGUUUUUAACAGUCGAUACAAAUUGCGUAGACAUUGCAGUGCCCUCCCCUCGAUGUUUUAGAAAAAAUUCUACCACUCUGUAGUAUACUAGUAUCCUUACACUUAGUAUAUAUAUAUAAGUGUGUGUGUGAGGGUACGUGUGUGUGUGUGUGUGAGUGCACAUGUGUGAGUAUGUGUAAUGCCAUGUGGCAUCCCCCCCCCCCUCUUUUAUGCAUGCAGGGAAGAGAGAGAGAGGAGUUUAUCUCCUCUCUUCUCUCCUUUUCUCUUUCGUUCGGCCGUACCAAGGAAGCACGCGAGGGACGCCGCCGCGGAGCCGAUUUCGCCGUCGACGUCGCACCGCAGAGCCGUUCGAACCUACGGUUGCUGCCGUUGCAUCGUGAGGAGGCCGGGCGAGCGUGGAUCUUCGCCGUUCUUGACGUCGCGCCAGUGCUAGUCGCCGUCGAGGUGGGUGUUCCAUAGAAUUGCUUCCUAAUUUCCAAGCUUUUUCAAUUUCGAGCUAGUUGCUGUCCCUGCAGAUUUCCAGCGUCGACCGUUGGCGUUUCGGCUCGUACUCGACGUAGGAGCGUCGGAUUUCGACGAGGCUUGAUUCGCUGGAUUCAGGACUUCGAGAGGAAUCCACGAAGCCCUUACUUGCCAGAUUUCGUUGAGGUUAGAUUGGUCGAAUCCGUGCUGUACCUGACUGUUGCGAAUUUUGGGACUGAAACGGUGAUUUGUGCUUUGUAGAGCGUGGUGUUAGCUCGACUCCCGGAUUUGGAGGGUGUAGAUCGACCAGCAGGUGGUGCUGCAGCUGUGAGGGUGUUUUGCUGCCAGAAUUAGCGACUAAGGUGGGUUUACAUCGGUUUAUUCCUAAGUGUAGUAAUAGUCGACAUGUAUGAUUUUCUGUUCGGUAAAUCAUGUUGUAGUUCGUUUUUCAUAAUGAUAUCCUGGAUAAAUGCUGCAUAUAUAACAUGAUUAUUACCUUUUAAAUAUACAUGUUGGACUGGGUUUAAACUUAGGAGAAAACGCGAUUGGAAUCGACAUAUGUAUUAAACUGCCUGAUUUAGCUCUAGGAGCCGUUAUAGAAUUGUACUGUCGCAGCAUACUGUAGACGAGUACUCCAGGUAGUUUAGAAUACAUUUACGCUCGUGCUGGUAUGCCGAGUGAAUUUUUCUGAGGUCGUUUAGACUGUUUCGUACUAGUGGGCGCCGUCGGGACUGACGGUGGGCCCGGUUCGCCGUUUUGGCGUCGGAUUGUGCCGAGGGCACGUUGUUUGUUGUAUUUAGACUAGUCAGAGUUGUUACUGGACUUCGGCUUGAGUUAGAGAGCCUGUUUGAGCUCGACAGAGAUACGCUGCAUACUCGGUUGGGUAGCUCCCACGAGUGCCACUCCGGAGGCGGGCGCGGUGCUUUUGCGUUGGUGUCGCUCAUGCCAGUUGGACUUGCUCUCCACGGACCAGCUAGUGUGGAUAGAGCCUGAUAGUCGCAACGGGGCAGGGACGGGUGUGUUCACAGUCCCAGGGACGGGUAUGUUUACAGUCCCAAUUGGAUUGGGUCAGAUUUGACAUUUCCUACAGUCGGUUAAUGUAGAGCAUGAUAGUGUAGUGGAUGAUAGCGAUAGAGUGUACUUCCUGCUUUUCCUUCUAUCCUUGCUCCCUUCUGUAGACUUAGUGGGUGACCGAUGUCGUUUUGGGCGGUACCCACUGAGGACUACUUGUUUUUACAGUAGUUCUCACGCCCAGUUGUUACCUAUGUUUUGCAGAGCCACAGGUUUCGGCUACUGCGCCUUCCGCGGAUCAGGAUCGAGGCAAGGGCGUCGCGAGGUAGAGCCCUACCCGACUGACAGAGCUAGAGGCACCCCCCUACUGCAGGUAGUUGCUAUUUUAGAGUUUAUGUACAUAGUUGUUUAACUCGCCGGUGCGAGUAGCUUUGUAUUUUGGAUUUGGACUAUGUAUAUGAAACUCAGUUGUUUAGCUUUGUAUAUUGAGCAGCUCUAUGCUACUGUUUGUAGUAUUGUAUAUUUACAGGUACUUUUGACGCUUCGUAUACAGGGAAAAUUCCUUGUAUACGGCGGAUUUGUCGGCGUGCCCGGGGAACGAGACAUCCGGGGCGUGACAGAUUAAGUUGGUAUCAGAGCUUUGCUAUAGGUCGUUGGGACCUAGGAAACCUAAGUUUGGCAAACCUUAGGAAAGCAAGACGCGAGAGGCGUAAUUUAAUUACGAAAGUCAAUGAUUGUUUGUUCUAACUCCUCCUCGAAUGGGGUGAGUGAUUGAAGGAGUACCUGUUUGGCCUGAAAAAUUAUGUUGGCUGCAGACGACAUAAUUUUGGAGGGAAACAGGCACCGCCUUCCAGACUUUCGUUGAUUGGGUCGAGAGUGUUAUGUUAUAUCUGACCCCGAUUUGUUCCUUUCAGCUAUGUAUCGUCGCCGAGGUCGACCGUCGUUGCGGGAUCGUGCGGGACCUUCUGAGAGAUCUGAGCAGAUGGAGCAGAGUGCUCGGCAGGAGCAGAGGGACAGACCGGAGGCGAGUGCACCCCCUGUUGUGGAGCCGAGUGCGCGACCUGAGGCUAGCGCACCCCCUGAUCUGAGUGCACAGUUGGCUGCCCUGACUGAGGUGACGAGGCAGCAGGGGGAGUUGUUGCAGAGGUUGUGUGAGAGGAUAGCUCAGUCACCGAGUUCAGCACCGAGUGUACCAGAGCAGACUGUUCCACCCCCGACUACUCCAGCGUCAGCUCCCGCCGCAGCUAUGCCCCCACCGGUGGAGAUUCCUAUAGCGCCAGUUGCGCCUGCCAGGGGGCCUGUACUAUUGACUGAGGCCGAGCAGGAGCGGUGGAUGGAGAGGUUAGCUCGUUUCCGCCGAUUUGAUCCACCGAUCUUCGAUGGUAGAGGCACUGAGGCCUGGGUUGUUGAGGGUUGGGUCAGUGCUAUGGAGAGGUUAUUCGAGGAUCUGUACGUUCCAGAGGGGGAGCAGGUACCCUUGGGAGUACACUGUUUGUCAGGUGAUGCACGUGACUGGUGGCGGAGAGUGAGGCGAGACCAGAGACUGGAGGCAGCGCAGCUGAGCUGGGAUGAGUUCUGUGGAAUGCUGUAUGGGAUGUAUUUUCCCAACAGCAUGAAACAGAAGAUUGAGGAGGAUUUGAAGAGGCUCCAGCAGGGCGAGCGGACAGUUCAGGAGUAUGUUCGGGAGUUUACUAGACUCUUGAACUGUGUUCCGUUCGUGGCCAGAGACGAGGCACAUAGGGUCUACUUGUUCGAGCAGGGUUUGAGACCCGACCUAUUCAGGUUCGUUAGGGCGCAGAGGUCGAGGACUUUGGAUGCGUCUAUUGAGCAGGCACUAUGGGAGGAGAGAGGAGAGGUGUCACUGCGAGAGAUGGCUCAGAGGCCGGGACAGAGUCAGGACAGGAAGCGCCCAGCUCUAGACGACGGAGGCCAGUCGAGUAGCAGGCGUCCGCCGAGACCUCCACGAUCGCGUUCUCAGGGUCGUGGGUUCUCGGGACGUCAGCGAUCCAGAGACUCCCGUCAGAGAGGACAGCCUGAGAGGGCGCCGCAGUGUGUGAUCUGCGGAGGACCACACUGGCCCAGACAGUGCGAGCAGAGGGAGGGCCGGUGCUACGGGUGUGGUCAGCCGGGACACAUGAGGGCAGCUUGUCCUCGAGCAGCAUCUCCAGCACCAUCGUCAGCUUCAGCUCCACCAGCACCUCAGCAGUCAUUCAGAGGAGCACCGAGUUACCGCCAGGAGGAUAGAUCAUCCGUGCCGCGACAGGGUGAGCGGCGACAGCAGGCUCCGAGUGGCAGAGUUUAUGCAACUCAGGUGGAGGACUCUUCAGCAGCCGACCGAGUGGUGGCAGGUAUCACUUUGAUUUCUGGCAUUAGAGUUCGCACUCUUUUUGAUACUGGUGCAUCGCAUUCCUUUGUUAGCCGAGCAUUUGCAUUGUUGCAUGGUCUAGAGUUAGGGGCAUUGUCACAGGCACGAGAGGUGCAGAUUCCGGACCAUGUUUUAAAGGUUGCAGAGUGUUGUUGGUCGUGUCCGGUGCAGUUGGACUCGUGGGUCAUGCCCGCAGACCUGUUGGUGUUAGGGCAGCUACAGGACNNNNNNNNNNNNNNNNNNNNNNNNNNNNNNNNNNNNNNNNNNNNNNNNNNNNNNNNNNNNNNNNNNNNNNNNNNNNNNNNNNNNNNNNNNNNNNNNNNNNGGAAGAAAGAUUUUUACAGGAGAGACCGCUAUAUCGGCUACUCUGGAGGCUGGCAAAAUACUCGUAAGAUUUUUUCAUGGAUUUUCUAGUAUUUUUCUUUCUGGAAAUGCUGCAUUGCGAAAAUUAAGCGAAGUGUACUAUGCCCACGAUAACUAAUCCCAUUCACGAGGCUUCACGUGGUUUCUUUUUUUUUUUUUUUUUUUUUUUUUUUUUUUUUUACUUUUACUAUAUGAUAGUAAAGUUCUCUACAGAGAAAAUUGCACAGAGGAAGACAACUAUAUGUCGGCUAUUAUUGGACAAGGGUAGCAAAGACUCGUGUGGGUAUAUUUCGGAAUUUUUUAAGUUUUUUAUAAAUUUUUAUCGGUAAAAUUUACAGUGGCGUUAAUUAAGUGCUAAUUACGUGAUAAUGCACGUUGUUUUUUCUCUUUUUUUUAUCUUUUUUAAUUUUUCUUUUAAAGUGACAAGCUUUUAAAGACCUUAAAUUAAAGUGUGUUUGUAGGCCGGAAACGAUGUUGGUCGCUUAUUAAUAUUAAUUUUACAUUUGGGAUGGAAUAGGGUGUGCUUUUAGAUGAAAUUGUUUGAUAGAAUAGCUUCACAGUAAAAUGAGAAGCGAACGGAAAGAAAAUAAUAUGUCUUUGAAUGAUAUUUGUAAGGAUUGAAUAAAAUAGGAAUGAAGUGCAAAUUUAAAUUUUCGUUUUUGAAAAUAAACUAAAGUUUCCAAAUCUUUUUAAAGUAGUCACGUCUGUACUCUUCUAGAAUCAAGAUAAAAUUUUAUCAGAUGUUUUUGUAUAUUUCUAAAACUCUUUAUCUCUAUUAAAUUUUCGAUGAUGCAAUUUUCCUAAAACUCGGACUUAUGAAUUUAAUAUAAUUUUUUCUUUUAAUGUGUACUGGAUAACACCACUUAAGACACGUGUUGUGCCCAAGACUCUUUGGCGUUACCAGUUUUCAGAGAAACCUCCGCUCUAACGCCGACAAAGACUCUGCGCUAUCAAUGGCCGAAAAUUAAGACACAGUGGUUGGCGUGCACAAAGCGCCUCUUGGCGUCACAGUUCUCAGAGCCUAAGACUGUUCUUGAGUCAAACCUUACCCGAUUUUUGGUCAAACGCUUACCCUAGAAUUCGUUGCGUUUUCAGAUGCUAUAAACUUUAAAGACUUUAUUGAUUAAACUAAGUAAGAGAUUAGCUGUUAUCACUUAGCCUAUUAUUAAUAACAAAUCAAGUUCAAGCCUCAUUCUCUUUUUAAACAAGAACAGAGAAAAGAUAACGAAUACAAAUUCUUCUUGAAAACAACCACUUAAUUGUUGAAUGUGAAUGCAACAAUUAUGAUUAAUUUAGUAAAUUUUCCUUAGAUUUUCUCAAUUAAAACAACAUAUACCUAUAUGUCUUGCCGCAAAACAAAAGAAAAGCUUCUGAUAACACUUCUGAUCAACUUCUUCGAGAUAUCACAGAACAACCUUUCCAUUUAACAACCUUUAUUUUUACCUUAAUUCUGUUAGGCUUUCCAGAUAACAUCAUAUACAAUAUUUUAGACAUAUUAAUAAUAUAUUGGGAAACUUUUGACCCAUAUCUUAUCACUUGGCCUUUUCGAUAUAUCGGAAGAAAAUAAUAAAUUUAUUCUAAGACUCUCAAAACUGGAUAAAGACAGCAUUAUUUUUACUAAACGAAUCUAUUUUUAGAUUCCUUUUAGUUUGCUUGUAUUAUCUUAUUGAACCAAUUUUAGACUUUCUUUACAUUCCCUAUUAUAUACAGACCUUUAUUAUAGACUCAGUAACCUUAGGAGUCCCACUCCAUCUUAUUAUUACCUUUAUCCAAACAAUAUAUCAGCUUUGGGAAAUAGACCCUUUUCUUGUAUUUCAAAUCUUUAAACCAUAAUUAAACACACUGGCUAAUCAAGACAAAGACGAAAUAUUACCAGACUACGAAGAAUACGAAGCCGAUAAUAACGAUAACAACAACGAAAAUUUAAGACAAUCAGAAGACAAUAACAAUAGUGACGACGACAGUUCAGACUAUAGUGAAAAUACUACAAGCCCGAGACAAUUUAACUGGCGAUACAAUAUCGUUCAUAUUGGAAGAAGAAGAUUUUUAGAAAUUUCAGUUGAAGACGCCUUUGACAUUGACGCCUUCACCUUUAAUACUAUCAACAAUCCUGUUUAUGCUAAUCAUCCCAUUGGCACUUUAGUACAUUUUCGUGUUUUAAAAACUUUUUACAUAGAGACUCAUAGAUUUCUAGAACUAAUCUUUUGUAUUAUAAACACUCUAGACAGAGAACUUAUACAUUACCCCCAUCUUUUAGAGAUUCUCUCCAUACGACCUCCUCAACCUCCAAGAAGAUUUUAAUGCUAAUACCAUCCUUAUUUCUCUUAAGCAUUUUAAUCGUCCUUUUUAGCAUACAACAAAUUUUAGUAGUCAUUGAAAAGAAUACUAAAAAUCAAAUAGACUUACUUAAUAAGUUACUUAUAAAUUCUUCCCCAAACCAUACUUGUUCUCUUUAAAUUUACAACCACGGCUCGAAUCAAAAGAAAAACAAAAAGACAAAAAGCUCUUUUAUUAUUUGCAUUUCUAACACUUUAUGAUAAGACUUUGUUAAAUCUAAAUCUACCUUACCCUUUUAUUGUUUACCACCUCACAGGAGAAUUUCAUACUUUUACCUUUGGUUUUUAUAAAAAUAUUCAAAAUAGAUCCAUUAAGGACUCUUCAACAACUGGUCCUCAGACUCGAUCAGACAAUUCGGACACAGACAGAACUCCUUGACAAAAUUUCAAGAAACCUAAAUUAUAUUAAAAACCAGAACACUUUAAUAGAACAAAAACUUUCUAAUAUAGACCACAGACUUAACCAAUUAGAAGCAAGACCUCAAAGAAUAGAACAAAAGUUACUCAAGAUUGAACAAGAUCUACAUUCCAGUCUUCAGAGGUUAGCAGAAAUUAAACAAAUUUCUCUAGGAUGACUAAUCCUGAACACCUUGAAGCUGAAAUUUUACAUAAGACCUUAUCAAAAGUACAAUCUUAUAGUCCUGACAAAACUUCUAUAGGCUUUUCAUCCCAUCUCCCACAAGCCCUUUCUGAACAAGUUAUAAUUAAACAAAACAAUACCAUUAUCCAACUAUUAUUAGGAUUACAUAACAAAAUACAUACAUUAGAAAAAUUGGUUUUACAAAGACAAACUGAAAGCAUUGUUCCUACCAUAGACACAACUCCCAUUGUCCAAGAAGUAACAAAACAUUUUUCUGCACUCCAAUUGCAAGAACACUCAAAGGAUACUCUUUCAAAGAAAGUUGUCCAGCCAUGGACUUUUCAUAGACAAAUUCCACGAUACUUAACUUCACCAGAACCCAAAUCACCCAACACUUCUAGUACAUCUAAAAAUCAAUCUCCCAGUUCUCCUACUGAUAAACCCCUUUGACUUAUUUUCAGAAGAACAAGGUCUUACAAAUAUGUGUCUCCAAACUCCUGAAGACACUUAUGCAGACUUUUAUAAUAUCAUAGACGCUCAAGAUGACAUAGACAUAUGGUUCGAUCCACUAGAAGAAGACACAUUGGAAACAGAAGACAUGGACGAAAGAGAUAUGACCCAUUACCAGACACAACAAAUGUUUUUUAUUUUAGACACUAUUCCAGAGGAAAAUGAAGAUUUUAAAAUUUCUGAAUUUAGCCAAAUCCUCUGUAAUUUAUGUUUUCAAGACAAUAUCCUCAUAGACAUUUGGCGACUAUUUACAGAACCUUUAGAUAAUAUUAUAUCUGACAUUUGGAGAUUAUUCAUUUAAAAGAAUUCUCUCUAGACAUAAAAAUAUUAAUAUAAUGUAUAUUGAUCCAGACAUUUCAGGUUCAAACAAAGACAAAGACAUGGAUCCACAUUAUUGUCCUUUUUGCACUGAUGUUUUCCUUAAACCAUCUGAAGAAUCUCUUGAUGAUAUAAUCCAAGACAUUCACAGGUUAUUUGAAGACCCAUUUGCUGUUAUGCCCUUUCACAUUAUCCUUUCUACCUUUAAACAUUUAGGAGAAGCAAAAGCCUUAGCAGCAGCAUGCAAAGAAUACAAUAGACAAACUCUUUUUAGAAGGCUCGAAAACUCGCAAAAUAAAAAAUUAUGGUUAGAUAGGCUCCAAGACAAGUUUGAUUUACAACUUUGGUUUUCUGGCAUAUGUCACCUCCCUGAACAAGAUUGGGAAAAUUACUACCAGCAAUAUUUUCGAGACGAGCUAAAUCUUCAAUAUUAUGACUUACUAGAUCAAGACAGUAUUAUUAGAGACAUUCGAGUACUAUUUGGCUACCCACUUGAAGGAAUUACAGAAAAUGAUUAUUGGGAAGAUAUUUGCCAACAACAUCUUUUGGACAAACUUAACCUUCAAGACUAUAGCUUAGACUAUCAAUAUAAACUUACUAGAAUUUUAUGUUACCACCUUUGUUACAAACUCAUGCCAUAUUUCCCUUUUAUUAUAAAUCCAACUUGGAACUAUCCAGAUUGGGAUUAGGGAAAAGAAAAAACAAAAACAAUACCCUUUCUUUUCCUCUACUUCUCUACAAAGUUAUCUUUCUCUAUCUAAACCCUUAGAUAUUACUCGCUCUACUUUAUUCUCUCCCCAUAUUAGUUCCUUUCCACAUUUCAAACCUCUACAUCCACCCACAAUCCUGAGAAAAUUAGUUUCUGUGAAAACUGCUCAACAAUGGCAACACAGCUUCAAAAACUAAACACUAUUUGUGAUGACUUGAGAACAAAUGAUCAGAAAAACAUCCAAAGAAUUGCUAUCCUGGAACAACAGCUCAAAGACCUCAAGAAUCCCUCACAACAAGGUAUUGUAUCUCUACCUCAAUCUUCCUCUUAUCCUCCUCCAAAGUAUCCUCCUAUAAUGACAACUACACCGAGUUUGGUCUUUCCUCCUAUGACCGACAUAAAUACUCCAUUUCAAAUUACUCCAUGUCAAAACCCACUAAUCCCAGUAGUCCAUCCCUCUAUCUCAGUAAAACCUUUUUUAUCCUCAGCACCACAAAAACCUACCCUCAAAAGAUAUCCACAGCCAAUUGCCAAACCUUUUAGGCAAAUUGAACCCUCUUCAGAACCAUUACCACACCCUAGUAUAGGAAACACUGAACAAAAACAAGGCGAUCCCAUGAUACUAGAAACAUCUUCUCCCAAAUGUGACAAUUUAGGCGAAAAUGCUUAGCCGCCUGAUUCUGACAUUUUGUACAUUUUUGUAAAUAUUUCUUUCAGUUCUGCAGUUUUAAUUGCGCCUUUUCAUUUCGACCUUGUAUUGGACACUGCUAAAAAAAAAAAAAAUUCAGAAAAAAGCAAAAGAGAAAAAUGAAAAAAAAAAAGAUUUUCCAGAGAAAAGUGGAAAUAUGAAGAAGAAGAAAGAAUCUGGAAAUUGAAAAAAUCAAAAGAAAAAAUUGAAAAAAUGGAAAAACAGAAAAAACAAGAGAAAAUUCAAGAAAAGAAAGAAAAAAUCAGAAAAAGAAAAAAGAAAAAAGAAUUAACCCGCUGUGAUCCUUUCACAGGCAAAAAUAAGGGUUUUUUAGUUUAGGGCUUUAAUUUCUGUUCUUUAACCACCUUGUGAUCCAACUCCAUCAUCAAAAGCAAGGUUCCAAAGUCUGUUCCCAAACAGACACCACCAAGUCNUAACGACCAACAUCGUUUCCGGUAGCAAACACACUUUAAUUUAAGUCUUUAAAAAGCUUUCAUUUAAAGAAAAAUUUAAAAAAGAUAAAAAUAAAAAAAAUAAAAAAAAAAGAGAAAAAUCACCGUGCAUACCACUUUGCGUAAUUAGCACUAAUUACGCCACUUAAAUUUUAGACCGAAAAAAUUUAUAAAAAAUCUUAAAAAAUCAGAAAUAUUCCCACGAGUCUUUUGCUACCCUUGUCCAGAGUAGCCGACAUAUAGUUUCCCCUCUGUGCAUUUUUCUGUUAGACUUUUACUAUUUGCAAAUAGUAAAUAGUUAAAAAAAAUAAAAUAAAAUAAAAAAAUAAAAAAAAAAAUCCCACGUGAAGCCACUGAAUGCAUAGUUAUCGUGCAUAGUAACUUCGCUAAUUUUCGACAGCAACAUUUCCAGACAAAAAAUACUAGAAAAUCCAGAAAAAUCUUACGAGUAUUUUGCCACCCUUCUUCAGAGUAGGCGAUAUACGGUCUCUCCUGUAAAAAUCUUUCUUUCCUACAAAUCACUAUUUGCAUAGUAACUGUUUGAUAAUUUAUUUGCGUACGCACCAUUUCUACUUAGUAUCCUACGCUAAUUAAGCUUUUUCUAGCUAUAUCAGAAAAAUUCUCAAAAAAUACCCAAAAAAUUGUUAAAAUUUCAACUUUCUCUUUCUUGCACUUAUCCUUUUUAACCGGUAUUUUCACAUACCUAAUUUCCAGUAUAUUACAUAAUCUGACCCAACUCUACUAUUUCCGCAUUUCCCUAAAAAUCCUAAAAAAUCCCAAAAAAUAUUUUAAAAAUCUCUUUUAGGUUUUUGCUUCUUUCAAAGGUUUGUUUUUCCUCAUACCUUAGGGUUUUCAUAAAUAGACUAGGGUUUUUAUAACAACAGACUUGUAGUUUGUGUUUAAGAAUCAUUUCCGCACCUUCUUCUAAACACCUUCUUCUAAACCCUAAACCCUAAACCCUAAACCUUAAACUUGGAACUAGCCAAGCCUAAACUCUCUAGCCCCCUCCCCCCUGUUUGGUAUCAGAGCCAAGACUUUCUUGGUCAAACUUACCGAGACUUUCUUGGUUUCAACUUACUAAACUUACAAAGCCUUUAUUGGUUAAACUAGUUAAGACUUUAGCUUUAUCACUUAGCUAUUUUAAUACAAUCAAUUCAACAGCCUCGUUUUCUUUUAAACAAGACAGAGAAAAGAAACGAAGACAAGUUUUCCUUAAAUACAACCACAUUAUUGAUAAUAGUGAAUGCAACCACAUUAUUGAUAAUAGUAAAUCUCCUUAAGAUUCAUCCUCAAUACCACCAUAUUAUUGAUAAAUAUGGACUUUUCUACAUCAUCUUCCCAAUCUCACAGAUUUUCUAGAUCUAAUUCCUAUAGAUCUGAAGAUAGUGAAUCUACAAUAUCUUUAAGAGCUCCUAAAUCUAGAGCAAGGAACAUAGUUGAAAAAAUAUUUUGUAGACCAAAACCUCUUCCAUUAGUUCCCAGAUCACAGCCCCCUCAACUAGACACAGUUGUAGAUGUUGAUGAUGACAUCGCAAUUUUCCGUACCCACGGGUUACGUCUUAUAAAUCCAGACAUUUUAUAUGAUGACCGACAACGGUAUGUUGAUAAGACUAAAUUUAUAUCUUUUAAGAGUGAAGUAUCAGUUGAAUGUUAUGACGGUCAACACAUUUCUAUACCUCUUGCUGAUGACGAAGUACAAAAAAGUAUUAGAAAGGCAAAUAUAGCACUUAUGCAUAUUGGAUUAAUUGUAAUAGGCAUAAAAGGGCUAGUACGUAAAAAACUAGGAUCUAAAGUACUCUUAAUGCCUUAUGACAAUAGACACAAAAAUAUAAUUGACGCAUCCUUAGGAUGUACUGAAAUAGAUAUGAAUUUUAAUGGUGGAAUAUUUUAUGUCGUUCCGGACUUUCUAAUGCCUUCAAUAGACUUUGCUAAUCAAAUUAAGAUUGGUAUACAAGUUAGAGGAAUAGAUUUAUAUGAAGGACAAAACUUUAGAAACUUACAAGUUUGCAUCGGAUUUACAGGUCUGUUAACACCUACUGCCGAAUCACAUUUUUUAAUGAACCCUUUAGGUGUAGUAGACUUAAUGGGAACACAAGGCAUGAAAUUAAUAGCACCAAUGGAAAUAGAUGCUAAAAAAUAUGCCGGCCUAGAAUGGAAUUUGGAUAAAUUUACACAAAUUAGACAAACAACAAUAGCUCCUGCUGACACUAUUUACUACCAAAAUGAACAAGGAAGGAACUCACUCAGAUUCACAGACUUUGAGACAAUUGAAGAAACAGAAAAUGACAAAGAUAGGACGACACCACUAAUACGAAAAAGAAAUAGUACACCAACCCAACCCGGUGAAUCAAGUACUCAAAGAAGAGAUUUUACUCUAUUACCCCAAGACCAACCACCAAACUUGAAUGUACCUUAUAAUCUAGAAAAACAACCCAAUAUCGAAUAUAAUUUUAUGGAAGAUAAUUAUAUUGACUAUUCUUCUGAAUCUGAACCUGAAGAUGAAGAAGAUGAAGAAUUUAGUGAUGAAGAAGAAAACCGUCUGAUAGAACAAAUCAGGCUAAAAAGACAAUUAAGAUCUGAAAGAGAUAAAAAAUUAGGAUAUACUAAACAAGAUGACAAGUUUAUCUAUAACCUAAGAGACGAAAUAAGAGAAAUAAACUUAGCAGAAGAAGGAGAAGGAUCUAAUCCUCCUGAAACACAGACUCCUCCACCAUAUCAUGUUGAACAUCCAUUAUCCACUCCUCCAACUCCACAAAGACCUCCUAGACCUCAAACAACAAAUCCUGGUUAUUCUCAUAUACCAUACUAUGAUACAGUUAGGAUGCCAGCAGAAACCUACAACACUGGUAAUUUUCCUAGACAUAGCAUCUCCUCAGCCCCAGAAGAACAAAUCUAUCCUUAUGGUCGCAAUGUUAGAUCUUAUGGCAAAAAAUAUCCUUUUGAAAAUCCUGUUAAUUUACAAGAAGCAGGAUCUGGAAAAAUAUUAAACAUUGCUGCUCAUGACCCCCAAACUUGGGAUUCUAUAAUAGACAUUUGGAAAGGUUUAGUUGUAGCGGAUUAUAUUCGUAAUCAACACUACAUGAAUACUGAUAAUGCCGAGGAAAUGUAUAAAUAUUUAGAGACUUUUCUAGGCGAAUCCACUAAAGGAAUGUGGGAACAAUAUAAAAUUCAAUAUGAAGAUGAAUUCAGACAUCUAUUAACACUAGGAUGUAAUCCUUGUAAUUUCACAAACAAAGUUCAUUCUCUCAUUACAGGCCAAGACCCUAAUUCUGGCCAAUUACUCCUACAAAAUCAAGCUCUUAUAAGCCUAGAACAACUUAGUAUUUCAACCUGGUUCCCUAUAAAAGACUUUCUACAAGCAUACUUAUAUUAUGCAAGUAUAAGUGGGAAUGCUUUUAGCCAAGACAUAGGACGAAAAUUAUUCUUAAAACUUCCAGGAGCCCUAGGCAGAGAAAUCCAAGACAGAUGGGAUACAAUGGAAAAAAAAACUAUAAGGCAAAACCCAGAUACUAAAUGGUCCAUAGGACAGAGUAAAAUUCAUAAUGAAUAUACUACAAGAGAAAUGUGCCAACAUACAAAUCACAAAACAACUAAAAAACAAUGAAUACUCUUUCUGUAAAAGUGUUGUGUAUACUCCCCAACAGUAUAGAAACCCAUUUUAUGAAACUCCAAAGAAAAAAUAUAAACAUUACAUCCCUCAAUACAAAGGAUAUAAGACAAGAAUGAAGUAUUCCUUAAGACGAUCAAAAGCCAAAAAGCCCUAUUUAAAUAAAGACAACCAUGUGAGAAAAUAUAAAUCAGACAGAACUUAUAAAAGCAAACUUCUUUGUUAUACAUGUAAUAGUCCAGGGCAUUUUGCAAAUGCAUGUCCAAGAAGACAACAUAAAAAACCGAAAUGCUUUACUUAUAGAAGAUACUGGCGAAACCCUGUUAGCAGUAGAUGAAUUUGUAUCAGACACCGAAACUAUUUACUCCAUUGAAAAUAAUAUAGUCUACGAAAAAGAAAGUGAAAAAGAAUCCUCCUCUGAUGAAGACAAUAAUAACUAUAAUACUUUUAUCUCAAAUAUGGUUGAAGGUACUAAGACAAAGCAAAAAGAACAUACAUAUUUUUUUGAAUCUGCAAUGAUUUUUGAAGACCCUGACGAAAACACAUCCAUAACCUCCCCACUAGAGGAAAAAACAUGGACUUCGUUUUCUGACAGUACCACUAUUCUUUUUGAAGGAGUCCAAACUCUAGAAGAACAAAACCCUAAUUGGGAAUUAGCCGCCCGAGACUAUAAAAUUCAAUUAUUAAGACAACGAGCACAAGAAAGAAUAGACAAACGAAUUUGGAAAAUAGCUAUGGAAAUACAAGACCAGAGUGGAUCAAGAAUACGGGAAAUAAUUGAAUAUGAACGCAAGCAAAGAUUGUUAGAUACCAAGGACCAAAAUAAAAUUAUUCAAGAUAUUAGAAUCCUUUUCAACGAUCUUUCAGAACAAGAAGAUAUUAUAAAAGACAUCAGACAUCUCUUUGACAUAUCCCAACCCUCAUUUCAUGACUCUACUAUUUAUGUUAUGACCCUUAUGAAUUUAAAUGAAGAAUGCAGCCAUGAUUGGCAAGAAAGACAAGGAUAUGACCAUAGACCUUGCACAUACUGUAAUUUCUUUCCCGAACGAAAAUUUAGAUGUAAAUGUCGCUUAUGUAAAAUUGAAGCAUGUUCAAUUUGCUUAAACAAAAAGUUUAAUAGACAGAUUACAAAUAUAGAACCUAAAAAGACUUUUGAAAUCGAACAUUUAAAUGCCCAUGAAAAACGAAUUAUAGCUUUAGAAGCCAGAGUCAGCCUUCUGGAAAAACAAGACAAUCCAAGAAAAAACAUUACAAAUAAAGGAAAAGGAAUUGAACUCCGUGAAAAUAUGACAGAACUAUCCGAAUAUUUUGAAGAAGAAAAUUUACGGGUAUAUGAAGAUAGUUACAUUUGUAACGAAGGAUUAAAACUACGAAGUCUUAUUGUUCCGUGUAAAAUACAAAUAGGAAACAAAGACUUUGAAACAGAAGCAGUAAUAGACACUGGCUGUACGACCUGUUUAAUACAUACAGAUUUAGUCCCUUUAAAUUACCGAAAGACAGCAAAAGAACCAACAAGUGGUAUCCAAAUGGACGGUACUGCCCAUAAAUAUACACAAUAUGUUUCUAAUGCAAAAAUUAGCUUCUUAGAUACAUGCAAUACAUUCAAUGAAACCUAUACCAUUCCCAAGGUUUGGUUACGAAAAAUGANCUAAAAAUUUGUGUUUGAUGUUCAGACAACAAUAUUUUUUGGGAAUUCUAUUUUUGGGAUUUCCGCACCUUCUUCUAAACCCUAAACCCUAAACCCUAAAGCUUAAACUUGGAACUAGCCAAGCCUAAACUCUCUAGCCCCUCUUUCCCCCCUUUCCCCUUUCCCCCCUCUUGGUAUCAGAGCAUCGAAAUCACUAUGCUAGAAGGUUAAAUUUAAUUUACUUGUCGUCGAAAUGAUACAAACCUACAGAUAAGUAGGGUUGGCAAAGGCUAGUCUGUACCCAAGGGCUUUUCUUAAGACAUAAACCUUGUUACAUUAAAGCCUAGUUGACCAAUAGUGACCACCCUUCAGGUUUAAUGUACAACAAGAGAUAGCCUUAAGAUAAGUUGAACAACCUUGUGAUUUGGUGCAAGGAAACCAAGAGAUAGCAGGACUAUAAGACGACACCACUAAACUCUCUACCCCCUCUUUUACACAUAAAUGAACUACUUAAAUUAGGAGUUAUAAGAAAAUCAAUAUCCAAACAUAGAUCAACAGCUUUUAUAGUUAUGAAACAUUCUGAAAUAGUACGAGGAAAAAGCAGAAUGGUCAUUAACUACAAAAGACUUAAUGACAAUACAAAAUUCGAUGGCUAUACUAUUCCAGACAAAUCUCAUCUAAUAAAUAGUAUACAAGGUAAAAAGAUUUUCAGUAAAUUUGACUGUAAAUCAGGUUUUUGGCAAGUAAAAAUGGACAAAGAGAGUAUAGAAUGGACAGCUUUUACCUGCCCAGAAGGACAUUUUGAAUGGCUAGUUAUGCCCUUUGGCCUUAAAAAUGCACCUUCUAUUUUCCAAAGAAAAAUGGAUACAAUUUUUAAUGAACACAGAGAUUUUGUUUUAGUUUAUGUCGAUGACAUUUUAGUUUUUAGUAAAAACAUGCAAGAACAUCUAGGACAUCUACAGAUAGUCUUUCAUGAAUUUAUUAAACAUGGGAUUAUUAUAAGUAAAAAUAAAGUUGAACUCUGUAAAAAAUACAUCAAUUUCUUAGGAGUAACUAUUGGUGAAGGAAAAAUAAAAUUACAACCCCAUAUAGCCAAGAAAAUCCUAGACAUGCCAGAUAAACUUGAAACUCUUAAAGAAUUACAAUCCUUCUUAGGAUUAGUAAAUUAUGCAAGAACAUUUAUCAAGGACCUGGGAAAAAUCGCAGGGCCUUUAUAUGCUAAGACUGGAAAAUCAGGACAAAGACAUUUUAAUGCUGAAGACAUAAAAUUGGUCAAACAAAUAAAAGCCCUUGUAUCUGAAUUACCAGACCUAGAUCUUCCGUUAGAUUCUAAUUAUAUUAUCAUAGAAACAGACGGUUGUGAUUUAGGAUGGGGCGCAGUCUUAAAAGCAAGAUCUAAUAAAUAUAGUGACACAAAAGAAGAAAAAUUAUGCGGAUACGCAAGUGGGAAAUAUAGAGAAAGAGGAAAAAUAAGCAGCAUAGAUGCGGAAUUAUUAGCAGUAAUAUAUGCUCUUGAUGCUUUCAAACUAAAUGUUAUUAAUAAACAGGAAAUAACAAUCCGGACAGAUUGUGAAGCUAUUACUAAAUUCUCUCAUAAAAAAGACGAAAAAGCUAGUUCUAGACGCCGAUGGAUUAAUUUUCAAGACAGAAUAUCUAUAAGUCACAUUAAAUUUGAACAUAUUAGAGGAAAAGAUAAUUUUUUCCCUGAUCAAUUAAGUAGAGGAUUUUUUGAAAAUACCACUUUUGAAAUUAACAUGGUACAUAUUGACAUUUCAGAUUCAGACAUUUCAGAUUCAGACAUUUCAGACACAAACAUGGAUCCAAUCAGACAACCUCGGAUAGCCUAUGGCAACGAAAAUCUCAUUUAUUUUUCCCAAAUUAUUUUCCGUUCUCGCAAUCCAAAUAUUUUAUUACCAGACGAACAAAAAUGUUUGAUUGACAAUCUAUGGCUAUGUUACCAUAGGACAUCAAAUCAUCAAGAACCAGACAAAAAAUAUUUUGUUGCCUGCAUAAAUUCCUUAAUAGAAUAUUUUCAGACAGUCAAACCCAAAGACUCUUUCCCUUUCUAUGUGGUACUUCAAGGUUUUAAAACCGGAAUUUUUGAUUCCUGGAUUGAUGUUAUUACCCAGCUUAAAAAUUUUCCUCACCCUCUCUACAAAGGUUUUCAUUCUAUCUCCGAAGCCUUAGACACUGCUCGUACCUACUUUGGUCCAAAUUUUUUUAUCUCCCCCAAUAUUCGCUCUUCUCCACAUAUUCAUGCCUCUACAUCCACCCACAAUCCUGAGAAAAUUAGUUUCUGUGAAAACUGCUCAACAACGGCAACACAGCUCCAAAAACUGAAUACUAUUUGUGAUGACUUGAGAACAAAGGAUCAGAAAAAUAUUCAAAGAAUUGCUGUUCUGGAACAACAGAUCAAAGACCUCAAGAACCCCUCACAACAAGGUAUUGUAUCUCUACCUCAAUCUUCCUCUUAUCCUCCUUCAAAGUAUCCUCCUAUAAUGACAACUACACCGAGUUUGGUCUUUCCUCCUAUGACCGACAUAAAUACUCCAUUUCAAAUUACUCCAUUUCAAAACCCACUAAUCCCAGUAGUCCAUCCCUCUAUCUCAGUAAAACCUUUUUUAUCUUCAGCACCACAAAAACCUACCCUCAAAAGAUAUCCACAGCCAAUUGCCAAACCUUUUAGGCAAAUUGAACCCUCUUCAGAACCAUUACCACACCCUAGUAUAGGAAACACUGAACAAAAACAAGGCGAUCCCAUGAUACUAGAAACAUCUUCUCCCAAAUGUGACAAUUUAGGCGAAAAUGCUUAGCCGCCUGAUUCUGACAUUUUGUACAUUUUUGUAAAUAUUUCUUUCAGUUCUGCAGUUUUAAUUGCGCCUUUUCAUUUCGACCUUGUAUUGGACACUGCUAAAAAAAAAAAAAAUUCAGAAAAAAGCAAAAGAGAAAAAUGAAAAAAAAAAAGAUUUUCCAGAGAAAAGUGGAAAUAUGAAGAAGAAGAAAGAAUCUGGAAAUUGAAAAAAUCAAAAGAAAAAAUUGAAAAAAUGGAAAAACAGAAAAAACAAGAGAAAAUUCAAGAAAAGAAAGAAAAAAUCAGAAAAAGAAAAAAGAAAAAAGAAUUAACCCGCUGUGAUCCUUUCACAGGCAAAAAUAAGGGUUUUUUAGUUUAGGGCUUUAAUUUCUGUUCUUUAACCACCUUGUGAUCCAACUCCAUCAUCAAAAGCAAGGUUCCAAAGUCUGUUCCCAAACAGACACCACCAAGUCCAACUUUCCACCUCCAGAGCAAUUUUUUGGCUUCCUCCAAGCAAGUCCCAAAGCGACACGUGGCCUCCAUUUGGACAAAUAAUAAUCCGACACGUGGACACCACUCAUGCACCAGUUCCAUGCACCAGGUCCACCAAGAAUCCCGGCAAGAAUGACAUUCAAAACCACUACGCCUCAAACCCCCUACGCCUCAGGUUUUUUAAAACCGUGGGCCCACGUCAUCAUUCCACCCAAUACCUCAUCCUGCGAAGCCAUGGUUUUUUUGAAAACCAGGUGCCGCCGCAGUAUUCUCCUCCCAAACCACCUCUUCCUUCGGCUAUAAAGGAAGAAAACCUCCUCCUCCUCUCAGAGCAUCGAAACCUCAGAGCAUCGAAUGCAUAGAGAAAGAAGCAGAGCAAGAAAAAAUCCUACUUAGCCCCUGCCUUAUGAAAAAUUCCGCUGAAGCUUAAAGGAAGAUCAUUUCGACGACAAGUGAAGAAUGAAGCAAGCCUCUUGUUAGAUAUACCAUCCUAGCUCCACAAAUAAUUCCCUAAUGGCCUUUAUUUUCCUAUCCUUCCUGUAAAAAUUAUCUUUUUUCUUAACCGCAUUCUGGCGUGAAGAGUCUGUACAAACAAGUCCUUCUUUCCCCCCGGGAAGUCCCGGAAGGGAAACCUUCUAGCAUUGUGAUGUAAGUUUUAUCUCUUGUUAAUAUUAUAUUUCUCGAACUCUUCUAUCCAUGGCAUUUUCUUUGCCCCAUGAUUCCCUUUCCUUGGACUCUUAAUGAAAAUUUAAGAGGUUCUCUCUGGAUAAUUAUUUCAGCUUAAGCAAGUGUAAAGCAUAUAUGCUUGGCAGAUUUGAUAAGAGAAAAAAUGCUCUGUAAUUUUCGCCAUUGAUAGCCAGAGGUGCUUUGCGGCGUUAGAGCGAGGUUCUCUGAAAACUGUACGCCAAGAGGGUCUUGUGCACCAACACUGUGUCUUAAGUGGUGUUAUCCACAUUAGAAAAUUAAAUUUCAUCAUAAGUCCGAGUUUUAGGAAAAUUGCAUCAUCGAAAAUUUAAUGAGAUAAAGAGUUUUAGAAAUAUAAAAAACAUCUGAAAAAUUUUUAUCUUGAUUUCUAGAAGGGAGUACCAGACGGGACCUACUUUAAAAAAGAUUUGGAAACUUAGUUUAUUUUCUAAAAACGGAAAUUUUAAAUUUGCACUUCAUCCUAUUUUUAUUCAUCCUACAAAUAUCAUUCAAGACAUAUAUUAUUUUCUUUCCGUUCCUCUUUUACUGUGAACUAUCUAUCAAACAAUUUCAUCUAAACAUCCACCUAUCCAUCCCAAUUAAAUUAAUAUUUAAUAACGACCAACAUCGUUUCCGCCUACAAACACACUUUAAUUUAAGUUUUUAAAAGCUUUCUCUUAAAGAAAAGUUUAAAAAGAUAAAAAAAAAAAGAGAAAAAACAACGUGCAUGUCACUUUGCGUAAUUAGCACUAAUUACGCCACUUAAAUUUUAGACCGGAAAAAUUUAUAAAAAAUCUUAAAAAAUCAGAAAUAUUCCCACGAGUCUUUUGCUACCCUUGUCCAGAGUAGCCGACAUAUAGUUUCCCCUUUGCAUUUUUCUGUUUGCAUAGUAAACUUAAAAAGUUAAAAAAAAAAAAAAAAAAAUUUCCACGUGAAGCCACUGUAUGCAUAGUUAUCGUGCAUAGUAACUUCACUAGUUUUCGACAGCAACAUUUCCAGACAGAAAAAAUACCAAAAAAUUCAGAAAAAUCUUACGAGUAUUUUGCCACCAUUCUUCAGAAUAGCCGACAUACGGUCUCUCCUGUAAAAAUCUUUCUUUCUUUCAAAUCACUAUUUGCAUAGUAACUUGCAUAGUAAUUUAUUUACGUACGCACUAUUUCUACUUAGUAUCCUACGCUAAUUAAGCUUUUUCUAGCUAUAUCAGAAAAAUUCUCCAAAAAUACCCAAAAAAUUGUUAAAAAUCCAACUUUCUCUUUCUUGCCCUUAUCUUUUUCAACCGGUAUUUUCUAAUACUUACUUUUCAAUAUAUUACAUAAUCUGACCCAACUCUACUAUUUCCGCAUUUCCCUAAAAAUCCUAAAAAAUCCAAAAAAUAUUUUAAAAAUCCUUUUUAGGUUUUUGCUUCUUUCAAAGGUUUGUUUUUCCUACUAUCUUAGGGUUUUUAUAAAUAGACUAGGGUUUUCUCCAUAAAUCCUAGGGUUUUUAUCUUAAGGGUUUUUUAUAACAACAGACUUGUAGUUUGUGUUUAAAGAUCAUUUCCGCACCUUCUUCUAAACCCGAAACCCUAAACCCUAAACCCUAAACCCUAAACCUUAAACUUGGAACUAGCCAAGCCUAAACUCUCUAGCCCCCCCUCUUUCCCCCCUCUUGGUAUCAGAGCUUAGACUUUCUUGGUCAAACUUACCCAGACUUUCUUGGUCAAACUUACCUAGAAUCUCUUGGUUUCAAGUUACUAAACUUAUAAAGACUUUAUUGAUUAAACUAGUAGAGACUUUAGCUUUAUCACUUAGCUAUUUUACUACAAUCAAUUCAACAGCCUCAUUCUCUUUUAAACAAGACAGAGAAAAGAAACGAAUACAAAUCUUCCUUGAAUGCAACCACAUUAUUGAUAAUAGUAAAAUCUUUUUAACAAUCAUCCUCAAUACCACCAUAUUAUGGAAUUUUCUACAUCAUCAUCUUCUCAAUCACACAGAUUUUCUAGGUCUAAUUCCUAUAGAUCUGAAGAUAGUGAAUCUACAAUAUCUUUAAGAGCUCCUAAGUCUAGAGCAAGGAACAUAGUUGAAAAAAUCUUUUGUAGACCAAAACCUCUUCCAUUAGUCCCCAGAUCACAGACACCUCAACUAGACACAGUUGUAGAUGUUGAUGAUGAUAUCGCAAUCUUCCGUACCCACGGAUUACGUCUUAUAAAUCCAGACAUCUUAUAUGAUAACCGUCAACGAUAUGUUGACAAGACUAAAUUUAUUUCCUUCAAGAGUGAAGUAUCAGUUGAAUGUUAUGACGGUCAACACAUUUCUAUACCCCUUGCUGAUGAAGAAGUACAAAAAAGUAUUAGAAAGGCAGAUAUAGCACUUAUGCAUUUAGGAUUAAUUGUAAUAGGCAUAAAAGGCCUGGUACGUAAAAAACUAGGAUCUAAAGUACUCUUAAUGCCUUAUGACAAUAGACAUAAAAAUAUAAUUGACGCAUCCUUAGGAUGUACAGAAAUAGAUAUGAAUUACAACGGUGGAAUAUUUUAUGUAGUUCCAGACUUUCUAAUGCCUUCAUUAGACUUUGCAAAUCAAAUUAAGAUUGGUAUACAAGUCAGAGGAAUAGACUUAUAUGAAGGACAAAACUUUAGAAACUUACAAGUUUGUAUUGGAUUUACAGGUCUGUUAACACCCACUGCCGAGUCACAUUUUUUAAUGAACCCCUUAGGUGUAGUAGAUUUAAUGGGAACACAAGGCAUGAAAUUAAUAGCACCAAUGGAAAUAGAUGCUAAAAAAUAUGCCGGCCUUGAAUGGAACUUGGAUAAAUUUACACAAAUUAGACAAACAACAAUAGCUCCUGCUGAUACUAUUUACUACCAAAAUGAACAAGGAAGGAACUCACUCAGAUUCACAGACUUUGAGACAAUUGAAGAAACAGAAAAUGACAAAGAUAGGACGACACCACUAAUACGAAAAAGAAAUAGUACAUCAACUCAACUCGGUGAAUCAAGUACCCAAAGAAGAGAUUUUACUCUAUUACCUCAAAACCAACCACCAAACUUAAAUGUACCAUAUAAUCUAGAAAAACAGCCCAAUAUCGAAUAUAAUUUUAUGGAAGAUAAUUAUAUUGACUAUUCUUCUGAAUCUGAACCUGAAGAUGAAGAAGAUGAAGAAUUUAGUGAUGAAGAAGAAAACCGUCUGAUAGAACAAAUCAGGCUAAAAAGACAAUUAAGAUCUGAAAAAGAUAAAAAAUUAGGAUAUACUAAGCAAGAUGACAGGUUUAUCUAUAACCUAAGAGACGAAAUAAGAGAAAUAAACUUAGCAGAGGAAGGAGAAGGAUCUAAUCCUCCUGAAACACAGACUCCUCCACCAUAUCAUAUUGAACAUCCAUUAAACACUCCUCCAGCUCCACAGAGACCUCCUCGACCUCAAACAACAAAUCCUGGUUAUUCUCAUAUACCAUACUAUGAUACAGUUAGGAUGCCAGCCGAAACCUACAACACUGGUAAUUUCCCUAGACAUCGCAUCUCCUCAGCCCCAGAAGAGCAAAUCUAUCCUUAUGGUCGCAAUGUUAGAUCUUAUGGCAAAAAAUAUCCUUUUGAAAAUCCUGUUAAUUUACAAGAAGCAGGAUCUGGAAAAAUAUUAAACAUAGCUGCUCAUGACCCCCAAACUUGGGAUUCUAUAAUAGACAUUUGGAAAGGAUUAGUUGUAGCAGAUUAUAUUCGUAACCAACACUACAUGAAUACUGAUAACGCCGAGGAAAUGUAUAAAUAUUUAGAAACCUUUUUAGGAGAAUCUACCAAAGGAAUGUGGGAACAAUAUAAAGUUCAAUAUGAAGAUGAAUUCAGACAUUUAUUAACACUAGGAUGUAAUCCUUGUAAUUUUACAAACAAAGUUCAUUCUCUUAUUACCGGUCAAGACCCUAAUUCUGGCCAAUUGCUACUCCAAAAUCAAGCCCUUAUCAGCCUAGAACAACUUAGUAUUUCUACCUGGUUCCCUAUCAAAGACUUUCUACAAGCAUACUUAUAUUAUGCAAGUAUAAGUGGGAAUGCUUUUAGCCAAGACAUAGGACGAAAAUUAUUCUUAAAACUUCCAGGAGUCCUAGGCAGAGAAAUCCAAGAUAGAUGGGAUACAAUGGAAAAAAAAACUAUAAGGCAAAACCCAGAUACUAAAUGGUCCAUAGGACAAAGAGUAAAAUUCAUAAUGAAUAUACUACAAGAGAAAUGUGCCAACAUACAAAUCACAAAACAACUCAAAGACAAUGAAUACUCUUUCUGUAAAAGUGUUGUGUAUACUCCCCAACAGUAUAGAAACCCAUUUUAUGAAACUCCAAAGAAAAAAUAUAAACAUUAUAUCCCUCAAUACAAAGGAUAUAAGACAAGAAUGAAAUAUUCCUUACGACGAUCAAAAGCCAAAAAACCCUAUUUAAAUAAAGAUAACCAUGUUAGAAAAUAUAAAUCAGACAGAACUUAUAAAAGCAAACUUCUCUGUUAUACAUGUAAUAGUCCAGGGCAUUUUGCAAAUGCAUGUCCAAGAAGACAACAUAAAAAACCGAAAUGCUUUACUUAUAGAAGAUACUGGCGAAACCUUGUUAGCAGUAGAUGAAUUUGUCUCAGACAUUGAAACUAUUUACUCCAUUGAAAAUAAUAUAGUUUACGAGAAAGAGAGUGAAAGAGAAUCCUCCUCUGAUGAAGACAAUAAUAACUGUAAUACUUUUAUCUCAAAUAUGAUUGAAGGUACUAAGACAACAAAGCAAAAAGAACAUACAUAUUUUUUUGAAUCUGCAAUGAUAUUUGAAGACCCUGACGAAAAUACAUCCAUAACCUCCCCGCUAGAGGAUAAAACAUGGAAUUCGUUUUAUGAUAGUACCACAAUUCUUUUUGAGANGAUAAAACUUACAUCACAACGCUAGAAGGUUUCCCUUCCGGGACUUCCCGGGGGGAAAAAAGGACUUGUUUGUACAGACUCUUCACUCCAGAUUGCAGUUGAUAAAAAGAUAAAUUUUUACAGGAGGGGGAGAAAAAUAAAAGCCAUUGGAUUUAUUUGUGGAGCUAGGAUGCUAUAUCUAACAAGAUGAGAGCUUCAUUCUUCACUUGUUGUCGAAAUGAUCUUCCUUUAAGCUUCAGCGCAAUUUUUACAUAAGGCAGGGGCUAAGUGGGAUUUUCUCUUGCUCUGCUUCCUUGCUCACCAUGCUUCAAGAGGAGGAGGAAGGCUUCCUUUUAUAAGAAAAAGGAAGAGUGGUUUUGGAGGAGAAAACUGCGGCGGCACCUGGUUUUCAAAAAAACCGCGGCUACGCAGGUUGAGGUAAUGGAAGGAAUGAUGACGCGACAUGAUGACGUGGGCCCACAGGCUUUUCAAAAAAAACCUCAGGCGUAGUGGUUUUGGAUGGUCAUCAUUGGCAUGACUUUUUGAAAAUUCGGUGGACCUGGUGCAUCAGUGAUGUCCACGUGUUGCUUUAAUAUUUGUCCAGAUGGAGGCCAUUUGUUGAUUCUUCAUUGGCUUGGUGGGGGCCAAAUAUUGCUCUGAAAUUUGGUGGUGUCUGUUUGGGAACAGACUUUGGAACCUUGCUUUUGGUGGUGGAGUUGGAUCACAAGGUGGUUAAAGAACAGAAAUUAAAGCCCUAAACUAAAAAACCCUUAUUUUUGCCUGUGAAGGAAUCACAGCGGGUUGAUUUCUUUUUUCUUUUUUCUUUUUCUGAUUUUUUCUUUUUUUUCUUGAUUUUUUCUUCUUUUUUGUUCUUUUUUCAUUUUUCAAUUUUUUCUUUGGUUUUUUCAUUUCCAGAUUCUUUCUUCUUCUUUUGAUAUUUCCACUUUUUUCUGGAAAUUUUCUGUUUUUUCUCCUUUUUUUAGCAGUGUCCGAAUACGCGGACUACAUGAAAAGGCAUAAUUGAAAAACAGAUGCAGAACUGAAGGAAAUAUAUACAAAUAUGUACAAAACAUCAGAACCAGGCGGCUAAGCAAUUUCCCCUAAAUUGUCAAUUUUGGGAGAAGGUGCUUCUAGUAUCAUGGGAUCUUCUUGUUUUUCUUCAGUGUUUCCUAUACUAGGGUGUGGUAAUGGUUCUGAAGAGGGCUUAGUUCUUGGAAAUGGUUUAGCAAUUGGCUGUGGAGGUUUUUUGUGGAAAGCUUUUUGUGGUGGAAAAGGUGCUGAUGAUAGUGGAAGCGGUUUUACUGAGGUGGAUGGAUGGACUACUGGGAUUAGUGGGUUUUGAAAAGGAGCAUUUAUGUUGGUAAUUGGGGGAAAGACCAAACUUGGUGUUAUUGUCAUUAUAGGAGGAUACUUUGGAGGAGGAUAAGAGGAAGAUUGAGGUAGAGAUACAAUACCUUGUUGUGAAGGAUGCUUGAGGUCUCUGAUCUGAUGUUCAAGGAUUGCAAUUCUUUGUAGAUUUUUCUGAUCCUUUGUUCUUAAGUCAUCGCAAAUGGUAUUCAGCUUCUGAAGCUGUGUUGCCAUUGUUGAGCAGUUUUCACAGAAACUAUUUUUCUCAAGAUUGUGGGUGGAUGUAGAGGCUUGGAUAUGUGGAGAGGAGCGAAUAUUGGGAGAAAUAAAAAAGUUUGGGCCAAAGUGGGUGCGAGCAGUGUCUAAGGCUUCGGAGAUAGAAUGAAAACCUUUGUAGAGUGGUUGGGAAAAAUGCCAAUUUUAAAACCUUGAAAUACUACAUAGUAAGGAAACUUAUUUAUUUAUUUAUUUAUUUAUUUAUUUAUUUUUUUUUUUUUAUAAGUUAAGAGUUCCAAUUUGGAUUUAUAAUAAAAGGGAAAAAAGGCAUCAGGUUGUAACAUAGGUGGUGACAUAAGAUUCUAGUAAGUUUAUAUUGAUAAUCUAAACUAUAAUCUUGGAGGUUGAGUUUGUCCAAAANGAAUUCGUUUUAUGAUAGUACCACAAUUCUUUUUGAGAGAGUACAAACUCUAGAACAAGAACUGAACCCUAAUUGGGAAUUAGCUGCCCGAGACUAUAAAAUCCAAUUAUUAAGACAAAGAGCACAAGAAAGAAUAGACAAACGAAUAUGGAAAAUAGCUAUGGAAUUACAAGAUCAGAGUGGAUCAAGAGUAAGAGAAAUAAUGGAAUAUGAACGCAAGCAAAGGUUAUUAGACACUAAAGACCAAAAUAAAAUUAUUCAAGAUAUUAGGAUUCUGUUCGAUGAUCUUUCCGAACAGGAAGAGAUUAUAAAAGACAUCAGACAUCUCUUUGACAUAUCCCAACCCUCAUUUCAUGACUCUACUAUUUAUGUUAUGACCCUUAUGAAUUUAAAUGAAGAAUGCAGCCAUGAUUGGCAAGAAAGACAAGGAUAUGACCAUAGACCUUGCACAUACUGUAAUUUCUUUCCCGAACGAAAAUUUAGAUGUAAAUGUCGCUUAUGUAAAAUUGAAGCAUGUUCAAUUUGCUUAAACAAAAAGUUUAAUAGACAGAUUACAAAUAUAGAACCUAAAAAGACUUUUGAAAUUGAACAUUUAAAUGCCCAUGAAAAACGAAUUAUAGCUUUAGAAGCCAGAGUUAGCCUUCUGGAAAAACAAGACAAUCCAAGAAAAAACAAAGAAAUCACAAACAAAGGAAAAGGAAUAGAGAUCCGUGAAAAUAUGACAGCACUAUCUGAAUACUAUGAAGAAGAAAACUUAAGAGUAUAUGAAGAUAACUAUAUUUGCAAUGAAGGAUUAAACCUACGAAGCCUAAUUGUUCCAUGUAAAAUACAAAUAGGAAACAAAGACUUUGAAACAGAAGCAGUCAUAGACACUGGCUGUACAACAUGUCUAAUACACACAGAUUUAGUCCCUUUAAAUUAUCGAAAAACAGCAAAGGAACCAACAAAAGGAAUCCAAAUGGACGGUACUGCCCAUAAAUAUACACAGUAUGUUUCUAAUGCAAAAAUUAGUUUCUUAGAUACAUGCAAUACAUUCAAUGAAACUUAUACCCUCCCCAGAGUCUGGUUACGAAAAAUGAAAAUAAAUGCAGACUUUGUAUUAGGUUUAAAUUUCAUGCUCCACUUUUUAGGCGGAAUAAGUAUCAAUAGAGAUUAUGUUAAAUUCUACAAACAUGUCACAAUGACUCCAGUACAAAAGAAAGCAAAGAAACCCUUAAAAGACAGAAUAGAUUGCUGUGACAAUUGCUCUAAAGGAGAACCUUGUUCUCUAGAUAAGAUAACAGACGAAACAGACUUAUUAGAAUUUGACACCUGGCAUGAUGAUUUUUCUUAUAAUCUAGAAAAAUUAUUAGACACCAACUCAAUUUGCAUGGAUUAUGACUUUGUAAAUUGGGAAAAAACCCUCUUAAAUAUAGGUUUUAUUAGAAACCAGCAAGACAUAGAUGAAAUAUUACAUAAACUUGACAAAUUAGAAAUUAUGGGAGACAACCCAAUUAAAUAUUGGGAAAACGAUAAAAUAUAUUGUAAACUGGAUAUAAUUAACCCAGAAUAUAUAGUUAGAACUGCCUCUAUAGACUUCACUAACGAAGAAAGAGAACAAUUUAAACUACACAUAAAUGAACUACUUAAGUUAGGUGUUAUAAGAAAAUCGAUAUCUAAACAUAGAUCAACAGCUUUUAUAGUUAUGAAACAUUCUGAGAUAGUACGAGGAAAAAGCAGAAUGGUCAUUAACUACAAAAGACUUAAUGACAAUACAAAAUUCGAUGGCUAUACUAUUCCAGACAAAUCUCAACUAAUAAAUAGUAUACAAGAUAAAAAGAUUUUUAGUAAAUUUGACUGUAAAUCAGGUUUUUGGCAAGUAAAAAUGGACAAAGAGAGUAUAGAAUGGACAGCUUUUACCUGCCCAGAAGGACAUUUUGANUUUGAAUAUUUUUAUGAAAACCGAAAGUAAAGGUAUGGAAUUCUCCUGUGAGAUGGUAAAUAAUGAAAGGAUAAGGAAGGCUUAGGUUUGACAAAGUCUUAUCAUAUAAUGUUAAAAAUGCAAAAUAAUAAAAGGGCUUUUUGCUUUUUUGUUUUUCUUUUGAUUCUAGCCGUGGUUGUAAAUUUAGAGAAAACAAGUACGGUUUGGAGGAGAUUCUAUGAUUAAUUUAUUAAGUAAGUCUAUCUGAGAUUUGGUAUUCUUUUCUAUGACUACUAAAAUUUGUUGAAUGCUGAAAAGGAUGAUUAAAAUGCUUAAAAGAAAUAUGGAUGGUACUAGCAUUAAAAUCUUCGUGGAGGCUGAGGAGGUCGUCUGGAAAGAAUGUCAAAUAGAUGAGGGUAGUGUAUAAGUUCUUUAUCUAGAGUAAGUAGGAUUAAAGAAAGUAAAUCUAGAUACCUAUGAGUUUCAAUGUAAAAUGUUUUUAAGACACGAAAAUGUACUAAAGUCCCGAUAGGAUGAUUAGCGUAAAUAGGAUUGUUAAUAGGAUUAAAAGUGAAAGCGUCUAUGUCAAAAGCGUCUUCGACUGUUACUUCUAAAAAUCUUCGUCUUCCAAUAUGAACAAUGUUGUAUCGCCAGUUAAAUUGUCUUGGGCUGGUGGUAUUAUCACUAUAGUCUGAACUGUCAUCACUAUUGUUAUUGUCUUCGUAUUCUUCGUAAUCUGGUAAAAUUUCGUCUUCGUUUGGAUUAGCCAGUGUAUUUAUUAUUGUCGAAAUAUCUGAAAAACAAGAAAAGGGUCUAUUUCCCAAAGCUGAGAUAUAAGUUGUAGGAAAAUAAUUAUUAAGGGGAGUGGAACUCCUAAAGUUAAGGAAUCUAUAAUAAAAGUUUCUAUAUAAUAGGGAGUGUAGAGAAAGUUUAGAAUUGGUUCGAUGAGAUAAUAUAAGCACACUAUAAGAAAUCUAAAUAUAGAUUCGAUUAAUAAAUAUAAUGCUAUGUCUUUAUCCAGUUUGAAAAAUGUUAAAUAGGUUGAAAAAUGUUAAAUUAUUAUUUUCUUCCUAUAUAUUGAAAAGGCCAAGUAAUAAGGUAUCGGUCAAAAGUUUCCCAAUAUAUUAUUAAUAUGUCUAAAAUAUUGUAUAUGAUGUCUUCUGGAAAUCCUAACAGAAAUAAUGUUAAAAUAAAAGUUGUCAAGGAAAAAGGUUGAUCGAUGAUAUUACAAAAAAGUUGGUCUGUAUUAUUAUCCGGUGCUUUCCUUUUUGGCAUAAAAAAGUUUUACUAUUUAUUAAAUAUGUGGUUGCAUUGAGGACUUUAGUUAAGAAAAUUUAUUUUCUUUUCUUUUCUCUGUCUUGCUUAAGAAGAAAGCGAGGCUGUUGAAUUGAUUGAAAAAAGAUAAUUAAUAUGGUGUAGCUUUAAGAAAGGAAACUAAAUGUCUUAUAGCUAAAUUAAGAGUAUAAGUGUAUAAUUAAAAGUCUUUGCUAAUUGUAACCAAGAAAGUCUUAGUCUACCAAGAAUGUCUUAGUUUACCAAGAAAGUCUUAGCUCUGAUACCAAGAGGAAACAAGAAAGUCUUAGCUCUGAUACCAAGAAUGUCUAAUUUUAACUUUAUCUUUCCUCCUCCUCUUGAAGGAUGGUGAGCAAGGAAGCAGAGCAAGAGAAAAUCCCACUUAGCCCCUGCCUUAUGUAAAAAUUGCGCUGAAGUUUAAAGGAAGAUCAUUUCGACGACAAGUGAAGAAUGAAGCUCUCAUCUUGUUAGAUAUAGCAUCCUAGCUCCACAAAUAAAUCCAAUGGCUUUUAUUUUCCUGUCCUUCCUGUAAAAAUUUAUCUUUUCAACAACUGCAAUCUGGAGUGAAGAGUCUGUACAAACAAGUCCUUNUUAGUUUCUGUGAAAACUGCUCAACAAUGGCAACACAGCUCCAAAAACUGAAUACUAUUUGUGAUGACUUGAGAACAAAGGAUCAGAAAAAUAUUCAAAGAAUUGCUGUUCUGGAACAACAGAUCAAAGACCUCAAGAACCCCUCACAACAAGGUAUUGUAUCUCUACCUCAAUCUUCCUCUUAUCCUCCUUCAAAGUAUCCUCCUAUAAUGACAACUACACCUAGUUUGGUCUUUCCUCCUAUGACCGACAUAAAUACUCCAUUUCAAUUUACUCCAUUUCAAAACCCACUAAUCCCAGUAGUCCAUCCCUCUAUCUCAGUAAAACCUUUUUUAUCCUCAGCACCACAAAAGCCUACCCUCAAAAGAUAUCCACAGCCAAUUGCCAAACCUUUCCGGCAAAUUGAACCCUCUUCAGAACCAUUACCAUACCCUAGUAUAUGAAACACUGAAGAAAAACAAGGAAAUCCUAUGAUAAUAGAAGCAUCUUCUCCCAAAAGUGACAAUUUAGGGGAAAAUGCUUAGCCACCUGGUUCUGAUAUUUUGUAUAUAUUUGUAAAUAUUUCUUUCAAUUCUGUAAUUUUAAUUGCGUCUUUUUCUUUAGUCCUUGUAUUGGACACUGCUAAAAAAAAAAAAAAAUGAAAAUUCAGAAAAAAGCAAAGUAGAAAAAUGAAAAAAAGAAUUUCCAGAGAAAAGUGGAAAUAUGAAGAAGAAGAAAGAAUCUGGAAAUUGAAAAAAUCAAAAGAAAAAANUUUAGUAAUUAGAAUAGGUUCGGGGAUUCGGCGUGGACACUUCUGGAUAUUCAUCGAGCAUCAUUAAGGCCAUUUCGUUGUUUUCCUUACGUAUUACAUUUAAAGAAGUUAGUAAUGUGUUUACAUCAUUUCUAGGAAGAAAUAUAGCACGACGCGUGUAUACACUACCUCUUACCAUUAUAAACUCAAAUAUAUCAUUUGAUUCUAAGACCCUAUAUUCCCACUCCUCGAGCAUCUGCUCAUGUACCUGUUGGGAAUAGAGAGCGCGAACCAGUAUUGGGUACGAGAACCUGUCGUCUUGCUCAAGUGCCCAUGGCCGCCCCGCUACAUCGUGAAUGCACUUGGGAGUGUAGGUAUAUAAGUUUUUUACCUCAUCCAUUGUCAAGAAAUAUAGAUUGGUUACAAAUGCAAAUUAAUUAAAGGCCAUCUAACAUAUAGUGGGUAUUUAUAUGUGCAGCUAUGGGUGUGCCAAACAAGGAGUAAAGUAUACCUAACCGGCGUAUACGUGUUCCGUUGUUGCCUAUCACUGGUAGUUACAUAGAUUGGCUGUCAUGUAUAUGGGUGUGCGAGAGGUGUGCGGGACAGAGCGAGAUAGCUAGUUUAAACUAGGUUUUAAACCUAGUUUAAACUAGGUUUUAAACCUACUCAAAACUGGGCUAAUAACUGCAGCUGAGAGAGCUACCUGCAAUGUAGGUUGCUGAGAGAGGUUGGCAUGGGCGGCGAAUGCGGGGGUCGACGGCGACCGGCGCGGGCGACUUCAGCAGGGGCGGCGGCGACCGACGAGGGCUCCUGGAGAGAGAGGGGCAGAGAGAGAGAGAGAUAGAGAGAGAGAAAGAGUAGAGAGGGCGAAAGCAAGACAGGGAGGGAGAGGUGUCGGGGUCGGGCUAGGCUUUAGGUAUACCUAAUGAAGACGAUGAAUGGUUCACCGUCUUUAUAAGGCGGUGAAUCGUUCACCGCCUUACGAAGACGGUGAACGAUUCACCGUCUUCUCUAGGACACGGCCCGCCUUCGAAGGAGGUGCUGCAACAAGGACACGGCCCGCCUUCGAAGGAGGUGCUGUUGUUGCACUAAAGACGAUGAAUCGUUCACCGUCUUAUGAACACGGUGAACGAUUCAUCGUCUUAUCUAGGCCACAACACCCAGGACUUGCAAUGUUUCAGGGAGUGUGGGGAUUUGCUGUGAGGCGGUGGCGGUGAACCAUUCACCGCCUUCACAGCAGAUAUUACAAAGACGGUGAACGAUUCAUCGUCUUAUCUAGGCCACAACACCCAGCACUUGCAAAGUUUUAGGGGGUGUGGGGAUUUGCACUGAAGGCGGUGAAUGGUUCACCGUCUUCAGAAGGCGGUGAACCAUUCACCGCCUUCACAAAAGAUAUUACAAAGACGGUGAACGAUUCACCGUCUUUAUGAGAAAUAUCCUACGUGGCGCCCACGUGACGAAAGGAGGGUUAGUUUUACAAAUAAAAUUUUCACAAGGUCAUUUUGCCAAUUAUAAAUUUUUGGAGGGUCAUUUUAUAAAAAAAGCCCUAAUAUGUAUCUACUCCUGUUAUUUAUAUAUAUAUGUGUGUGUUGUGUGUGUGUGUGUGUGUGUGUGUGCAGAUUUUACACAAUAGUCCCUAAGAAAGCAACAAAAUAGAAGAAAGUUCCUAGUCAACAAGAACAAACCUUCAGCUUCCAUAUCAACAACACCACCAAAUAGUACUGCCCUUUUCUUGUGGACGCACAUAGAAAAUCCAGCACGAGGACCAGGAGGCAUCCCACUCUUCUUAAUCUAUUCACAAAAUAGUUUAUGCAUGUAGCAGCCAAAAAAAAAAAAAAAAAAAAAAAAANCCCAACCCCUAAUAUUUCCGCAUUUUCUAAAAUUCUCAAAAAAUCCCAAAAAUAUUGAAAAACUCCUUUUUAGGUUUUUGCUUCUUUCAAAGGUUUGUUUUUCCCUUAAUACCUUAGGGUUUUCAUAAAUAGACUAGGGUUUUCUCCAUAAAUUCUAGGGUUUUAUUUCUCACAGGGUUUUUAUCACAAUAGACUUGUAGUUUGUGUUUAACACUACUUCUAAACCUUUUCCUAAACCCUAAACCCUAAACCCUAAACCCUAAACUUGGAACUAGCCAAGCCUAAACAAGCUAGCCCCCUCCCCCCUCUUGGUAUCAGAGCUUAGACUUUCUUGGUAUAGACACUUAGCCUCUUGACUAACAUUGUUUAUUUAAAAGACUUUUUGAUUAGAGACUUUCUUGGUAAACUAAGACAUUCUUGGUUACAAUUAGCUAGGACUUUUUAAUUAUAAACUUUGUUAGUUAUGGACUUUCCUACAUCAUCUUCUCAACAACACAGACUAUCUAGAUCUAAUUCUUCUAGAUCUGAAGGUAGUGAAUCUACAAUAUCUUUAAGAGCUCCUAAGUCUAGAGCAAGGAGCAUAGUCGAAAAAUUUUUUUGCAGACCAACACCUCUUCCGUUAGUUCCUAGAUCCCAGACACCUCAAUUAGAUAAUGUUGUAGAUGUUGAUGAUGACAUUGCAAUAUUCCGUACCCACGGGUUACGUCUUAUAAAUCCAGACAUUCUAUAUGAUAAGCGACAACGAUAUGUUGAUAAGACUAAAUUUAUUUCUUUUAAAAGUGAAGUGUCAGUUGAAUGUUAUGACGGCCAACACAUUUCAAUACCCUUAGCUAAUAGCGACGUACAAAAGAGUAUUAGAAAAGCAGACAUAGCUCUUAUGCAUUUAGGAUUAAUUGUAAUAGGCAUAAAAGGACUAGUACGUAAAAAAUUAGGAUCUAAAGUUCUCCUAAUGCCUUAUGACAACAGACACAAGAAUAUAAUUGAUGCAUCUUUAGGUUGCACUGAAAUAGAUAUGAAUUUUAACGGUGGAAUAUUUUAUGUUGUUCCAGACUUUCUAAUGCCCUCAUUAGACUUUGCAAGUCAGAUUAAAAUUGGUAUACAAGUUAGAGGAAUAGACUUAUAUGAAGGACAAAAUUUUAGGAAUUUACAGGUAUGUAUUGGAUUUACAGGUCUGUUAACACCCACUGCCGAGUCACAUUUCUUAAUGAACCCUUUAGGUGUAGUAGAUCUAAUGGGAACACAAGGCAUGAAAUUAAUAGCACCAAUGGAAAUAGAUGCUAAAAAAUAUGCCGGCCUUGAAUGGAAUUUGGAUAAAUUUACGCAAAUUCGACAAACUACAAUAGCUCCUGCAGACACUAUUUACUACCAAAAUGAACAAGGAAGAAACUCACUUAGAUUUACAGACUUUGAGACAAUUGAAGAAACAGAAGAUGACAAAGAUAGGACUACACCAUUAAUCCGAAAAAGAAGUAGUACAUCAUCCCAACUAGGUGAAUCGAGUACCCAACGAAGAGAUUUAAAUCUUCUACCCCAAAAUCAACCUCCAAAUUUAAAUGUACCUUAUAACUUAGAAAGCCAACCCAAUGUUGAAUAUAAUUUUAUGGAAUACAACAAUAUUGACUAUUCUUCUGAAUCUGAACCUGAAGAUGAAGAAUUUAGCGAUGAAGAAGAGAUCCGUCUGAUAGAACAGAUCAGACUAAAAAGACAAUUAAGAUCUGAAAAAGAUAAAAGAUUAGGAUACACUCCUCUCAAUGACAAUUUUAUUUAUAACCUAAGAGAUGAAAUUAGAGAAAUAAACUUAGCAGAAGAAGGAGAAGGAUCUACUGUCCAUAAUCCUCCUGUUACACAUACUCCUCCACCAUAUCAUGUUGAACAUCCAUUAACUACUCCUCCAGCUCCACAGAGAUCUCCUAGACCUCAUGCAUCCAAUCCCGGAUACUCACAUAUACCAUAUUAUGAUACAGUCCGAAUGCCAGCAGAAACCUAUAAUACUGGUAAUUUUCCUAGACAUAGCAUCUCCUCAGCCCCAGAAGAACAAAUUUACCCAUAUGGUAGAAAUGUUAGAUCAUAUGGCAAAAAAUAUCCUUUUGAAAAUCCUGUUAAUUUGCAAGACGCAGGAUCUGGAAAAAUAUUAAACAUAGCAGCACAUGACCCCCAAACUUGGGAUUCUAUAAUAGACAUUUGGAAAGGAUUAGUUGUAGCAGAUUAUAUUCGGAAUCAGCACUACAUGAACACAGACAAUGCCGAAGAAAUGUAUAAAUACUUAGAAACCUUCCUAGGAGAAUCUACUAAAGGAAUGUGGGAACAAUAUAAAGUUCAAUAUGAAGAAGAAUUUAGACAUCUUUUAACACUAGGAUGUAAUCCUUGUAAUUUUACAAACAAAGUUCAUUCUCUUAUUACAGGCCAAGACCCUAAUUCUGGCCAAUUACUCCUCCAAAACCAAGCUCUUAUCAGCCUAGAACAACUUAGUAUUUCAACCUGGUUCCCUAUUAAAGACUUUCUACAGGCAUACCUAUAUUAUACAAGUAUAAGUGGAAAUGCAUUUAGUCAAGACAUAGGAAGAAAAUUAUUCUUAAAACUUCCAGGAGCCCUAGGCAGAGAAAUUCAAGACAGAUGGGAUACAAUGGAAAAAGAAACCAUAAGACAACCCAGAUACUAAAUGGUCCAUAGGACAAAGAGUAAAAUUCAUAAUGAAUAUAUUACAAGAAAAAUGUGCCAAUAUUCAAAUCACAAAGCAAUUAAAAGACAAUGAAUAUUCUUUCUGUAAAAGUGUGGUAUAUACUCCCCAACAGUAUAGAAACCCAUUUUAUAAAAAUCCAAAGAAAAAAUCUAAACAUUACAUCCCUCAAUACAAAGGAUAUAAGACAAGAAUNAAUCAUGUAUGGCAAGUAAGAACCUUUCAAGUGUAUGGAUGGUAUUAUUACAAAGCAAACAGGUAGUAGAUUAAUACUAAAGCUAGUUGGUGACUACUUGGUGACCCAGUGUGGCACCUCGCCAUGGUCCUCUCGCCAGCCCAAAAAGGCACAUAGUGGAACCAAGAGGAUAGCUGACGAAAGGGGAAAACAAUGGCUAGUUGGCGACUAAAGAUUACACCUCACAGUUAAUGGGAAAAAAAAAUUGACACAAGAAAAGAGACUGCAAGGAAAAAGAAGGAUUUUCAUUUGUCUGCACAUUGCUCUAUUGCUCUGUGCCUAAAUUACAUCAAAUUUGAAUUCUUAACUGUCCACUGAUUACCAAGUUAUCAAGUUAAAUAGUUUGUUCUUGAGGACUACAAGCUGAAUACGAAAACAUAGGGAAAACAUCAGAUAGGAAUCUCUAGUUAGUCAAAAAUAGUAUAUUUCACGUCUUCACAAGAAUCCAAGGUACUAAUUCCACAUUGCAAAAUAGCAUAGUGAUAAACAUCUUUUGAAUUCAUAUGCUAGUAUGCUACAGUUGCUACCUCAAUCCAUGUUUCAUUUUGACUUGCAAAGAUUGUAGAAAAGAAUCACAAAGCAUGCAAGCAUUCAAGAAGAAACAACUUGUCUAAUCACCUACAUCAUCUAAAAAAAGUGUAGUAACAAACUUAAACCAAUAGGUAAAUUACCACAAGUGGCUGUAAAAGACGAAUGCUUAAAUGCUUUGUACGUAAAAAAUUAUGUUUCCCUCAUAUUACUAUAAUAAAGAAAUUGAAACUGCCAAAGAAAAUAACCUUGUUCCAUUCCCAAGUACGAGGAUCGAGAGACCACAUGUCUGAAUGAACUAUUCCUUUCUCUGACCCAAUUUUAUCAGGGAUAGCUUCUUUAAAAUAGCCACCAUACAGAAAUAUCUGCUCAUGUCCACAAAUAGGAGGAUGUGCUAAGAAGAACAUGCAUACUGAAAAAUGAAAACUCACAACCAACAGUGGCAUAUAGGAGCAUAUAAAUGAAAAAUAAACAUCUUGAGAAAAUAAGCAAACCAAAGUAGGUCAGACAUAAGGGUCUUAGUCAAGAAUUUAAUUAUUUACGAGACUAUCUGAGAGGGUAAGCAACAAAAACAAAAACAAACAGACAAAGGGCAACUCUUGGAAGGACAACUUAAGAAAAAUAGUAGCCUGCUAGGUGAAAUUGCCCAUGCCAAACUACUAUAGGUUGGCAGCAUCAUCGUGAGGUACCAGGGGGUUCGCCAAAAGCAGAACAAGGAGUUGCAGGGCCUACUAGCAGCUCGUAAUGGUACUACGAAAGGACAAACUAACAUGUUGCUGGCACAAUUACCUUUGUUCAAACUAUAAAAACACCUUUGACACGAGAGGUUUUGAUACCUCUUGGUAAAAAUCUAGUCAGAUUGUUCUUAGAAGUACUUCUAAGAAUCUUUACUCAACUAAUAGAAUGAUUACUAGUAAUGUAAAAGAUGUGAAAUAACCGUUGUUCUCUAAAGCUUAAGCUACCAGAGAACUAUUUUUUUUAAUUUUAUCUUCAAUACUUACCCCUCACACGUGGGCUUGAGACGUUUUGAUAGACUCAAGGCGUAAGUUUAAAUUAAAUGGAAGGAAAUUUAAUGAGGGUAGGGACCUAAUAGGAUUCGAACUUAGGACUUCCUGCUCUGAUGCCAUGUAGAAAAUGUGAAAUAACUGUUGUUGUCCAAAACCUUAAACUAUCAAAGAACUGAUGUUUUUAUAUUUUAUGUUCAACAACUAAUAAAAUAUCUUAAAUUGGUCUUGGGCAUACAGUCUUCACUCUUCAGCAUAUAAUAAGGACUAAAAGUUUGUGAAACUCCAAACUUCCAAAAAUUGGCCUUCAGUGUUCUUUCAAUCUUUCAUAAAAAUAAUGACUGCACUGGCAAACAUGAAAAGUGUAGCCAUUAUUCUCAUUAAUUUAAUCAAAUUUAUUCUAAUCACAUGAAAUUGUGAUAAUUGACAGUUACUAAUCGGGAGAAUCAAUUUCUUCCCAAAUCAUUAUGAGCUUGGAAAAAAAUAUAAUUUAUAUUUAGUUUUUAUUUUCCAUGAUAUAAUGAUAUAAAUUUCCAAACAAUUUCUAUUAUGCCAUCAUAGACUUGUAGGCUAUCAACGGUUGUCCAAAUUCCUUUUCUUCCGGAUCACAGAUUCAUGCACCUGCCUAAGUUUAGGCACUAUUUGGGGCCUUGAUUGUUUCGAAAACAAUUGGCAUCAACUCCCCUUAUUGCAAAGUACACACUUCUUGAUACAUGUGUAAUCAUAUAUAACAAAAAUCUUAAUGGCCCUACACAAGACGAAGUAUUCACUAGAACAUACUUUAUUAUCAAAGUAUCAAACCCACUUACGGUGGCCCAUUCCCUAGAACCAGCGGAGUCCACCCAUACAUGACAGAUUCUAAAACUUAUUAUAACCGCUCAAUGCUAACAGAAUUAUAUAAUCAAGCAUGUACAUAUGUAAAGAGCAUUUAUAUUUUCUACUGAACUAUAUGUUGUGCCUCAAGCAUAUUACCAUCACAAUAUGCACAAAUAUGAAGGCCCAUCUUUUUUAAGGGCAAGUUUGGGCCUUUUAUAAAUGCAAGUUUAGCCAGUAAGAUGAAGUCUGCAUCCUCAAAAUAUAUGUAAUAACAUAAUUAAAAUUACCAAAAGAAACUUACUUGGUCUUGGAAAACACAAAGCUGAAAACCGCUCCUUGCACUUGGCCAUAAAGCUCCAGGCCGGGGCUUUAUUUCUUCCCACUACAAGUAAAAGAUAUUAAAUGAUAAAGAAACUAAUGUCAAACUAUCGGAUCACCUACUUCAGGACUGGUUGAAAGAUACCACACCUAUAAUAUAUGGCAAUAAGAAAAUCUGCAAUGUAUUUCUGUUCAUAUUUUAGUACUCACCUUAAAAUGGUCCAGAUCAAAGACAUGCAAAUCAUUGAAAUAUCUGCAAAUAACAAAGCAUAGUCCCACUUAAUUUGAAAUUCUACGAUCUUAAAAAUGUAGCUUCCUUGGACUAUCAUUGACCAAGAUACUGAUAGUCAAAGAAAUUGUCCAAAUAUUUCUAAACUCUAAGGCUCCGUUUGGAUCGGGAAUUAGUAGGAACUAGUUAUACCGGGGAUAGGUACAAGUAUGGGUUUUUGUAGGAACAAGGGUAUUUUUUUGGUUUGGAUGAAAUUGUGAGUAUAAGCUGGAACUAGAAAAAUUGUGUUUGGAUGGUUUUUGGGAAUAAGAGGAAUAGUUGGUAGUUAUAAAUAGAAAAUAAUAAUAUUAUCCCUAUAAUUGAAUUUUAAACUUAUAAUUUUAAAUUUAAAAUUUUAACUUUUUAAUUUUAAAAUUAGAUAUUAAAUUUUUAAAUUUUAAUAUUAAAAAUUUUAAUUUUAAAUUUCAGACCAAAUUUAAAUUUCAAAGUUAUAAAAUAACAAAUUUAAAAUUUAAAAACUAANCAAUGAAUACUCUUUCUGUAAAAGUGUGGUGUAUACUCCCCAGCAGUAUAGAAAUCCAUUUUAUAAAAACCAAAGAAAAACAUCUAAACAUUACAUCCCUCAAUACAAAGGAUAUAAGACAAGAAUGAAAUAUUUCUUACGGCGAUCAAAAGCCAAAAAGCCCUAUUUAAAUAAAGACAACCAUGUUAGAAAAUAUAAAUCCGACAGAACUUAUAAAAGCAAACUUCUUUGUUAUACAUGUAAUAGUCCAGGCCAUUUUGCAAAUGCAUGUCCAAGAAGACAAAACAUAAAGAACCGAAAUGCUUUACUUAUAGAAGAUACUGGCGAAACCUUGUUAGCAGUAGAUGAGUUUGUAUCAGACACUGAAACUAUUUACUCCAUAGAAAAUAAUAUAGUCUACGAAAAGGAAAGUGAAAGAGAAUCCUCCUCUGAUGAAGACAAUAAUAACUGCAAUACUUUCAUAACAAGUAUAACCGAAGGCAACAAACACCAAGAACCUACAUAUUUUUAUGAAUCUGUUAUGAUGUUUGAAAACCUAGAAGAAGACGAUCCAUCAGAAGAAAAUACAAAAUGGACUUCGUUCUACGACAAUACCACUGUUCUGUUUGAAGGAGUACAAACCUUAGAACAAGAACAAAACCCUAAUUGGGAAUUAGCCGCCCGAGACUACAAAAUCCAAUUAUUAAGACAAAGAGCACAAGAAAGAAUAGAUAAACGAAUAUGGAAAAUAGCUAUGGAAUUACAAGACCAGAGUGGAUCAAGAGUAAGAGAAAUAAUGGAAUAUGAACGCAAGCAAAGGUUAUUAGACACUAAGGACCAAAAUAAAAUUAUUCAAGAUAUUAGGAUUCUAUUCGAUGAUCUCUCAGAACAGGAAGAUAUUAUAAAAGACAUCAGACAUCUCUUUGAAAUAUCUCAAGUUUCAUUUUAUGACUCUACUAUUAAUUUUAUGACCCUUAUGAAUUUAGAUGAAGAAUGUAGCCAUGAUUGGCAAGAAAGACAAGGUUAUGACCAUAGACCUUGCACAUACUGCAAUUUCUUUCCAGAGAGAAAACUCCGAUGUAAAUGUCGUUUAUGUAAAAUUGAAGCAUUUUCAAUUUGUCUAGACAAGAAAUUUAACCGACAAUUUACACAUUCAGAACCUAAACGAACAUUUGAAAUUGAACAAUUAAACAUUCAUGAGAAACGUAUAAUAGCAUUAGAAGCUAGAGUCAGUCUUUUAGAAAAACAAGACAAUCCACGAAAAAAUAAAGAAAUCACAAACAAAGGAAAAGGAAUAGAAAUCCGUGAAAAUAUGACAGCACUAUCUGAAUAUUAUGAAGAAGAAAAUUUAAGAGUAUAUGAAGAUAGUUAUAUCUGUAAUGAAGGAUUAAAACUCAGAAGCCUAAUUGUUCCAUGCAAAAUACAAAUAGGAAAUAAAGACUUUGAAACAGAAGCAGUAAUCGACACUGGCUGUACGACAUGUCUAAUACAUACAGAUUUAGUCCCUCUAAACUAUAGAAAAACUGCAAAAGAACCUACAGAAGGAAUCCAAAUGGACGGUACUGCUCAUAAAUAUACACAGUAUGUCACAAAUGCAAAAAUUAGUUUCUUAGAUACAUGUAAUACAUUCAAUGAAACCUAUACCAUUCCCAAAGUCUGGUUACGAAAAAUGAAAAUAAAUGCAGACUUUGUAUUAGGCUUAAAUUUUAUGCUCCAUUUUUUAGGAGGAAUAAGUAUCAACAGAGAUUAUGUUAAAUUUUAUAAACAUGUCACCAUGACUCCAGUACAAAAGAAAGCAAAGAAACCUUUAAAGGAUAGAAUAGAUUGUUGUGACAAUUGCUCCAAGGAGAACCUUGUUGCCGAGACAAGAUAACAGACGAAACAGACUUAUUAGAAUUUGACACUUGGCAUGAUGAUUUUUCUUAUAAUCUAGAAAAAUUAUUAGAUAACGACUCAAAUUAUACGGAUUACGACUUUGUAAACUGGGAAAAAUCCCUCUUAAAUAUAGGUUUUAUUAGAAACCAGCAAGACAUAGAUGAAAUACUACAUAAACUCGAUAAAUUAGAAAUUAUGGGAGACAACCCAAUUAAAUAUUGGGAAAACGAUAAAAUAUAUUGUAAACUAGAUAUAAUUAAUCCAGAAUAUAUAGUUAGAACUGCAUCUAUAGACUUCACUAACGAAGAAAGAGAACAAUUUAAACUACACAUAAAUGAACUACUUAAAUUAGGUGUUAUCCGAAAAUCAAUAUCCAAACACAGAUCAACAGCCUUUAUAGUUAUGAAACAUUCUGAGAUAGUAAGAGGAAAAAGCAGAAUGGUAAUUAACUACAAAAGACUUAAUGACAAUACAAAAUUUGACGGAUACACUAUUCCAGACAAAUCUCAAUUAAUAAAUAGCAUACAAGAUAAAAAGGUUUUUAGUAAAUUUGACUGUAAAUCAGGUUUUUGGCAAGUAAAAAUGGAUAAAGAUAGUAUAGAAUGGACAGCAUUUACCUGCCCCGAAGGACAUUUUGAAUGGCUAGUUAUGCCUUUUGGCCUUAAAAAUGCACCUUCUAUUUUUCAAAGAAAAAUGGAUACAAUAUUUAAUGAACACAGAGAUUUUGUUUUAGUUUAUGUCGAUGACAUUUUAGUUUUCAGUAAAAACAUGCAAGAACAUUUAGGACACCUACAAAUAGUCUUUCAUGAAUUUAUUAAACAUGGAAUUAUUAUAAGUAAAAAUAAAGUCGAACUUUGUAAAAAAUACAUAAAUUUCUUGGGAGUAACUAUUGGUGAAGGAAAGAUAAAGUUACAGCCCCAUAUAGCCAAGAAAAUCCUAGAUAUGCCAGACAAACUUGAAACUCUUAAAGAAUUACAAUCCUUUUUAGGACUAGUAAAUUAUGCCAGAACAUUUAUCAAAGACCUAGGAAAAAUUGCAGGACCUUUAUAUGCUAAGACUGGAAAAUCAGGACAAAGACACUUUAAUACUGAAGACAUAAAAUUGGUUAAACAAAUAAAAGCCCUCGUAUCUGAAUUACCAGACCUAGAUCUUCCAUUAGAUUCUGAUUAUAUUAUUAUAGAAACAGACGGUUGUGAUUUAGGAUGGGGUGCAGUCUUAAAAGCAAGAUCUAAUAAAUAUAGUGACACAAAAGAAGAAAAACUAUGUGGAUACGCAAGCGGAAAAUAUAGAGAAAGAGGAAAAAUAAGCAGUAUAGACGCUGAAUUAUUAGCUGUAAUAUAUGCCCUAGAUGCUUUCAAGCUAAAUGUUAUAAAUAAACAUGAAAUAACAAUUAGAACAGACUGUGAAGCUAUUACUAAAUUCUCUCAUAAAAAUGACGAAAAAGCUAGUUCUAGACGCAGAUGGAUUAAUUUUCAAGACAGAAUAUCUAUAACCCAUAUUAAUUUUGAACAUAUUAGAGGGAAAGAUAAUUUUUUUCCUGACCAAUUAAGUAGAGGAUUUUUUGAGCAUACCACUUUUGAGAUUAACAUGGUGUAUGUUGAUAUUUCAGAUUCAGACAUUUCAGGCUCAGACACAGACAUGAAUCCAAAAGCUUCUAAAUCCCUCAUAAAACCACCACCUAUUAUAAGACAACCUCGGAUAGCCUAUGGCAAAGAAAAUCUCAUUUACUAUUCCCAAAUUAUUUUCCGUCCUCGAAACCCUACCAUAAUAUUACCAGACGAACAAAAAUGUUUGAUUGACAAUCUAUGGUUAUGUUACCAUAGGACAUCUACUCACCAAGACCAAGACAGAAAAUAUUUUGUUGCAUGCAUAAACUUCUUAAUAGAAUAUUUUCAGACAGACAAGCCUAAAGACUCUUUCCCUUACUAUGUGGUAUUUCAAGGUUUUAAAAUUGACAUUUUUGAUUCCUGGAUUGAUGUCAUCUCCCAAAUCAAAAAUUUUCCACAACCACUCUACAAAGGUUUUCAUUCUAUCUCCGAAGCCUUAGACACUGCUCGCACCCACUUUGGCCCAAACUUUUUUAUUUCUCCCAAUAUUCGCUCCUCUCCACAUAUCCAAGCCUCUACAUCCACCCACAAUCUUGAGAAAAAUAGUUUCUGUGAAAACUGCUCAACAAUGGCAACACAGCUUCAGAAGCUGAAUACCAUUUGCGAUGACUUAAGAACAAAGGAUCAGAAAAAUCUACAAAGAAUUGCAAUCCUUGAACAGCAGAUCAGAGACCUCAAGCAUCCUUCACAACAAGGUAUUGUAUCUCUAUCUCAAUCUUCCUCUUAUCCUCCUCCAAAGUAUCCUCCUAUAAUGACAAUAACACCAAGUUUGGUCUUUCCCCCAAUUACCAACAUAAAUGCUCCUUUUCAAAACCCACUAAUCCCAGUAGUCCAUCCAUCCACCUCAGUAAAACCGCUUCCACUAUCAUCAGCACCUUUUCCACCACAAAAAGCCUUCCACAAAAAACCUCCACAGCCAAUUGCUAAACCAUUUCCAAGAACUAAGCCCUCUUCAGAACCAUUACCACACCCUAGUAUAGGAAACACUGAAGAAAAACAAGAAGAUCCCAUGAUACUAGAAGCACCUUCUCCCAAAAUUGACAAUUUAGGGGAAAAUGCUUAGCCGCCUGGUUCUGAUAUUUUGUACAUAUUUGUAUAUAUUUCUUUCAGUUCUGCAUCUGUUUUUCAAUUGUGCCUUUUCAUGUAGUCCGCGUAUUCGGACACUGCUAAAAAAAAAAAAAAAAAGGAGAGAAAAAGGAAAUUUCCAGAGAAAAGUGAAAAUAUGAAAAGAAGAAGAAAGAAUCUGGAAAUGAAAAAACCAAAGAAAAAAUUGAAAAACAAGAAAAAAGAAGAAAAAAGAAAAAAUCAAGAAAAGAAAGAAAAAAUCAGAAAAAGAAAAAAGAAAAAAGAAAUGACCCGCUGUGAUCUUUUCACAGGCAAAAAUAAGGGUUUUAGUCUAGGACUUUAAUUUUCGGUUUUUAUUUUGUGUUUUUUCCUAAUCACCUUGUGAUCCAACUCCACCACCAAAAGUAAGGUUCCAAAGUCUGUUCCCAAACAGACACCACCUUCAGGAAACCCAACUUCCCAAUUUGUCAAGAGCAAUUUUCGGUCUCCUGCAAGCAAAUAGCGAAUCAACACGUGGCCUCCAUCAGGACAAAUAUUGAAGUGACACGUGGACAUCACUAGUGCACCAGGUCCACCGAAUUCCCAAAAAAUUCCGCCAAUGAUGACCAUCCAAAAACAUCUUCGCCCCAGGUGGUUUUUGAAAAAUGGUGGGCCCACGUCAUCAUGUCGCGUCAUCAUUCCUUCCAUUACCUCAACCUGCGUAGCCGCGGUUUUUUUGAAAACCAGGUGCCGCCGCAGUUUUCUCCUCCAAAACCACUCUUCCUUUUUCCUAUAAAAGGAAGCCUUCCUCCUCCUCUUGAAGGAUGGUGAGCAAGGAAGCAGAGCAAGAGAAAAUCCCACUUAGCCCCUGCCUUAUGUAAAAAUUGCGCUGAAGCUUAAAGGAAGAUCAUUUCGACGACAAGUGAAGAAUGAAGCUCUCAUCCUGUUAGAUUUAGCAUCUUAGCUCCACAAAUAAUCCCCUAAUGGCUUUUAUAUUUCUCCCCCUCUCCCCCUCUUGGUAUCAGAGCAUUUGGUAUAGACACUUGGUAUCAGCUCUGAUACCAAGAGGGGGAGAGGGGGCUAGCUUGUUUAGGCUUGGCUAGUUCCAAGUUUAGGGUUUAGGGUUUAGGGUUUAGGGUUUAGGUCCUUUAGGAGAAGGUUUAGAAGUAGUGUUAAACACAAACUACAAGUCUAUUGUGAUAAAAACCCUGUGAGAAAUAAAACCCUAGAAGGCUAGCUUGUUUAGGCUUGGCUAGUUCCAAGUUUAGGGUUUAGGGUUUAGGGUUUAGGAGAAGGUUUAGAAGUAGUGUUAAACACAAACUACAAGUCUAUUGUGAUAAAAACCCUGUGAGAAAUAAAACCCUAGAAUUUAUGGAGAAAACCCUAGUCUAUUUAUGAAAACCCUAAGGUAUUGAGGGAAAAACAAACCUUUGAAAGAAGCAAAAACCUAAAAAAGAGUUUUUCAAUAUUUUUGGGAUUUUUUGAGAAUUUUAGAAAAUGCGGAAAUAUUAGGGGUUGGGUCAGAUUAUGUAAUAUAUUAAGUUGUAGAAAAUUCCUAAGAGGAAAAGUGAGAGUAAGAAAAAGAAAGUUGAAAUUUUAACAAUUUUUUGGGUAUUUUUUGGGAAUUUUUCUGACGCUAAAAAUAUAUUAAUUAGUGUAGAGUACUAUGCACGAUUAGUGCGUACGUAUAUAGAAGUUACUAUGCAAAAAACACUAUGCGAGUUACUAUGCAAAUUAGUAAAGAAAGAUUUUUAUAGGAGAGACCGUAUGUCGGCUACUUUGAAGAAGGGUGGCAAAAUACAAGCAAGAUUUUUCUGGAUUUUUUAGUAUUUUUUCUGUCUGGAAAUGUUGCUGUCGAAAAUUAGCGAAGUUACUAUGCAUGAUAACUAUGCAUACAGUGGCUUCACGUGAAUGAGAUUUUUUUUUUUUUUUAUCAAAAACACUAUUCACGUAAGAAUUAUGGUUUUACUAUGCAAAUAGUGAAAGUAGAACAGAAAAAUGUGCAGAGGAGAAACUAUAUGUCGGCUACUCUGGACAAGGGUAGCAAAAGACUCGUGGGAAUAUUUUUGAUUUUUUAAGAUUUUUUAAGAAUUUUUUCGGUCUAAAAUUUAAGUGGCGUAAUUAGUGCUAAUUAUGAAAAGUGACAUGCACGUGGGGGGUUUUUUAUUUUUUAUUUUUUAUAUAUUUCUUUUUUUUUUUAUCUUUUUGAGUUUUAAAAACUUAAAUUGAAGUGUGUUUGUAGGCGGAAACGAUGUUGGUCGCUAUUAAAUACUAAUUUAAUUGGGAUGUGUAGGUGGAUGUUUAGAUGAAAUUGUUUGAUAGACAGUUCGCAGUAAAAAAGGAACGGAAAGAAAAAUAUAUAUGUCUUAAAGGAUAUUUUUUCUAGUAUGAAUAAAAAUAGGAUGAAGCGCAAAUUUAAAAUCGCCGUUGUGGAAGAUAAAAUUUUAAAAUCUUUUUUAAAGUAGGUCCCGUCUGGUACUCCCUUCUAGAAAUCAAGAUAAAAAUUUUCUCAGAUGUUUUUUUUAUAUUUCUAAAACUCUUUAUCUCAUUAAAUUUUCGAUGUUGCAAUUUUCCUAAUACUCGGACUUAUGAUGAAAUUUAAUUUUCUAAUGUGGAUAACACCACUUAAGACACAGUGUUGGUGCACAAGACCCUCUUGGCGUACAGUUUUCAGAGAACCUCGCUCUUACGCCGCAAAGCACUUCUGGCUAUCAAUGGCGAAAUUUACAGAGCAUUUUUUCUCUUAUCAAAUCUGCCAAGCAUAUAUGCUUUACACUUGCUUAAGCUGAAAUAAUUACUCAGAGAGAACCCAUAAAUUUUCAUUAAGAGUCCAAGGAAAGGGAAUCAUGGGGCAAAGAAAAUGCCAUGGAUAGAAGAGUUCGAGAAAUAUAAUAUUAAACAAGAGAUAAAACUUACAUCACAACGCUAGAAGGUUUCCCUUCCAGGACUUCCCGGGGGGAAAGAAGGACUUGUUUGUACAGACUCUUCACUCCAGAUUGCAGUUGUUGAAAAGAUAAAUUUUUACAGGAAGGACAGGAAAAUAAAAGCCAUUGNGGGAUAUCGCCCUUAUCCCCCCCUUUAUCCGAGCCAAACGGGGUGUAAAGAUCACCAGAAUGCACAUUCCAUUAGGUGAAAGACGUGUCAGUAACACAGGUACAGUAGAUGCAUGGAGAGGAACAAGAAAAAAAAAAAUGUAAAAAGCACACAUAGUGACUAAGAAGAGUGUCAUCUCAUAUCCAUAAUCCAGAAAAAGAAAGUGUGCUAUAACAUAAAAUUAAACAUGGAAACACAUUAAAACACUCCAUAUAAUUCGAUUGUGUUUCUUAUCUCGCAAGUUUUUGUACUAGCAAAAGUUAAAUCAAUUUAUCAAUUCAGGCCAGUUAAGCCGAUCUUACUUCCCUGAUUAUGAUAUACCGACUUAUGAAUGCAGCACGGAUUACAAAGUGAGGACUCCUGGCAUGAAAUGUAAAUCUAAAACUUACUCGAUACAUUGCACUGUUUCAAGUCAAAGGAUUAAAUCAGGACAUAUUAUCUCCUAAUAUUCCAUGAAAUACCAAAAACUGUGAAACAUGCUUGUGCCCUUUUUAUCAACUUGCAAUUAAAUUGGAUGAAACAACGAACAAGAAACAAUUAUAAGCUCAUAGAAAAAGGAGUGAAGGAAAUGGAAAUGAGACAAAGCAAGCAUAAGUUUUGAGUGGUAUCCAUUUAUUCAAGUGAAUUUUGAAGCAAGGAAAAAACGAGACAUGUUACUUCCGCAACGUAACGAUAUUUGAUUCAAUUAGUUGUGGCCUCCCUUUCAUGCCAGGUUGGGUUAGCCAUAUGAAUCAUCAAAAGAAACUGCAUGUGAUCAGUCAAAUGGAUCUUCUUUACUAUUGUCAUCUUGAGCUAUGCCCUCUCCCAAACAAAGUGGAAUUAUAUCUUGCCUAACUUCCAGUCAUGUCAUUUGUACCCCCGUCUACCUCUUCUCACAUCAUACGCUUGGCUUGCCUUCCUCAUAUAGACUUGGGGACUUUAAUCACCACAUCAUAUAUGGGUAUUAUCUUUGAAAAACCUCCAUCGGAAGUCACUCCUACCUCACAGUGAGCAUCUUCAUUCCUAAUUCUACCAUACCAUACAUACUUACCAAAUAAAACAUUCUCAUCUCAACUACAAUUGCUCUGUGUGCACGUUGUUUGUUAAUGACUACUGCAUAGAGCAAAGUGGGCUUAUAGAUCGUUAAGGUGAAACAUUCUAUUUGCAUAAAGCAAAGUGGGCAUAUAGACAAUGUAUAAAACUUGACCUGAAAGUUCCCAAGGUAUCUAACUAUCACAAAGGGCACACACGGGAUCCCACAUUUAUUUGAUGUCUUACAUACUUCUCGAUAAUCCCAUCAUUUUAAAUAACUAAAUAGAUAAAUAGAAAUGCUCGCUGCCUAUUUUUGGCCAUAUAUUGGCAAUACUUCUUUGAUUAACCUUUAACCUUUCUAACCUUCACCCUUUCUCCUGAUUCUAGUAAACAAAAUGCACCAGUUACUCAAAAUGCUCCACUUAUUUGGUCUAUACUCCAGGAGUCCUACUUAUUUUCAAGUUUAAACUCACAUAACUACCAAAGUGAACAGAAAGAAACACAUGCCAAUAAGUUAGCCACAAAAUGGUUAAAUCCACAUAGAGAUUAUCUACAACAAUGCAAGCUUGAUAUCUCUGGAACUCCAUCACGUCAAAUGGCAAAUUUCAAACCUAAACAAAACUAUGCCUAAAUUAUUAUCUGGCUUAGAUUGAAUAAAAACUUGGACCAAGUUAAGCACAACAUAGUGAUAUUCUAGCUGGUUAUCUACAACAAUGUGAGCUUGCUAUCUCCGUACGUUUCUUAAUUAACAAAGGCUAAAAGAGAGUAUGCCAAUAUGAUCAACGUUAGAAGACAAAAGAACUAAAAUUGUAACACAAUGAAUGAGGUGUAAUUAAUUAAAAAUGAAAUCCAAAUGAAUGUAGGAUUUCAUAAAAGCACAUGCAAUUAAAUGAUUUGUUCAUUUGAUGGGCUACACUAUUCCUAGCACAUGUGGAAAGGAAUAAGAAUAACACAAAUAAUGAAAGAAUAGUAGAUGAUGUCACCAAAAUCUGUGAGGAAAUGACUAUCAAUCUGGUAGUCUCACACGCUGCCAUACUACUGCAGUUUUAACAAAUAGAAUCAAUACUAAACAGAAGCAUGAUUUUAAUUCACAUGUUCAAGACUCACAGGCUUUUAUCUGGAAGGAAUUUGAUUCUAAUGAUUAAUUGAAAGAACAUGAUAAAUGAAUCAGCUCAUAAGUAAAGUUCCCUUGACUGUCUUUAAGCAAAGUUUCUUGAGACAUUCCUGGUUCAGGCUUAGAACAUUUUAAGGACCUGGAACAAACAUACAGUAACCUAUUCCCAAAAAAUUGUGAAUGCAAAAGUGCAAGAUAGAUUCAGUGUGUCAUGCAGGCAUAUUCAGCAAAUGAAGUUGAACUCAAGAGCAAUCUACAUAAAAAGCAUUUUCUUCUUGAUCUAGAAAAUUUUAACUCUAACAGUGAGCCCCCAGUAGCUAAGAGUACCAAUUGCUAAGAUAACAAGCCCAUUAUGUUUGUAUAAUAUUAUGUAAUUACAAUGUUCUGAUCAAAUGAUCUACAUGUGCAAGCUGACCUGCCAACACAAGAGUAUGAAGUACCAACAGCUUUAAAUCUAGUGACUUCAAAUUAUAAUAAAUAAAGUUAUAAAUUAAUAUCUUCAAAAGUUACAUAAGUAGAACAAAUUACCAACCUGACUUCUCUAAGAGUGUCAUAGAAGCCGCCAAAAACUAUAAUUUUGUGCUUGUACAGUACCUGAUAACAGGCAAAAAAAAAAAAGAGAGAGAGUGAGAAUAACUACUAUGCAUUAUCCUAGCAAGGAUUUUAAGUGUCAUGGCACAGGGUCAAACUGAGAACUUGUCAGCCCAGCCCGGCCCGCGCCGUGCCAUGCCGAGCCGAUGUGUGGUGAUCAUAAAAAUACCUAUGUGCCGACACACUACGACAUAAAAUAUAUUUCUUUGGCACCGAUAUAUUCUAAUUGCUUAUUAUAUUUCUUUACCAAAUCUUCUGCACUUUAUUGAUAACUACCUAAUAAUUUCAAAGAAAAAAGGAUGUUGAGCCAUGCCACUGGCACAGGGGUCGUAUCGUGCCGAUAUCUUGUCGGCACAAUACAACACUAUGGGCCGAUACAAACUUUGCUAAUAAGUAUAGCAAGUGAAGUAUUCACUAUGCCAUGUAGAAGUACCAUAGUAAGGUAGAACUAGCUACACAUGACUGGGAAGCUAUGCAUGCAUAUAUGCGCAAAAAUGGUCAAAAUUUUUGCUGGAAUAGUAAUACGUUCCCAAACGAGUCAGAAAAUAAAUAUACAGUAGUUACCUUGAUCAUGGUAAAAAACUUAUAAUGGCUUGUUUUGCGAUUUCUUUGGUUUUUCUCCUAUAAUUUCUUCUUAUUUUAACAUUUUUUUAGGGGGGGAACACCUUAGAGCUUUAGGCCGACCUUUCCCAUGUUGAAGUUCUUUAAGAUUGUCUUCUAGCCAAACUUUUACCAUUUUGGAUUUUGAUUGAGGUGAUGACUCAAAUGCCUCCAAGUUUCCUACAAUUAAAAUGAUCUAUCAUUGUCAAUUAACUUGACACAUUUCUUUCAUUUGACAUAAUGCACAUGAGAAUAUUGUAGUUUAUUAUGUUGUGAAUUGUGAUCAUGCUCCUAUAAUUGCAUACUAUCGUGGUUAAUUAACUUGGAACAUUACUUUCCUUUCCUAUAUCGCACAAGAGAACAUUGUGGCUGAUUAUGUCGUCAAUUGUGAUCGUGCUUGCAUAGAGUGCACAAUCAAAACUGAUAUGUUUAGUUGUAGUUAUAAACACUAAUAAUUGGACAUAACAGAUAGCAAUCAUGUUGAUUAAUAUAUAUUUAGUUUUCUUGGCUUCACUUAGUCUAGACUUAAAGGUACCUCCAUUUAUAGGACCUAUUGAGCCAUAAUCUGACAUAGAUUACUUAUCCCGCACUUGACCUCCAUAGGUAGUUAACUAUGUGUAUUUAUUAUUGACCGAGUAUUAUCCUUUGACUGGAUACCUGGCGAUUUUUUUUUCUUUUAAUUUUUUUGUGUUACUCUUGGACAUCAUGAGGAUGAUGUACAUCAAAUGGCAUUCCUAGUUUGCUAUUACUCACUCCGGUAUAAUUACGAAAUUAUCUCAACAAUAUGAUAUGAAAAAGCCUAUUGUGAUACAGUUAUGCAGUAUGGCUUUUGUAAUAUAGUUACUAGAUGAGAAGUCAUGUUAUGGUAGUAUGAUCCCAGACUAGGGGUUCCAAAGAAACUAAGGCGCUCAAACUCAAGCAGUUUUAGUAAUAUUGAAAGAACACCUCUUUUAAAGAGCCAUUCCCUUUAUUGCGAUGGCGGAGAUUCAAGGAUUCUCGCAUACCCCAAACUGAAAACUGGUCCAGAAUUAUUGUAAGAACUCGUCAUUUAAAGGGCGCAGUUUCCCUGCAUCGCAUUAGCUGGGUUUUGAGGAUGGUGGGUCUAUCUCAGACUAAAAAUAUUUGUUUGCACUGAAAUGGGAGAUGUCUAUUGAAAGUUCGAGAAAGUUGCCAGCACACACGUUCGAUGCAAUGCGAGCUCAAGAUCUCUAAUCUUGCACUCACAACAGCACGGAGAUCGGCCUUUUGACUUCGAACUCCCGCUCACACCUUUGUGCUUCCAAACAGUUGCUAAUGUAAGAACACCUCUUUCCACGGGCAGCUCCCCUGUUGCAGUUGCUAGCUGAGAAGGACCAUGGAAGUACUCUUGUACAGCACUACUUCUGGCAUUCUAUUGCUAUCAUUCCACAAUAGAUAUGUGAUAUUGCAAGAGUUAUGGUCUAUGGCAGCUUGUGGUACUCUAUGAUGGCCAUGUUUUCUGUCAUGGUAGGCAAUUUGAGACGACUUUGGGAUUCUAAUAUGGUGUCAAUAUUCUUUUACAAUUGGGAUUAUGAUGCAGUCAUUCCUGUUUUACUGCUACCAUUCAUCUUAGGCCAUGGACUGAUCCUGCAUAUUGUUCGGAUAGUUAUAAAUAUUACAUUAUACAAUUGUUUACAUAGUUAUAAAUUAAUUAAUUAUCCAACUCUUUGGGAUAAUACUCCUAAUCAGCUGAGCAUUUGCACGUAGGCACUUCUGACGUAAGCAAAGACCUCUAUCCUUGCUCAACAGUAUAAGCGUGGGCAUGUUUGUUUCCACGGAAGUCCAGCAUGAAGUCGCCACUUCGUGGAGCUCGAGAUAGCCGGCGUUUGGACGACGCUACAAUCUUGGAAGUUGGUGGGGCCCACACGGCCCGCACACGUGAGAUAGUCUCACGCCAUCACGUGGUCAUGAGUUCGCAUACAGCGCGAUCUUGCAACUUCGCGAUCAUCAGGCACAAAGUUGAGUUUGCCGUACAGACGGAAGUCGCCGUCUUACAUGGAGUUGAGCUCGUGUUAACAAACACGCCCUUGCUGUGGAACCUUCUGCAUAGCCCUGUAGUGACGGAGCCUGAGCCCGAGAGUUACAACACGAGCAACAUGUGGCACUUUUAUUAUAGUUUAGUCAUAGACAAUAUAUAGGUUAGGGUGCAUGUUAUAUUUGUAUCAUUUAUCCAUAGCGCGUAUCUUUUCAUAAUUUAGUUUUUAAUCUAUACUUGUAAGACCUGUCAGUUUUACUUUUUAGAUAUUUGUUCUUCUCUUUGAAUUAAUUGCUGUUGAGCUGAUGCAUUCGGUGAAGUCUUGCACAGUCAUACGGCUGAGCCCAAAGAAAGGACUAUUCUACGAUUAAGUGGCGGCCUGGUUACAGCAUAGGAGGUAUAGGGGCAUGAAAACUUCCAUGGUAAGUCUCUAGCACAAAGCCACAUCGGCAGUUUGAAAUUGUUUCAACAAUCUUAACAAACUAGAUCAUAAUUUAUCUACUAGUCCAGAUUUCCAACAAAAGAAAUCACAAAGAAUGUAAGUUUACCAAACAAGACUAAUUUAUCAAUAUAUUUGUCUAGAGAACCAAGGAUGCACAUAAUAGCACCAAAUAAAUCACGACAUGUAGACAAUGAAAGGAAAAAAGAUACCAUCCUAUGUCCCGAACGAGCACUCGGAUAUCCUUUUAUUUGUAAUUGUUCCCAUUGAUUUGUUUUUAGAUCCAACAUCCAAAAAUCCUGCAAAACAGAAUUUUCUCAGAAAGAGAGGUAUGAAGUCAAAAAUAACUAACAGCUCUAAAAGAAUGGCGUCCAUCAAAAAGUACUGUGCUACAAAAAAGUGAGAGAGAAUUUCUUUGCGAGGCUAGAUGGGAACAUGGCUUUUCUAAUCGCCAACUUUGAAAUCAUUAAGCUAGUGCAGCCAUAAAAAUAAACCAGGUGAUAUAAUUUUCUAUACUAUACCUGGUAAAACAAACAAUUUAACGAAAAAGCCAAAAUGAAGCAAGAAUUAAUGAAUAGAGCUAUUAAGCUUAUUUAAUCCUUUGUUUGCAUGCAGAUACUUUCCAUGAAAACUCGUUAGCUAUAUGAGAGAGCUGUCACAAAUGGGUGAACAACAUAUGUAGCUGAACAUUGACAAGCUCACAAGCAUGAGACAAUCCUCUUCGUAGUUGCAAUUGGAGAGAUUGGGCAAUAUAUGGAGAACAUUUAGAAAAUCAACUUCAUUGAUUCAUAGAAAUAAAAUAAAAUAAAAGUUUCUCAAAACUUCUGUCAUAAUGUUAGAUCAUGCAAAUAAGAAUAUUCAACAGUGAGCUACUGUUUAAAUUGACUCAAGAAAAUACUGCAUGAAAGAAAAACAUUAAGAAAAAUCAAAGACUAAAUAAACUGUUAAUGGCGGAUAGAAGCAUAAUAAAAUGUGCUCUAUCUUAAGCCCCUGCCCUGGUCAUUUAGAUCAAACUAGAAGUUUCAAUUAGAUACCGGCAUUCUACGGGAUCUAAAAAUUGCCAUAACAUUUUUUGCAGCUCCUGUUACAGACCCGCAACUGUAAAUAGUCCAGAAAAAGAGUUGGAAGCCAGCCUGCUUUUGAAGCCAUGAAAACUAGUUUGAUGAUCGACAGCUAACAAUUUUUGGGGAAAAUCAAGCAGCCUUCUCCUAGACAUCCUCUUUAACUCAUAGGUCUAUUCCUUAUACAAGAUUCCCCCUUCUACUACAAUCCAUAUGAAUUUGGCCAUUUCAUGAAUUGUAUAUAUGAGAGCUAACCACAUGAAUGAGUUAAGCGCAAAGAAGAGUGUACGUAGGAUCAGAAGAGGAUCAGGGCCUGAACUGUGUUUAGAUUACUCAUUAAUUAUGAGGUGAACAAAUUAGUUUGAGCAAAAAUGACUUGAUUGAUGAGAUUUAAUGUGAUAUAUGCUACAAUAACUAUCUAAGAUCUUCCCUUGGCCCUUUACUAUAAGGAAAGCUAUCUCCAAGUCUUAUCCAUGUAGAUGAGCUUUGAAUAGCAGUUCUAUAUGCAGCAUAAUAAUUGUCAAUCAUUUAAAGUUGUUGAUGAUGUUAUCUUGAUGUGAGACAUGAAGAAGAGUAAAUACAGUACAAUAAGAAGAGUGGAGAUAAGAAUUAUAUAUCAAAGAUCUUGGGGGCAAGACAAGCAAUGACUGAAACAUAGAGGCAGAGAAUUAGAAGAAAGAACGAAAGCUCAGCAAACGUUUAUGGCGAAAAGAUACCUCAGAUAAGGGCUCUGGCAUCUUACGACAAUAUCAAGGCUAACAAGGAUAAGACUCAAUAAUGAAGUGCGAUGUUGCAAGCGUCUAGCGUAAUAGAUGGAUAGCUCCAAAGUUUAUAUGUUUAGAGAAUGCCAUUGCAUUCUACCAUGCUUUAUUGUACUAAAUAAAUAUUGGGACGUUAAGAAACAAACCCAAAAUAUCAAGCAUAAUUAUAACAAAUGAAAGUGUUCAGCAGAGUUUGCAAAAAUACAAGAAAAUAUUGGAUGCGAAAUAAAGAUAACCAACCUAAAGCACGAGCAGCCUCAAGCCCUCAACUUAAGAAGAAAAUGAGGAAAGACUAAUAGGUAUGGUCCGCACAUAUAAAUGUAGAGAUGCAUACGCACCAAUCCAAAAGAGUUAGGCUAUCCAAAUAGAAGAUUUAAAAAAAAAAAUACAGAGGAAGGUUGAAAAUAAUAUAAUUAAUAUGAUUAGAGGACUAGAACAAGGCCAAUUAGCAACUACAAAUUAUAAGUAGAUAUAGCUUAAAAAAGGAUUGAUUGAUAAUAGAGGUCAAAUAUAAUAAUAAAAACUAAAUUUCUUUUGUCAAUUCAUAUAUCCAAACCCAUUCUGUAUGAAGUUAAAGAGAGCAGUUAAAGUAAAGUUGAUUUGAGAAAGAACCAAGUCCAAAGUUUAAUCUAAGAUACAAGCUUAUAAAUAAUUGUUAAUUCAUAAUCAAAUUACAUUGCCAUAAUGCCAUAUCAUUCAAGCUUAUCAAAAAAAUUUCUUCAUAAUCAAAUUACAUUGCAACAAUGCCAUAUCAUUCCACAUCAAUCAAAAAGAAACAUGCAUAACUGUGUGUAAGAAAAGGGUAAACAGACGAAGAGUGGAAAAGGAGAACCAUAUUCCCGUUAUUACCCUAUAGUGGUGGAAACGUUCCUGAUUGGGGGAAGUGAAUUCGCCGCCUGAAGCAUAAUAUGAAUCUCCCUCAUUAGCUGGUAAAUGUAGUUAUAGAGGAUACAAAUAGGCUUGGAUGAAGUUGAUUACCAAAGAUGUAUACAUGGUUUUUCCAAGCAACUGCUUGGUGAGCACUACGAGGAGGCGGACUAUUCGGACUUGAUAUUAAGUUCCAUUCUUUUUUCUCUACAUCAUAGCGAUAAAGAUCACCAUAAACACAAGUCUGCAGAAACAAAUUACUUAAACUAUCAUUCGAUCUUGAAUUCAGACUUAAGGGUUAAAGGUACCAGAAAAUACCAAAUACAGAAUGGAGCUGAGCCACUAUAAUCAAAUAAAUGCAAUUACAUUAGAAUGAAAAAAAACAAAAUACAGGGUUUCCACAGAGUCAAAACGGACCAUAUGUAUUCUGACAAUUUUCUUUCUGAAGAUGAUAAUUAAUGCAAUCAUAAACGAAAUGAACGCUAUCUGUCAUCUCGAUGUGACAGAAAGUUUGUAAACUAUUCUAUGCUAAAAUGCAAAUAAUCCUACCAGACAACAAGGCAGUAAUAGUCCUCACCUUUUUGCCAUUAUAAAACUCUCCACCAUACAAAAUCAAUUCUGUAUCUUUCAAAGGAUUAAUCGUCAGCUGCAAUAACGGAUAAGAUAUUAUUAGAUCAACUCCAAGGAACACGGAAAUCACAGUAUAACAGAAGUAGGAAGACAUUUUGCCAUGAAAUUCUCAAUCAAACCAAAUCGAACUCUCUGCAAAUAACGCUGCUAAUCGAACUUAAUAAGCGAUUAAUCAAUCCCAUAUCUGGCGAGCAAACAUAGAAUUGGCAAAACAUGCUAACUUUAUUACCUGGAUGUAGCUAUUAAAAUCAUCCGACCAGUGAAAAUUUAUAGUAUUCACCUCAACAACUUGACUCAAAGAUGUCAUUGUGAUCAUCCGACAAGCCCACUAUUAGUAAUUUCAUAAUUUGUUGUGCCAAAUUAUUGAAGCAAAAUGCUUUAACCCAUUUACUUGUAAAGUUCUAUGCACCAUACUAGAGUCACAAGUUGUUACUAUCCAAUACGAGAGUACUGGAGCGUCACAAUAACAAAAAAGGAAGAAUCCUUUUCACAUAAACUUGAUUUCGCUGGGAAUCACCACACUUAUAAAAAGGGAAAGACAAGUUUAGGCUUCAUUUGGUACUAUUAUGCUUUUUUAAAAAAUAGAAAUUUCAUGUGAAAAAAAAAAGAAACAAAGCAAGCAGUGCAUUGCAAGCCAAACAACUACAUCUCAUUACACAGAACUUGUAGUACAAUAUCAAAGAAGGCCUUAGGGCUUGUUUCGAUGCAUAUCUUGAUCAGCAUAUCUCCUUGAUUUACUCAACAAAUUUAUAUAUAUUAUUCGGUAGAUGAGAAGUGUGACAUGUGUCUAAAAUGGAGUGAAAAUCGAACUCCUAGCUUCCAAUCACCUAAGAAAAGCUUAAGUUACUAUUAGAUAUUUAAACCACUGACCGAGCAGUUGGAUCGCGGCGACGGAGCGGGCACGUUCUCCUCGACGUGAACCUCCUUCUUCUUCGCCUCCUCCUUCUGAAUGCUUUUCUGCAAUCAAGUUUUAAGUGAUUGAAACAAAUUCUUAGGGUUUGGAAAAAGAAUCGGGUUUAGGGUUUUAGAGAGGUUGGGUGGGGUGGGCGGGAGAGAGAGUACGAGGAUGGCGUCGAUGUCGUCCUCCUCGGAGACUUUCUUGCUGUCCCUGCGGGCGCGCUUCUCCUCCGCCUUCGCCGUCUUCCUCUCCGUCUUCUCCUUCCCCCUCCCGGGCUUCUUCGCCUUCUUCCCCAUCGCCUCCUAUUCCGUGGCCUCCCCUUUUCCCUGCCGCCGGCUUCCAAUCGCUCGCUCGACCAAAGAUGGCUUUCUCUUUCUGUAAAGAACUGACAACUCUAAUUAUUCGGUUUUAAAAAUCAAAAUUUUUAUUUCUUAUGAAUGUUGUGUAUCUGUAAAUGCACAAAGAAUAUUCUGUAUGAAUCUAUUCAAAUUAUUAUAUUUAAUUUAGUUUGAAAAUAAUUUGGUUAGUAAUAGAGUAUUAGCGAAUAGUAAUGACAAAAAAAUAUAUAUCUAAAAUAUUACUAGAAAGGGAAAGAUAUUUUGGUAAAUAUGGAUUAUUCUACAAUUUAUAAAAAAUUUUAAAAUUAUCUCUCUCCUCUCCAGAUAGACGUAUGUCACGCGCACAAGCCUAUUAAACAAGUAAAAUUUUCUCCACCGCCAAGAAGCGUACACAAAAUUUAUAUAUUGCAUUUUAUAUAGAAAUAAUAUAUUUAUACUCUAUACCUACUUACCAAGAACUAGGCUAAUAUAUACUAUUAAUAGCACCAAAGUCAUUGGUGCUACCAAGUUUUUGGCUAUUGGAUUAAGAGAUAUGCGGUUAGGAUGAUGUGGGCCCCCUAAGGUUGAGUGGGUGGUUGGUUGAAUAGCAUGAUCUAACGGAUGAAAAUGAUCAAAAUGGUAGAUCUAACGGUGGAAAACUUGGUAGCACCAAGUGCUUCGUGCUAUUAAUAGCAUAGUAGCCGGACUCCUAUACCUAUACAUUUCUAUCUAUUAACAAUUAACAUUAACAAUAUAUGAUUUCUCAAUAAUUUUGCUGAUGUGGCACAACCACAUUGCUUUAGAAGUUUUUUUUUUUUUUUCCUUACUUAGGGAGGCUCUCCUAUCCUCUCUCUCUCUCUCUCGAAUAUUCUUCCAAGUCCUCUUGUUUUCCCUCCCCUCUCUCUCAAGCCUUAACUUCCACCCCUUCACCUUCCCCUACUAACUUCUCUCUCUCGAAUCUUCUUCCAUAUCCCCGUCUUCCCCCUUCUAGCCUUAACUUCCACCCCUCCACCUUCCCUUUACAGCAAAGAUAUAUAUUGCACAACUCAUUACUUUAUUAGGUUAGAGCAUAUUCACAUAACCAGCCGUUAGCAACUUGCUAAUAAAAUAUUUUUAAAGAGUUAAUGCAAGAACCACAAUUUUCAAUGAAAAACAAUGAAGGACAAAAAGAACUAUAGGAGAGGAAAAUUUGUUACACAAAAAUUGGACCUCUUUGUUCCCUCGUUUAAGGCAUCCUCUACCGACAGCAACAAUUUCGUGAGAUACAACAGCGCUUUCAACCUAGCCUCUUCCCGGCAAUUCCAUAUCCUAGCCAAUACUUCUCAUUCUCCGGAGCUAUUAGAUAAGGAGGGAGCACCUCUUUCGCAUUAUAUUACAAAUUUAAAUAUAAAUAUUAUACAUCUUCCAUAUAUAUAAUAUAAAACUAACAAUAAAAAAAAUUAUAUAAAAAAGGAAAAAAAAAAAAUACUGAUUUAGAGAAAAAAGAAUAAACAUCAUCAAAUUUCCCAAUUAACCAUUAAAAAAAAUUUGGUAAAGAAGAAAUAUGGUACCUAGCUUGUGCGGCCAUUGAAAUUAAUUAAUUAAGAAAAAUAUCCUGAAUUGAUGGAAUUGGUGAAGGUGGAGAGGUGCGUGGCGAAUUUUAUAUACAAAAUAAAUUAUUUUAACAUAUUCUCGAUCUCACCCCUUAUAAAAGAUUUAUAAUGUUAAAUUAAAGACUAUUCAUGAAACGGAUAAAAAUAAAUCAAUCUAAUGACUUGACUUAUCAUUUCAAUUUUCAUUACAAUCUAAGAUGUAGAGCAUCAAAAGGCAUUGAUUUUUUUUCCAUUUGCAAAUAUAGUUUAUAUGGAAAGUUUUUUUAAUUUUCUUCAACAGGACAAACCCCUCCCUUCAAACUUAACUUUGAAGUCCUAACAUUGACUAACACAUGUCGAAGAGAAAUAGAACUUGGCAGAGGUCCUUAUGAUAAAAACUGUGCAAUGCUAUCUGAUUUUUUUCAACCAAAGUAAAACAGAAACAUACAAAAAAAAAAUAUAACAUAAUUUCCAAUGAAGAAAUUUUAGGGGCAUGGACAUGAGUCGUGCUACCCAUACACCCCAUAUUGAGUUGUAGAUCCUACAACUCUUUGAUCCAACGGGUAAUAUAAACUUGGUUUUUUUAAAAAAAAAAAACAGUGUUAACCUCACUCCCACAUUUUAGCCCCUCACCUUUUCCCUCUUUUUCCCUAAUUUUUGGCCCCAGCGAGCUAAAGAGAGAGAGAGGCGAGCGCGCCAGCGACUGAGAGAGAGAGGCGAGCGAGCGAGCCAGCGACCUAAAGAGAGAGAGGCGAGCGAGCGAGCGACCGAGAGAGAGAGGAGAGCUCGAGCGGGAGCUGGAGCAGGGCGCGAGAGAGAGCGAUGGCAGGGCGCGAGAGGGAGCGAGAGGAGUUGUGCUGUGCUAGAAACAGGGAGAAUGAGAGGAAGAGAAAGAAGCGCGAAGGCGGAUUCUGCGAUCAAAUUGGACGCGGCAAGUACGGAGGCGACAAUCGAGGAUGNAACAAAAGCUACUUAAAAUCGAACAAGAUUUACAUAACAGUCUUCAGAGGUUAGCAGAAAUUAAACAAAUUUCUCUUGGAUGACUAAUCCCGAGCACCUUGAAGCUGAAAUUUUACAUAAGACUUUAUCAAAAGUACAAAACUAUAGUCCAGACAAAACCUCUAUAGGCUUUUCAUCUCAUCUCCCACAAGCCAUAUCUGAACAAGUUAUAAUCAAACAAAACAACUCUAUUAUCCAACUAUUAUUAGGAUUACACAGUAGAAUACAUACAUUAGAACAUUUGGUAAUGCAACAAAGACAAGCUGAAAGCAUUACUCCUACCAUAGACACAACUCCUAUCAUACAGGAAGUAACAAAACACUUUUCUGCACUCCAAUUUCAAGAACACUCAAAAGGUACUCUUCCAAAGAAAAUUGUCCAACCAUGGACCUUCCACAGACAAAUUCCACGCCUUUUAACUCCACCAGAACUUAGAUCUCCUAACACUCCUGGUACAUCUAAAAAUCAGACUCCCAGUUCUACUACUAAUAAAACCCUUUGACUUUGAAUUUUUCAGAAGUACAAGGUCUUACAAAAAUGUGUCUCCAGACUCAUGAAGACGAACUUCUAGAAUUCACUAAUCCAGACUUUUACAAUACCAUAACCGCUCAAGAUGAAGUAGACAUAUGGUUCAUAGAAGAAGACACAUUGGAAACAGAAGACAUGGACGAAAGAGACAUGACCCAUUACCAGACACAACGAAUGUUUUUUAUUUUAGACACUAUCCCAGAGGAAAAUGAAGAUUUUGAAAUAUCUGAAUUCAGUCAAAUCCUCUGUGAAUUAUGCUUUCAAGACAAUAUCCUUAUAGACAUUUGGAGACUAUUUGAAGAACCUUUAGAUAAUAUUAUAUCUGAUAUCUGAAGAUUAUUCAUUUAAAAGAAUCUUCUCUAGACAUAAUAAUAUUAACAUAAUGUAUAUUGGUCCAGACAUUUCAGGUUCAAAGACAUGGAUCCACAUUAUUGCCCAUUUUGCACUGACGUUUUCCUUAAACCAUCUGAAGAAACUCUUGAUGAUAUAAUCCAAGACAUACACAGGUUAUUUGAAGACCCAUUUGCUGUUAUGCCCUUUCACAUUAUCCUUUCUAGCUUUAAGCAUUUAGGUGAAGAAAAAGCCUUAGCAGCAGCAUGCAAAGAAUACAACAGACAGACUCUUUAUAAAAGGCUAGAAAACUCACAACAAAAACAAUUAUGGUUAGAUAGGAUCCAAGACAAAUUUGAUUUACAACUUUGGUUUUCUGGCAUUUGUCACCUCCCUGAACAUGAUUGGGAAAAUUAUUACCAGCAAUACUUUCGAGACGAGCUAAACUUUCAAUAUUAUGAUUUACAAGAUCAAAAUAGUAUUAUUAGAGACAUUAGAGUACUAUUUGGCUAUCCACUUGAAGGAAUAACAGAAAAUGAUGACUGGGAAGAUAUUUGCCAGCAAUAUAUUUUGGACAAACUCAACCUCCAAGAUUAUAGUUUAGAUUAUCAAUAUAAACUUACUAGAAUCUUAUGUCACCACCUAUGUUACAACCUGAUGCCUUUUUUCCCUUUUAUUAUAAAUCCAAAUUGGAACUCUUAACUUAUAAAAAAAAAAAAAUAAAUAAAUAAAUAAAUAAAUAAAUAAAUAAGUUUCCUUACUAUGUAGUAUUUCAAGGUUUUAAAAUUGGCAUUUUUCCCAACCACUCUACAAAGGUUUUCAUUCUAUCUCCGAAGCCUUAGACACUGCUCGCACCCACUUUGGCCCAAACUUUUUUAUUUCUCCCAAUAUUCGCUCCUCUCCACAUAUCCAAGCCUCUACAUCCACCCACAAUCUUGAGAAAAAUAGUUUCUGUGAAAACUGCUCAACAAUGGCAACACAGCUUCAGAAGCUGAAUACCAUUUGCGAUGACUUAAGAACAAAGGAUCAGAAAAAUCUACAAAGAAUUGCAAUCCUUGAACAGCAGAUCAGAGACCUCAAGCAUCCUUCACAACAAGGUAUUGUAUCUCUAUCUCAAUCUUCCUCUUAUCCUCCUCCAAAGUAUCCUCCUAUAAUGACAAUAACACCAAGUUUGGUCUUUCCCCCAAUUACCAACAUAAAUGCUCCUUUUCAAAACCCACUAAUCCCAGUAGUCCAUCCAUCCACCUCAGUAAAACCGCUUCCACUAUCAUCAGCACCUUUUCCACCACAAAAAGCCUUCCACAAAAAACCUCCACAGCCAAUUGCUAAACCAUUUCCAAGAACUAAGCCCUCUUCAGAACCAUUACCACACCCUAGUAUAGGAAACACUGAAGAAAAACAAGAAGAUCCCAUGAUACUAGAAGCACCUUCUCCCAAAAUUGACAAUUUAGGGGAAAAUGCUUAGCCGCCUGGUUCUGAUAUUUUGUACAUAUUUGUAUAUAUUUCUUUCAGUUCUGCAUCUGUUUUUCAAUUGUGCCUUUUCAUGUAGUCCGCGUAUUCGGACACUGCUAAAAAAAAAAAANNNNNNNNNNNNNNNNNNNNNNNNNNNNNNNNNNNNNNNNNNNNNNNNNNNNNNNNNNNNNNNNNNNNNNNNNNNNNNNNNNNNNNNNNNNNNNNNNNNNNNNNNNNNNNNNNNNNNNNNNNNNNNNNNNNNNNNNNNNNNNNNNNNNNNNNNNNNNNNNNNNNNNNNNNNNNNNNNNNNNNNNNNNNNNNNNNAACUGCAUUCUGGCGUGAAGAGUCUGUACAAACAAGUCCUUUCUUUCCCCCCGGGAAGUCCCGGAAGGGAAACCUUCUAGCGUUGUGAUGUAAGUUUUAUCUCUUGUUUAAUAUUAUAUUUCUCGAACUCUUCUAUCCAUGGCAUUUUCUUUGCCCCAUGAUUCCCUUUCCUUGGACUCUUAAUGAAAAUUUAUGGGUUCUCUCUGGGUAAUUAUUUCAGCUUAAGCAAGUGUAAAGCAUAUAUGCUUGGCAGAUUUGAUAAGAGAAAAAAUGCUCUGUAAAUUUCGCCAUUGAUAGCCAGAGGUGCUUUGCGGCGUAAGAGCGAGGUUCUCUGAAAACUGUACGCUAAGAGGGUCUUGUGCACCAACACUGUGUCUUAAGUGGUGUUAUCCACAUUAGAAAAUUAAAUUUCAUCAUAAGUCCGAGUAUUAGGAAAAUUGCAUCAUCGAAAAUUUAAUGAGAUAAAGAGUUAUAGAAAUAUAUAAAAAAAAACAUCCGAGAAAAUUUUUAUCGUGAUUUCUAGAAGGGAGUACCAGACGGGACCUACUUUAAAAAGAUUUUAAAAUUUAUCUUCCACAACGGAGAUUUUAAAUUUGCGCUUCAUCCUAUUUUUAUUCAUACUAGAAAUAUCCUUUAAGACAUAUAUAUUUUUCUUUCCGCUCCUUUUUUACUGUGAACUAUCUAUCAAACAAUUUCAUCUAAACAUCCACCUACACAUCCCAAUUAAAAUAAUAUUUAAUAACGACCAACAUCGUUUCCGCCUACAAACACACUUCAAUUUAAGUUUUUAAAAAAACUCAAUAAAGAUAAAAAAUAUAUAUAUAUAUAUAUAUAAAAUAAAAAAUAAAAAACCCCCCACGUGCAUGUCACUUUUCAUAAUUAGCACUAAUUACGCCACUUAAUUUUUAGACCGAAAAAAUUCGUAAAAAAUCUUAAAAAAUAUAAAAUAUUCCCACGAGUCUUUUGCUACCCUUGUCCAGAAUAGCCGACAUAUAGUUUCCCCUCUGCACAUUUUUCUGUUCUACUUUCACUAUUUGCAUAGUAAAACCAUAAUUCUUAAGUGAAUAGUGUUUUUAAUAUAAAAAAAAAAAAAAAAAGAUCAUAUGGCAAAAAAUAUCCUUUUGAAAAUCCUGUUAAUUUGCAAGACGCCACUUAAUUUUUAGACCGAAAAAACUCGUAAAAAAUCUUAAAAAAUCAAAAAUAUUCCCACGAGUCUUUUGCUACCCUUGUCCAGAAUAGCCGACAUAUAGUUUCCCCUCUGCACAUUUUUCUGUUCUACUUUCAUUAUUUGCAUAGUAAAACCAUAAUUCUUACGUGAAUAGUGUUUUUGAUUAAAAAAAAAAAAAAAAUCUCAUUCACGUGAAGCCACUGUAUGCAUAGUAAUCGUGCAUAGUAACUUCGCUAAUUUUCGACAGCAACAUUUCCAGACAGAAAAAAUACUAAAAAAUCCAGAAAAAUCUUACGAGUAUUUUGCCACCCUUCUUCAGAGUAGCCGACAUACGGNNNNNNNNNNNNNNNNNNNNNNNNNNNNNNNNNNNNNNNNNNNNNNNNNNNNNNNNNNNNNNNNNNNNNNNNNNNNNNNNNNNNNNNNNNNNNNNNNNNNNNNNNNNNNNNNNNNNNNNNNNNNNNNNNNNNNNNNNNNNNNNNNNNNNNNNNNNNNNNNNNNNNNNNNNNNNNNNNNNNNNNNNNNNNNNNNNNNNNNNNNNNNNNNNNNNNNNNNNNNNNNNNNNNNNNNNNNNNNNNNNNNNNNNNNNNNNNNNNNNNNNNNNNNNNNNNNNNNNNNNNNNNNNNNNNNNNNNNNNNNNNNNNNNNNNNNNNNNNNNNNNNNNNNNNNNNNNNNNNNNNNNNNNNNNNNNNNNNNNNNNNNNNNNNNNNNNNNNNNNNNNNNNNNNNNNNNNNNNNNNNNNNNNNNNNNNNNNNNNNNNNNNNNNNNNNNNNNNNNNNNNNNNNNNNNNNNNNNNNNNNNNNNNNNNNNNNNNNNNNNNNNNNNNNNNNNNNNNNNNNNNNNNNNNNNNNNNNNNNNNNNNNNNNNNNNNNNNNNNNNNNNNNNNNNNNNNNNNNNNNNNNNNNNNNNNNNNNNNNNNNNNNNNNNNNNNNNNNNNNNNNNNNNNNNNNNNNNNNNNNNNNNNNNNNNNNNNNNNNNNNNNNNNNNNNNNNNNNNNNNNNNNNNNNNNNNNNNNNNNNNNNNNNNNNNNNNNNNNNNNNNNNNNNNNNNNNNNNNNNNNNNNNNNNNNNNNNNNNNNNNNNNNNNNNNNNNNNNNNNNNNNNNNNNNNNNNNNNNNNNNNNNNNNNNNNNNNNNNNNNNNNNNNNNNNNNNNNNNNNNNNNNNNNNNNNNNNNNNNNNNNNNNNNNNNNNNNNNNNNNNNNNNNNNNNNNNNNNNNNNNNNNNNNNNNNNNNNNNNNNNNNNNNNNNNNNNNNNNNNNNNNNNNNNNNNNNNNNNNNNNNNNNNNNNNNNNNNNNNNNNNNNNNNNNNNNNNNNNNNNNNNNNNNNNNNNNNNNNNNNNNNNNNNNNNNNNNNNNNNNNNNNNNNNNNNNNNNNNNNNNNNNNNNNNNNNNNNNNNNNNNNNNNNNNNNNNNNNNNNNNNNNNNNNNNNNNNNNNNNNNNNNNNNNNNNNNNNNNNNNNNNNNNNNNNNNNNNNNNNNNNNNNNNNNNNNNNNNNNNNNNNNNNNNNNNNNNNNNNNNNNNNNNNNNNNNNNNNNNNNNNNNNNNNNNNNNNNNNNNNNNNNNNNNNNNNNNNNNNNNNNNNNNNNNNNNNNNNNNNNNNNNNNNNNNNNNNNNNNNNNNNNNNNNNNNNNNNNNNNNNNNNNNNNNNNNNNNNNNNNNNNNNNNNNNNNNNNNNNNNNNNNNNNNNNNNNNNNNNNNNNNNNNNNNNNNNNNNNNNNNNNNNNNNNNNNNNNNNNNNNNNNNNNNNNNNNNNNNNNNNNNNNNNNNNNNNNNNNNNNNNNNNNNNNNNNNNNNNNNNNNNNNNNNNNNNNNNNNNNNNNNNNNNNNNNNNNNNNNNNNNNNNNNNNNNNNNNNNNNNNNNNNNNNNNNNNNNNNNNNNNNNNNNNNNNNNNNNNNNNNNNNNNNNNNNNNNNNNNNNNNNNNNNNNNNNNNNNNNNNNNNNNNNNNNNNNNNNNNNNNNNNNNNNNNNNNNNNNNNNNNNNNNNNNNNNNNNNNNNNNNNNNNNNNNNNNNNNNNNNNNNNNNNNNNNNNNNNNNNNNNNNNNNNNNNNNNNNNNNNNNNNNNNNNNNNNNNNNNNNNNNNNNNNNNNNNNNNNNNNNNNNNNNNNNNNNNNNNNNNNNNNNNNNNNNNNNNNNNNNNNNNNNNNNNNNNNNNNNNNNNNNNNNNNNNNNNNNNNNNNNNNNNNNNNNNNNNNNNNNNNNNNNNNNNNNNNNNNNNNNNNNNNNNNNNNNNNNNNNNNNNNNNNNNNNNNNNNNNNNNNNNNNNNNNNNNNNNNNNNNNNNNNNNNNNNNNNNNNNNNNNNNNNNNNNNNNNNNNNNNNNNNNNNNNNNNNNNNNNNNNNNNNNNNNNNNNNNNNNNNNNNNNNNNNNNNNNNNNNNNNNNNNNNNNNNNNNNNNNNNNNNNNNNNNNNNNNNNNNNNNNNNNNNNNNNNNNNNNNNNNNNNNNNNNNNNNNNNNNNNNNNNNNNNNNNNNNNNNNNNNNNNNNNNNNNNNNNNNNNNNNNNNNNNNNNNNNNNNNNNNNNNNNNNNNNNNNNNNNNNNNNNNNNNNNNNNNNNNNNNNNNNNNNNNNNNNNNNNNNNNNNNNNNNNNNNNNNNNNNNNNNNNNNNNNNNNNNNNNNNNNNNNNNNNNNNNNNNNNNNNNNNNNNNNNNNNNNNNNNNNNNNNNNNNNNNNNNNNNNNNNNNNNNNNNNNNNNNNNNNNNNNNNNNNNNNNNNNNNNNNNNNNNNNNNNNNNNNNNNNNNNNNNNNNNNNNNNNNNNNNNNNNNNNNNNNNNNNNNNNNNNNNNNNNNNNNNNNNNNNNNNNNNNNNNNNNNNNNNNNNNNNNNNNNNNNNNNNNNNNNNNNNNNNNNNNNNNNNNNNNNNNNNNNNNNNNNNNNNNNNNNNNNNNNNNNNNNNNNNNNNNNNNNNNNNNNNNNNNNNNNNNNNNNNNNNNNNNNNNNNNNNNNNNNNNNNNNNNNNNNNNNNNNNNNNNNNNNNNNNNNNNNNNNNNNNNNNNNNNNNNNNNNNNNNNNNNNNNNNNNNNNNNNNNNNNNNNNNNNNNNNNNNNNNNNNNNNNNNNNNNNNNNNNNNNNNNNNNNNNNNNNNNNNNNNNNNNNNNNNNNNNNNNNNNNNNNNNNNNNNNNNNNNNNNNNNNNNNNNNNNNNNNNNNNNNNNNNNNNNNNNNNNNNNNNNNNNNNNNNNNNNNNNNNNNNNNNNNNNNNNNNNNNNNNNNNNNNNNNNNNNNNNNNNNNNNNNNNNNNNNNNNNNNNNNNNNNNNNNNNNNNNNNNNNNNNNNNNNNNNNNNNNNNNNNNNNNNNNNNNNNNNNNNNNNNNNNNNNNNNNNNNNNNNNNNNNNNNNNNNNNNNNNNNNNNNNNNNNNNNNNNNNNNNNNNNNNNNNNNNNNNNNNNNNNNNNNNNNNNNNNNNNNNNNNNNNNNNNNNNNNNNNNNNNNNNNNNNNNNNNNNNNNNNNNNNNNNNNNNNNNNNNNNNNNNNNNNNNNNNNNNNNNNNNNNNNNNNNNNNNNNNNNNNNNNNNNNNNNNNNNNNNNNNNNNNNNNNNNNNNNNNNNNNNNNNNNNNNNNNNNNNNNNNNNNNNNNNNNNNNNNNNNNNNNNNNNNNNNNNNNNNNNNNNNNNNNNNNNNNNNNNNNNNNNNNNNNNNNNNNNNNNNNNNNNNNNNNNNNNNNNNNNNNNNNNNNNNNNNNNNNNNNNNNNNNNNNNNNNNNNNNNNNNNNNNNNNNNNNNNNNNNNNNNNNNNNNNNNNNNNNNNNNNNNNNNNNNNNNNNNNNNNNNNNNNNNNNNNNNNNNNNNNNNNNNNNNNNNNNNNNNNNNNNNNNNNNNNNNNNNNNNNNNNNNNNNNNNNNNNNNNNNNNNNNNNNNNNNNNNNNNNNNNNNNNNNNNNNNNNNNNNNNNNNNNNNNNNNNNNNNNNNNNNNNNNNNNNNNNNNNNNNNNNNNNNNNNNNNNNNNNNNNNNNNNNNNNNNNNNNNNNNNNNNNNNNNNNNNNNNNNNNNNNNNNNNNNNNNNNNNNNNNNNNNNNNNNNNNNNNNNNNNNNNNNNNNNNNNNNNNNNNNNNNNNNNNNNNNNNNNNNNNNNNNNNNNNNNNNNNNNNNNNNNNNNNNNNNNNNNNNNNNNNNNNNNNNNNNNNNNNNNNNNNNNNNNNNNNNNNNNNNNNNNNNNNNNNNNNNNNNNNNNNNNNNNNNNNNNNNNNNNNNNNNNNNNNNNNNNNNNNNNNNNNNNNNNNNNNNNNNNNNNNNNNNNNNNNNNNNNNNNNNNNNNNNNNNNNNNNNNNNNNNNNNNNNNNNNNNNNNNNNNNNNNNNNNNNNNNNNNNNNNNNNNNNNNNNNNNNNNNNNNNNNNNNNNNNNNNNNNNNNNNNNNNNNNNNNNNNNNNNNNNNNNNNNNNNNNNNNNNNNNNNNNNNNNNNNNNNNNNNNNNNNNNNNNNNNNNNNNNNNNNNNNNNNNNNNNNNNNNNNNNNNNNNNNNNNNNNNNNNNNNNNNNNNNNNNNNNNNNNNNNNNNNNNNNNNNNNNNNNNNNNNNNNNNNNNNNNNNNNNNNNNNNNNNNNNNNNNNNNNNNNNNNNNNNNNNNNNNNNNNNNNNNNNNNNNNNNNNNNNNNNNNNNNNNNNNNNNNNNNNNNNNNNNNNNNNNNNNNNNNNNNNNNNNNNNNNNNNNNNNNNNNNNNNNNNNNNNNNNNNNNNNNNNNNNNNNNNNNNNNNNNNNNNNNNNNNNNNNNNNNNNNNNNNNNNNNNNNNNNNNNNNNNNNNNNNNNNNNNNNNNNNNNNNNNNNNNNNNNNNNNNNNNNNNNNNNNNNNNNNNNNNNNNNNNNNNNNNNNNNNNNNNNNNNNNNNNNNNNNNNNNNNNNNNNNNNNNNNNNNNNNNNNNNNNNNNNNNNNNNNNNNNNNNNNNNNNNNNNNNNNNNNNNNNNNNNNNNNNNNNNNNNNNNNNNNNNNNNNNNNNNNNNNNNNNNNNNNNNNNNNNNNNNNNNNNNNNNNNNNNNNNNNNNNNNNNNNNNNNNNNNNNNNNNNNNNNNNNNNNNNNNNNNNNNNNNNNNNNNNNNNNNNNNNNNNNNNNNNNNNNNNNNNNNNNNNNNNNNNNNNNNNNNNNNNNNNNNNNNNNNNNNNNNNNNNNNNNNNNNNNNNNNNNNNNNNNNNNNNNNNNNNNNNNNNNNNNNNNNNNNNNNNNNNNNNNNNNNNNNNNNNNNNNNNNNNNNNNNNNNNNNNNNNNNNNNNNNNNNNNNNNNNNNNNNNNNNNNNNNNNNNNNNNNNNNNNNNNNNNNNNNNNNNNNNNNNNNNNNNNNNNNNNNNNNNNNNNNNNNNNNNNNNNNNNNNNNNNNNNNNNNNNNNNNNNNNNNNNNNNNNNNNNNNNNNNNNNNNNNNNNNNNNNNNNNNNNNNNNNNNNNNNNNNNNNNNNNNNNNNNNNNNNNNNNNNNNNNNNNNNNNNNNNNNNNNNNNNNNNNNNNNNNNNNNNNNNNNNNNNNNNNNNNNNNNNNNNNNNNNNNNNNNNNNNNNNNNNNNNNNNNNNNNNNNNNNNNNNNNNNNNNNNNNNNNNNNNNNNNNNNNNNNNNNNNNNNNNNNNNNNNNNNNNNNNNNNNNNNNNNNNNNNNNNNNNNNNNNNNNNNNNNNNNNNNNNNNNNNNNNNNNNNNNNNNNNNNNNNNNNNNNNNNNNNNNNNNNNNNNNNNNNNNNNNNNNNNNNNNNNNNNNNNNNNNNNNNNNNNNNNNNNNNNNNNNNNNNNNNNNNNNNNNNNNNNNNNNNNNNNNNNNNNNNNNNNNNNNNNNNNNNNNNNNNNNNNNNNNNNNNNNNNNNNNNNNNNNNNNNNNNNNNNNNNNNNNNNNNNNNNNNNNNNNNNNNNNNNNNNNNNNNNNNNNNNNNNNNNNNNNNNNNNNNNNNNNNNNNNNNNNNNNNNNNNNNNNNNNNNNNNNNNNNNNNNNNNNNNNNNNNNNNNNNNNNNNNNNNNNNNNNNNNNNNNNNNNNNNNNNNNNNNNNNNNNNNNNNNNNNNNNNNNNNNNNNNNNNNNNNNNNNNNNNNNNNNNNNNNNNNNNNNNNNNNNNNNNNNNNNNNNNNNNNNNNNNNNNNNNNNNNNNNNNNNNNNNNNNNNNNNNNNNNNNNNNNNNNNNNNNNNNNNNNNNNNNNNNNNNNNNNNNNNNNNNNNNNNNNNNNNNNNNNNNNNNNNNNNNNNNNNNNNNNNNNNNNNNNNNNNNNNNNNNNNNNNNNNNNNNNNNNNNNNNNNNNNNNNNNNNNNNNNNNNNNNNNNNNNNNNNNNNNNNNNNNNNNNNNNNNNNNNNNNNNNNNNNNNNNNNNNNNNNNNNNNNNNNNNNNNNNNNNNNNNNNNNNNNNNNNNNNNNNNNNNNNNNNNNNNNNNNNNNNNNNNNNNNNNNNNNNNNNNNNNNNNNNNNNNNNNNNNNNNNNNNNNNNNNNNNNNNNNNNNNNNNNNNNNNNNNNNNNNNNNNNNNNNNNNNNNNNNNNNNNNNNNNNNNNNNNNNNNNNNNNNNNNNNNNNNNNNNNNNNNNNNNNNNNNNNNNNNNNNNNNNNNNNNNNNNNNNNNNNNNNNNNNNNNNNNNNNNNNNNNNNNNNNNNNNNNNNNNNNNNNNNNNNNNNNNNNNNNNNNNNNNNNNNNNNNNNNNNNNNNNNNNNNNNNNNNNNNNNNNNNNNNNNNNNNNNNNNNNNNNNNNNNNNNNNNNNNNNNNNNNNNNNNNNNNNNNNNNNNNNNNNNNNNNNNNNNNNNNNNNNNNNNNNNNNNNNNNNNNNNNNNNNNNNNNNNNNNNNNNNNNNNNNNNNNNNNNNNNNNNNNNNNNNNNNNNNNNNNNNNNNNNNNNNNNNNNNNNNNNNNNNNNNNNNNNNNNNNNNNNNNNNNNNNNNNNNNNNNNNNNNNNNNNNNNNNNNNNNNNNNNNNNNNNNNNNNNNNNNNNNNNNNNNNNNNNNNNNNNNNNNNNNNNNNNNNNNNNNNNNNNNNNNNNNNNNNNNNNNNNNNNNNNNNNNNNNNNNNNNNNNNNNNNNNNNNNNNNNNNNNNNNNNNNNNNNNNNNNNNNNNNNNNNNNNNNNNNNNNNNNNNNNNNNNNNAAAAGAGAGCAUCGGAAUAUCUGGUGAGGCUAAAGAGCACACCCAAAAUACCUCCACAUCUAUAUGUCCACUUCUAUAUGAUACCCUUUACUUUUGCUUGUUAUAGCUUAAAAUAGAACAGUUAUACCACUCCUCGGAACAUCUGUAGGGCUAAAGAGUAACCCAGUAUACCUGCCACUUGUAUCUAUCUACUUUUAUAUGGCACCUUGGAUUGUGUGAUUAUAGUUAAAAUGGAACUGUUAUACCAUAUUCCGGAACAUCUGUAGGCUAAAGAGCACACCCAAAUAUCUGCCACAUUUAAAUGUCCACUUCUAUAUGGUACCCUUUACUGUGCUGUUAUAGCUUAAAAUAACAGUUAUCAUCCACACACGCUCGGAAAUCUGUAUGCGCUAAAAGAGUACACCCAUAAUACCUGCCACUGUCUAUCUAUUUACUUCUAUAUGGUAGUCUUGAGUUGUGCGGCUUACAGCUUAAAAUGGAACAGUUAUCCACACCUAGGGGUGGAACGAGCUGAGCUCGAGCGAGCGCUUAUGUCAGCUCAAAUUCGGCUUGAAAUUAAUUUCGAGUCUAAUCUAGCUCAAGCGGCUGAAAUUAAUUCGAGCCGAGCUCGAGGAGCCUGAAUUUCGAGUCGAGCCAGCUCGGCUCUAAACGAGCUCAUUAAAUUCUCGACAUUAUAUAAUCAUAGUUUAAUUUUUAUAGAACAGAUUACCUACAGAUUUGAAUGCAACAUGUCCAAUAGUUUAAAAUACAAAAUAAUUAUAAGAAAUGUGAGCUAGGAUGACUUCUUGACUAGACAGCGGUCUGUGAGAGAGAGAGGAGAGAGGAGAGGGAAAAAAGUAGAAAUUUGAAAAUUUGAAAUGUUAUUUUUUAGGGUUAUGUGCACAGUAAAAGUCUGAAAAGAGAGAGUGUGUUAUGUAAAUUUAAGAUGGGCUCAAUGUGCCACGGUUGUACUUGUUGGGUUUAUUUUAUGGCGCAACAAUAAUGACCCAAAUUAAAUUAAAACCUAUAUAUAAUUAAAGAUACAUUAUAUAUAUAUAUAUAUAUAUAAGUUGAGCUAUGAUACUUUUACAAGUAUCACCAUCAUGGUGCCUAUUAGGUUUUAAGCCAUUAGAUCUUACUUUGGAUUAUUAAUGAGCCCUUGAUUAAACACUAUUCCACCUACCACCACCUACCACCACCUACCACACAUCUCAACCUCACAUCUCUCCAUCCAAGGGCUAAAAACACACAAGUAUCCCCCAUGAUACUUUACAAGUAUUCUAGCUCCUACUACUAUAUAUAUAUUAUAAUAUAUUAAUAUAUCUCGAGCUUUUCGAGCUUUCGGCCUAAUUCGAACGAGCCGAGUAAUACUCAACUCGGCUUGAAAUGAAUUUCGAGCCUUUUAUUUUGUUCAACUCGGCUCAUUUAAUUUCGAGUCGAGCUCGAGCGAGCCAAAUAUCGAGCCGAACACGAGCUCGAACGCGAGCCGCUCGCGCGUUUGCCAGCCCUAACCACACCCGACGAUAUCUGUAGGGCUAAGGAGCACACCACCGGCAAUACCUGCACAUCUAUAUGUCCACUUCUAUCUGAUACCUUUUACUUUUGCUGUUAUAGCUUAAAAUAGAACAGUUAUACCACUCCUCGGAACAUUUCUGUAGGGCUAAAGAGUACACCCAUAUACCUGCCUCUUCUAUCUACUACUUCCUAUAUGGCAGCCUUGGAUUGUGUGAUUAUAGCUUAAAAUGGAACUGUUAUACCACAUUCCGGAACAUCUGUAGGCUAAAGAGCACACCGCAUAUCUGCCACAUCUAAAUGUCCACUUCUAUAUGGUACCCCUUUACUUGCUGAAGCUGUUAUAAAGCUUAUAAACAGUUAUACCACUACUCUCGGAACGUCUGUAGGGCUAAAGAGUACACCAUACUACCUGCCACUCUUCUAUCUAUCUUAUUUUCAUAUGGAGCCUUCUCAGGUUAGUGCGGUAUAAAGCUUAAAAUAAACAGUUAUAACCACACCUCGUGGAACAUCUGUAGGGGCUAAAAGCAGCAACCCACAAACUACUGCUACAUCUAUAUGUCCAAUUCUAUAAGGGUACCCUUUAUUGUGCUUUAUAGCUUAAUUAUAGAACAGUUAUACCACACCUCGGAACAUCUUGUAGGGUUAAGAGUACAUCCGUAUACCUGCCACUUCUAUUAUAUCUACUUCAUAUAUGGUAACUUUGGGUUGUUACGGUUAUAAGCUUAAAAGGAACAGUUAUACAACAUCCCGGAACAUCUGUAGAAUAAAGAGUACACCCAUAUACCUGCCACUUCUAUCUAUCUACUUGCUAUAUGGUAGCCUUGGGUUGUGCGGUUAUAGCUUAAAAUGGAAUGUUGUACCACACCCUCGGAAUAUCUGUAGAGCUAAAGAGCACACCCACAAUAUACCUGCCACAUCUAUAUGUCCACUUCUAUAUGGUACCUUUUACUUUGCUGUUAUAACUUAAAAUAGGACAGUUAUACCACUCCUCGAACAUCUGUAGGGCUAAAAGUACACACCCAUAUACCUGCCACUUCUAUCUAUCUACUUCUAUAUGGUAGCCUUGGAUUGUGCGGUUAUAGCUUAAAAUCGAAUAAUAUUACAACACUCCGGAACAUCUGUAGGGGUAAAGAGCACACCCAAAUACCUGCCGAUCAUAUGUCCAAUUCUAUAUGGUCCGCUUUACUUGUGCUGUUAUAGUUUAAAAUAGAACAGUUAUACCACUUCUCGGAACAUCUGUAGGGCUAAAGAGUACACCAUAUACCUGCCACUUCUAUCUAUCUACUUCUAUAUGGUACCUUGGGUUGUGCGUUAUACCUUAAAAUGGAAUAGUUAUACACACCCCGGAACAUCUGUAGGACUAAAGAGCACACCACUCACUCACUCUAUAUGUCCACCUCUAUAUGGUACUUUUACUUGUGCUGUUAUUUAAAAUAGAACAGUUUAUACCAUCCUGGGAACAUCUGGUAGGGCUAAAGAGUACACCAUAACCUGCCACUUUUAUCUAUCUACUUCUAUAUGGUAGCUUGGGUUGCGCGGUUGCUUUAAAAUGGAACAAUUGUACCCACCCCGAGAACAUCUGUAGGGGUAAAGAGCACACCAAAUACCCGCCACAUCUAUAUGUCCAAUUCUAUAUGGUCGCUUUACUUUGUGCUGUUAUAGUUUAAAAUAGAACAGUUAUGACACUCAUCGGAACAUCUGUAGGGCUAAAGAGAGUACCCAUAUACCUGCCACUUCUUUUUAUACUUCUAUAUGGUAGCCUUGGGUUGUGCGGUUAACUUAAAAUGAAAUAGUUAACCACACCCCGGAACAAUCUGCAGGGCCUAAAGAGCACACCCAAAUACCUGCCACAUCUAUAUGUCCACUUUCUAUAUGAUACCAUUUACUUUUGUGUUAUAGCUUAAAAUAGAACAGUAUACACUCCUCGAACAUCUGUUAGGGUAAAGAGUAUACCCAUAUACCUGCCACUUCUAUCUAUCUACUUCUAUAUGGUAGCCUUGGGUUGUGCAGGUUAUAACUUAAAAUGGAACAGUUAUACCACACCCGGAACAUCUGUAGGGCUAAGAGCACACCAAAUACCUGCCACAUUUAUAUGUCCAAUUCUAUAUGGUCUCCUUUGCUUGUUCUGUUAUAGCUUAAAAUAGGAACAGUUAUACCACUCCUCGGAACAUCUGUAGGGCUAAAGAGUACACCCAUAUAACCUGCCACUUCUAUCUAUCUACUUCUAUUGGUAGCUUUGGGUUGUGCGGUUAUAGCUUUAAAAUGGAAUAUAUAUCACACCCCGGAACAUCUGUAGGACUAAAGAGCAACCCAAAUACCAGCACAUCUUUAUACCACUUCUAUAUGGUACCCUUUACUUGUGCUGUUAUAGCUCUAAAAUAGAACAGUUAUACACUCCUUGGGAACAUCUAUAGGCUAAAGAAUACACCCAUAAAGUGAUUAAGGAGGACUGAGCGCUAACAGAAAGGUGAAUCUGACCCUUCGUUUGCUGUUGUAGUUCGACGACACUCAAUACUUACCUGCGCCUCCUCAACCGCCAGGGAUCAUCAAUCUCAGCAGGUGCCAUUGCACUUUCUGAAUGUCUAUCUCCGAUACGAUAACUCUCAUAAAAUUAUUUUGCCAAACAUAAUAAACUUUGGAUAACAUCUCAUCUAUGAUAAAAUCGCGAGAAAAUGACAUCACGGUAAAUUGACAUAUUACAUCAAUAGGAUAAAUUAACUAGACUCUUAUCAACAACUCACAUUACACAAAAUAAAUCAAGAAUAUGAUUAAGCAAAAUACAAGAUUACCAGUCAUAAAUUUCACAUUGCACAUUCACAAUCAUAUAUGAAAAAUCUGUGAACGACCACUCACACUGUGCAUAAUUGUACAUUGAAAAUCAUAUAUUAUACAAAUUGCCAGUACAUUCACAAUUGCACAAUAAUAUAUAAACACACUGUACAAGUACCAGUUAACAAUUGCAAAAUCCUAUAACAUUCAGACAUCAUCUCUUGCGACUAUGCACUCAAUCAUAGAAGUAUAUGUCAGACAAUAGGAUCCUUUAAGAUCGCACUGACCAUAUGAGUACGGAAGAAGGGAGGUCAUUAUCGACAAUGAUAGAUCGGGGAGGCCGUUUCUUACGAUUCUUUCGGCAAAAAGGCAUGUGUACAUGCCACAAUCAACUUCGAUGGAACCCUGUUGUUGACAUUCCUUAUGAAAUAUGACGUAGACGCGCCGAUCCAGGGAUUUGAAGGAUGUGCUCAAAAUAGAACGCAAACCAUUUCGCCUUUCCAAGACAAAAAAAAGGGUUAAUUAAUUCAAACGAGUAGAUAGUAGAUGUUAUUGUCCGCGUGAAUAAAUAACUAAAACACUCUGUCUACUGAGAAUAAUAAAAUAAUACCAGCCAGCUUGUGCCGCGUCCUGUGCCCGCGUGUGGCUCACAAAGAGUUCCAACUCUUUAAAACGCCGUUCUCUUCAAAUCAAUCAAUAGCAAAUGCCAACGCCAAUUACUAUAUAACGGAAUAAGUACAUAUCUACAAGUGUUGCAGGUUUGUGUAUUUAUUUCAUCCAGAAAGUGACGUAUAGAUGCGGAUCCAAAUGCAUAUCCUUCCACAAAAUCAGUUUGUUACUGGAUUAAUAUAUAGUGACGUAUAGAUGCGGAACAAGAAAGCGAUGUUCAGAAAACAAGAUAACAUAGAAACAGAAAACAAAUAGAUAACAACUAAUAUAAUAGAAGGCAUCAAACUCACCGCAUACUUCAGUUCGCAAGAAAAUAGCCCCGUUGACUAAAUUUAUGUAAUACUGUACAAAAUAUGUCUUAAUUUCGACUAUCGCAUGCCGAUAGUCACCAUCGAAUAUAUUAUCAAGCGUGCUCGACUUUACACUCUUGCUCUGCCAUUCUAUGGUUUCCCUCUGCUGGCAGCUCUACCAAAAUGGAUAUUUCCUCUGAACUAAAAGGAAGAAAUGUUUCUAAAUUCUAAAACAGUGUUCACAACUAUAAACUUAUUAGAGUGUUCUAUUAACCUUUACAUCUAUCUAUUAUUAGAUCAAAGUGUUCAUAAUUCUGCCACUGAUAGGAGUUUCUAUUUGCCCUAGGAUUGUUAUAUUAUGCAUAAGAGGGUACGAUUGCAAUUCAUACAUGUUCGGAACCAUAAAAAGAACAUUCUAAACCCUAAACCCUAAUAGAACUGCUCACUGUCACAUGGAUUGUGAAUAUAUCCUAUCAGCUGGCCUAAAUAGAACAUUCUAAACCACAAGCUUGCAUAAUAGAAUUCACAAUCAAUGGAUUGUGAACACUCCUAUCAGGUGGCAUAAUAGAACAUUGUAAACUCUAAACCCUAAUCCUAAUCAUAAAUUUCUUAUCUUAAAAUGCAACAUAAAAUAUAAUAUACCAGCAAAUAUACCACCAGUGUCCUAAAAUAAAAUUAAUCACCUAUUCGGCGACGAAAUCGGAGCACGCAAAGAAAAUCCGCAGCUGCAACCCUAAACCCUCAAAAUAUACAUUUUGUAUUAAAUUAAAAAUUGAAAAUAAAAGAUUAUAGAAAUUUUAAAAAAAUGCCUGUUUGAGUUGAAUCAUCUGUUUCGGUUGUGGCCGAAUUAGCUCCGAAAUCGUUCCCAAUUUCGACACGCUCACCGACUGAAGGAAUGCAAGCAGGUACUGGGAUGGACAGGGGAGCAGUUGAGAGGCGACCUCCUACCAAUGGAGAAAGGCGAGGCCGAGAGACACCUUCGAGACGGCUUCGGACACGAGAUGUGUGGAACGAGCGCUGCCGAACUUCUGCCCGAUGGAGUGGAGUGCCCUGCGAGCGAGAGUGAGACAAAGAGAAAGGGGAGAGCGCGAGAUGACGAGAGGCGAGGGAGCGAGAGAAAGAGAGGAAGCGAGAGAGAGCGAGAAACAGAGAUAGCGAGAGGAGCUGUGCAGGAGAGAGAAGUGUAGUAGGGUUUAAUUUAAGUUAGCUUUAGCAAGAAGUAAAAAAGGUGUGAGGUUAGAAGCUACUGUGCUAGUGGGUUAAUAUCAGCCAUUGGAUCUGAUAGUUGUAGGAUAUACACCUUCCUAUAGGAGUACAGGUAGACUUUUCCCAUGGACAUUGAUGCUUAAUAAAAAAUAAAAAAAAAAGCUACAUAACAAUAAAAAGAAUAUAUACCAAGUAACAGGACGAAGAUGUAUCCAAUGCCGUAAAAAAUAAAAGAUAUAUCAAAUGCAGUGUUAAUACAUCAAUUUUAAUACCCAAUUGAUCAGCCAUAUUCAAUCAGGUAAAAAUUCUUGAAAUUUGAUGUCAUAAUAAUAAUUUCUCAAAGAAGGAAAAUUAUUUUUCAUGUACCAGUUAUAACAUGAAAAAAUGACAAAAUCAAAGAAAAUGAUUUAGAAACAGAAUUUAUAUAGAGAAUUUGGAUGAAAGGUCUAAUUAAUAUUUUCUCAAACAAAUUAAGUGCAGUAAGAAUAUCAUAUGAUGGAUAUGAUCUAAUAUUUUAUAUUCUAUUGGUAAAAAAAGAUGCAGAACUUAAAAAGAAAAUAUAAAAAAUAAAAAUUAUUAUAAAGUUUCAAAAUAUUGAGAGAGAAGACUCAAAUUGACAUUCUAUUGAACAUAUAGAGAGAACAACCAAAUCUUCCUUAUGUAAGUUAUGUUGCUCUCACCACAUAGCAGAAGAGAGAAAUCCUGCAAAGGGAGAGGAGCAGAUGGGCGACGUACUAAGAGAGCGGCAAAGUGAGCUCACCUCUGCCUCAUGCAUAGUUCAGCUUAAUUAACAGAAAAACACACUGCACUCAUAAAUAAACAAAGACAAAUAUCGAAAAGUAAAGAACAUAAAGCAGUAAAAUUAAUAAAUAGAUUUAUAUGAAAGCAAAUUAGCAAAUAGUUGAGAGAAUAACAUCUCCAAUCUAUAAAAUCCACUAAUCAAAUACAUAUCAUGGUAAAUAAUAUUUCAUAGUAGACAAUAUUAAAGAAGCACAGUACAUUAGAAUGAAAGGGCAAAACAGACUUAAAAGAAUAGAAAAAUAUCAACAAAUAUUAAAAAGUAUUCUACAUUUCACUAUAUUAAAGAAGAAAAUAAAGCAAAUAUAAGAAAAUAGGCAGGUAAAAACACAAAAUAAAAGAAACACUAAAACAUUAGUAAGAAAAACAUCAGAUCAUCAUUUAGAAUAAAAAAGAAGAACUCAAAAAUAUAGUUCCAUAUAAUAAACCAAAAUAUACAAUUCAAAGAAAAACAAAUCAAAAUAACACAUAUUUCUAUAUACCAUGAAGUUAGGAAAAAAAACACAUAAUCAUUUUAGCACAAAAUUAAGUUAUAUUUACUGAAAAAAUAAUCAAAGGCUCAAAAUGUUUAUGUAAAUCAUAUACUCUUUUUCUUAAGAAAAAGAAAAGUCUCUUUCUAUUAACACAUAAAUCAAAUUUUGUGCAUGUCUAAUGGCUGCAGUAAUUUUCAUAAGGCGAGUCGUAUUUUCAUACCUUUUUAAUACCUUUCUUGAUGGAUAAUAUAAAUAUAAAUAUAAAUAUAUAUAUAUAUAUAUAUAUGAAAGUAGAAGAGAAAAGGCCUUAUCUUCACCGACUUACAUCAAAGAGUGAUAGGGGCUUAAAGAAAACUUUAUAACUCAACCCCAAAAGGUAGUAUAAAUGAAAAUAAGGAACAAAAAAUGAGCAAUCUUUUUUAGAAUAUUAACUCAAAUUAUACAUCAAAAUGUUAGUUCACAAGAAAACUCAUUUUGCAAAAUAACAAAUAACUACAAAUAGUUGUUCACGAAGGAAUAGACCAUCCAAACUUAUUCCAGUCAUCUAUUGAAAAGUCUAGAUCUGUAUCCUAAAUUAGCACUUCCAAAUUAGAAAAAUUACAAUCCAUGCUGAGAAAGGGGCCAUAUCAUCAUAGCUUUAAGAAAGACCAUCUAAGAAAUAAUAAAUUAAAGAGAAAAGGAAGAAAUUUUUUUUAGCUUACAUACUACACUAACCUAGGGGCAAACCAUGAAGAAAUGAGAAAUAAUAAUUUCCAUAUGAAGCACAGAGGGAAAGGCACAUGAGAGUAAAAGAGGAACAUAUAUUUUCAUUAAUAAGGUAGGUCUUAUCAGCCCCAAGAAUUAAUGUAGAAAGAGCUCCAAACUUAUUUCAAGAUUUAGCUUUUAUAUAUCUUUAAUACCUUCUCUUUCUAACAUACUACUGUAAAGUAGAGAUUUCAUAUUUUCAUUGCUCGAAGCUCUGCUAAUCUGCUUAGGAAGGCCUUGCAAGACAAAUUUUGCAACUUAUUGCUCUAUUAUUUUUUUAGUGGUAUUUGAAAUGAUACCACCUAAAAUAAAGGUCGAUGUGAAUUAUCGUAAGUAUUGACAUCCUUUACUUACAGUUCGAUACACCGGGUGAAUGGGCAAUUUUUUUAGCAAAUUUCUAUAGGAAGUUUUUAGAUAUAUAUUCUUUCGUAUAUGCUAAGAUCAAAAACUUAAUAGAGUCAUAGAUUAAAAAGAGACUUUCAAAUAAGUAAUUCAAACAAACUUAUAAUUAUAAUUAGUUACAAAUUCAGACCUACAGUGAUCGAGGGUUUCAAUAUUGUCCAUUAAAAAUUUCAAUUAUGAUAAUUUAGUCUCCGUACUUUUGCCGCACAAUUAAAACUCAACGACUUAGUCAUAUAAUUAAAUACUCAAAAAAGAAAAUAGUGCAUUCUUUUUUUUUCACUGCAGAUAUCUACUGAAAAAAAAGAGAAGCAUUUAAGUGUCAAGUAUUACAUCAAGUUGAGCACAAAUUUAAAGUGUCAAAAAGAGAAGCUUUCCUAGACAUCUCCCUUGCCUUGUCCCGAUUCCCUAUCACUCGGCACAUGAGCCCCGCGUCGACCAUGGCGGCAGUCGGAACAACUCAAGGAUGCGGUAGGAGUUGGUGCUAUCACUGUCGUGGCCAUUCUUGCAGCGCUUGCCCCACCGGAGGAGCACCACGGUCUCGCAUAACGACCGCAGUAUGCUGUACAUCGUGCUCGCGACGCAGAGGUCAUGCGCGUCAAUGACUUUAGUGUUGACGAUAACCAACAAAAAGGUCACAGCCGUCGGCGGGCUCGAUGCUCGGCAGCUUCGUUGAUGAGGCAGGAAUGAAAGAGGUUGUGAGAUAGUGAUGUGAUGGGGAAGGCGGGGGGAGGGGGCGCACUAUAAAGGAGUGGGGGAAGUGUGAUGUGAGUAGAGAGUAAAAAUUAAUGAGGUGGAAAGCCGUGGAAAGACAAAGCGAUGGUAAUGAGAUGGAAAGCUAAAGAGCCACGACGUAAUAGACGGGGAAGGUGAGCAGACACUAUGGAGAAGGGAAGCACCGUGACGUUACAGACGGAGAAAGCGGCGUGGAGAGUGGGAAUUGAGAGAGGGAGGACUCAGGUGGGUCCCACGGCAGAAUUUAAUUUAAAGAAAAUAUAUGCCACAUAGAUUAAGGUAUUGAAUGCCCCAAAUUAAGCCAAAAAUGCCACAACUGACAGGUGGGUCUCACAUCCCCCAAAUUAAGCAAUGGUUAACGAAAUAUGAAUCGGAGACUAAAUUUACACACACACACACACACACACACACACACACACACACACACACACACAAACACAAAAAAACUAAAACCAAUACGAUGCAAAAAUGAAAAAAAAAAAUCAGUAGAAGAUGCAUGAGAUAAUAAAGAGAGAGAAAGAGAGAUGAAUAAAAUGUUUACGUAAUGAAAAUAAAAAAAAAAUAAGUAGGAGAUGAGAUAAUAAAGAGAGGGAGAUAAAAUAAAAUACUUUUUACAUUAUAUGAUAACUAGUGCAGUAACCCGCGCGAUGCGGCGGGCAGAUAAUAUUCAAUAUCUAACUUUGAUUUAUUUUUCUUAUCUUUGAAAUCUAUUAAAUUACCAAUUACCACCAAAACCAAAAUUUAAGAUCAAAAUGUGCACUUUAAGCUGAGUAGAAUGCUCAUUGCAGAAUCUUAGAAGAACCAAUAUGAAGUAAGAAAUAAACAUGUGCCCAUAUCCUCGAAGCAUGAGGGAUACUAAAAAAAUAAUAAUACGAAACGAAGGAAAAACUCUGAGAGAAACCAUCCAAACAUGAAGCACUCUAUCACCUACCAGAAUACUAUUUAACUAAUUAAUGUCUCUCAACUAUCGAUUCCAAUCAAAUUGAGCUCAAAACACAACGAAUUUGAAUCACUCCAACACAAAGUUCUCAUUUUUAAACAGGAAUAUGCAACCAAUUACUAUCGAAAAUCAAAAUUUGAAACCACAAUGUGUAAUUAAACAGAAUUGAGUUGAUAAAAUCAAAGGAACUUUUUUAAACCUUUACCUCAAUAGCCGAUUUACCGGUUUCUGAAGGAAACAAAUAUUUGUAAUGAUUGUAUAAUUGCCAUCCAAAAUGCCUCACUAUAUUUAAAUAAUUGAAAAGCAUUUAAAAAAAGCCAAAUUAGGAGCAAAAUUAAUAAGAGAAGAAGCAGUAGAAAAAAUAUACCAUGCAAAAAGAGAAAAAUAUGUAGUGAAGCUUACAAUCAUGGUAGCAAGAAAAUUAUAAAUUAAUGCAAAAGGCUCCGAUAGAAAUUAACUCACAUAUAUGUCCUAUGUAGAAAAAUACAAUAAGAGAAAGAACAGAAUAGUUGAUGGAUAAGAAAAGAAUCCAAUACCUGAUACAAGGGUAAAAAGAAAAAGCAAAAUGAAAGAAACUUCAGAUUAAUUAGAAGUUGCAGAAACAACAACACCAUAUAAGGUUUUGUGCAGUCGAUAGACUUGAUUUUCUUUUCCUUCUAUAAUAUAACCUUCAGGUUGUUCAAUGUAAACUUCUUCUUCAAUUUCUCCGUUUAAAAAUGCCGACUUAACAUCGAGUUGAUAAACUAACAAUUCUAGUUGGCUUACUAGAGCAAAAACAGUUCUAACUGUCUCCAUGCGUACAACAGGUGCAAAAGUUUCAAUGAAAUCCCUAAACAUCAGCACUAAGAGAAGAAAAACUAAUAGUAAAACAGGCAACAUUAAUAAUCAAGCAGCAGUAACAGAGGAAUUAGUAGUGGGUCAAGUGCAAAAAAUAAAAAAUAAAAAUAAAAAAGAGUAAAAAUAAUAUAGAUGUAUUGUCUCAGAUAAUCAAUAAGUUAUAUCAUUAAUCAACAAAGGUGAUUUCCACAUUUGAACGUCAUUGAAACAAAUUAUAUGAUAAAUCAAUAGUUGCAACGGUUGCCUAAAAAAGGCCAUCCAAGUUGCCAUACUAUGCCAAAACUUUAUUUUUUUAAUAAUUAUUUUAAACUUUGUUUAAUUAAUUAUUAUUUUUUUGCAUUAUGCCAUCAUCGCCAAUUAAGUAAGAAGCGAAAAUUUAUACAUAAAAAUUAUGAAACUUAUUAAAAACUAAUUGAAAACAUAAAGAUAUUAUUAAAAUGUAGUAAAAGUAAGUGAAAAUAUUAAUUUUAAAAAUAAAUAAACUAUAAGUAGUAUAUAUAUAAAAGAUAAAUAAAUCGUAGUGUUAUUAUCUAUGCAAAUAAUUAAUUUCUUAAAUUAAUCGAAAAGUAAUUGUAAACAUAAAGGAGAAAAAACAAAUAAAACAAAUCUAACGCAGAAGUAAUAGAAAAGCUUGCAAAACUUUAUAAAAUUUAAAACAGCUAAGAAGUAUAGAAGAAGUCGCAUAACUGGAAGCAGAAAGAAAAUCGAAUAUUAAUUAAAAGGAGCUGAUGCUUCACCAUAAAAUUGGUAGCAGUAACAAUAAUUAUAAUAUAUUUUUUUAACUUUGUAUUAUCAUACUCACAUUUACUUUUGUAUAGUAAAAUUUUGAAAGUUAAUUCGAUGUGGCGAAGGGAGAUGAAACCAUAAUGAAUCAAAACCAUUUUUCAGCCUGUAGGUGGAUCAACCGUUGGAAAUGAAGCAGCACUAAUGGAAAGAGCGAGGAAGGAAGAAGGAUUGACGUCACACCUUCAAUUUUUCUUUAUUAGAAAAGGCAUGUUGGCUGUUGAAGCGACGACAAAGAAAGAAGCGAGCUGGCGAACCGGUUCAAAGCUGAGAAAAGGAUCCAGAUUUUUAGAGAUCUCAAAAACCGGUUCAAAGCUGCGACCUUCCGUAAUCUCUUGGCUCAGAGAAAAGGAUAUGGAAGUUCUUCUUAGAAGCGGAGAUGUCGUAGGAUGCAUGGCAAAAGAUAGCGUAUGACCAUUAUAUAAGCAUUGAGAGAUAUGGGAGAAGUCGGACAACCCUUCGGCCCUAAUGGAAACGGCGUGAAGGGAAGCAGGAUCGAUGUCGUUUGUGGCCCAAAUUUUCGUCCAUAGAAGAGGAACGACGGUUUUCGAAGCGGCGACAAAGAAAGGAAUAAACCGACGAACCGAUCCCAUGCGGCUUUGGAAGACGUAGCGAUAAUGAAUUGAGAGCAUUUUAGAGUCGAGAGGUAGAUCAUUCGACGGGAAUGAAGUGGAGCCAAUGGAAAUGGUGGGGAGGGAAGCAAAAUCGGUGUCGCACUUGGCCCUUUUUUCUGUUCAUAGAAGAAAAACGAUGGCUUCCAAAUUGAUGACAAAGGAAAAAAUGAACCGGCGAUCCGGUUCAGAAGAGCACAUGUUUUUUCAAGAUAAGGAUCUAGUUCAGAAGAGUAUUUUCUCUCUAAACCCUAUAACCAAUAGGUGGGUCCCACAUGCCAUAAUAUUUAAAGAGAAUCGAAAAAAUGAGAGGCAGGUCUCGCAUGCUUGAAGAUAAGGAUCCGAUUCAGAAAAAGAUUUUUUUUCUAAACCCUAAAACAAUACGUGGGUCCCACAUGCCCUAACAUUUAAAGAGGAAUAAAAAACUGACAUGUUGGUCCCACAUGCCCCAAAUUAAGCCAAACAUGCCACAACUGUCAGGUAGAUCCCACAUGGCCCAAAUUAAGCAAAACUUGCCAUGUGGACUUAAAAUUAGAUUUGAAAAAUUGCAAAUGCAGCAAAAACAAAAGUGAGGAUUAAAGAAAAGGAGGGAAAAAGAGAAGAAGCAAAACCAACAAAAAAAAGAGUAAAAACAACAUGAUGUGUAGGCUCAGAAAAUCAAUAAGUUAUAUCAGAAAUCAACAGAGGGGAUUUUCACAUGUAAAACAUCAUUGAAACAAAUUGUAAGGUUGAUCAAUGGUUGCAACAGUUGCAUAAAUGCCAUCCAAGUUGCCAUACCAUGCAAAAUCGUUGUUGAUAUUCAAUCAUUAUUUUUUUCAUUCGGUCAUCAUCGCCAACACCAAAAGGAAAAUCAGUGAAACAGCAGCAGUAGAGCCAACAAUAUUUUUUUAAAAAAUAAAUUCAAAAAGAAUGAAAAGAAACCAAACCUAAAGUAAAUCAUAACCAUUAUUUCGCUAUAUUUGCAAAGGCAGGAAAAAGAAGUAGAGAAGCAAAACCAACAAAAAAAGGAGUAAAACAACAUAGAUGAUAGGCUCAAAUAAUCAAUAAGUUAUAUCAGUAAUCAACAAAUUUGAUUUCCACAUGUGAAAUGUCAUCAAAACAAAUUGUAAGGGUGAUCUGUGGUUGCAACAGUUGCCUAAAUGGCAUCCAAGUUGCCAUACCAUACAAAAACUUUAUCGAUACGUAAUUAUUAGAUUUUUUUCGUUUGGUCAUCAUUGCCAACACCAACAGCAAAUUCAGUGAAAUAGCAGCAGGAGAGCUAAAAGCAUUUUUAAAAAAAUUAAACACAGAAAGAAUGAAAAGAACAAAACCUGUAGCAGUAUAUCACCAUUCUUGAGGGAACCAUUUUUCUGGGACCAUUUGUCCGAAACCUGUAGCAACAGUGGGACCAUUUUUCCAUCUAGAGGCGAAUCAUUUGCCAGGAAUGAAGCGGUACUAAUUAUAAAUUUUUUUUUUCGUCCAUAGAAGAGAAUAGACGGUUUUCGAAGCGACGACAAAGAAAGGAACGAACCGGCAAACCGAUCUGAUGCGGCGUUGGAAGACGAAGCGAUAAUGAAUCGAGACCAUUUUAGAGUUGAGAGGGGAAUCAUUCGAUGGGAAUGAAGCGGCGCCAAUGGAAACGGCAGGGAGGGAAGAACGAUGGCUUCCGAAGCGACGAAGCGAACCGGCCCGAAGCGACGACAAUGGAAAAGGCAAACCGACAACGAUGGCUUCCGAAGCGACAAAGCGAACUAGCAGCGAACCGGCCCAAAGCGACGAAGCGAACCGGCAGCGAACCGGCCCAAAGCGACGAAGCGAACUGGCUCGAAGCGACAUCAAUGGAAAAAGCGAACCGGCGAACCGCUGGACCCAUUUUUUCAAGAUUGGGUUCAAAAGAGUGUUUGCACUCUAAACCCUAAAACCAAUAGGUGGUCCCCACAUGUCAUAUAUAAUAUUUAAAGAGAAAUGAAAAAAUGACAGGUAGGUCCCACAUGCUAAAAUAUUUUCUCUAAACCCUAAACAACAGGUGGGUCCACAUGCCCUAAAUUAAGCCAAACAUACAACAACUGACAGGUAGGUCCCACAUGCACAAAUUAAGCAAAACUUGCCAUGUGGAUAAAAUUACGGGGAUUAAUAUAGGAUAUAGAUAUAGAUGAUAUCGUAUUAUAUUAUAAGAUAAUGAUAUCAUAUUAUAUUAAUCCUACUCAUAAUCAAAACAUCUAAUAAAAUAAUAUUUGAAUUCUAGUGUAAUCGGUUCAGCGUAUCUGGACUUGAAUUCGGAUUAGUCAUGAAUUUUUAUUUAUUUAUUUAUAAAUUUUUAAAUAAAAGGAUAUAAGUAAAAAGAUUAAAAUAAAAGAUAAAAGUAAAAAAAAGACAAAAGAGAAAAUUAGAGAUAGAUGUUACAACAUGCGAUUUUUUUUUUUAAAUGAAAAAAAAUUUGGCAUUGGAGUAUUUAUUAUUGUAAAAUAAAUUUGUAUUUAUCUUUUUAUGUUUUACAGGUUACGUUUUAUUUGAGUUUUUUAUUUUGGUGUACUUGGAUGGCAGUUAAUUAUUUUUUUAUAUUUCAAAUUAUUUUACAAACUUAGAUUUAAUAAUUUAUUUUAAGAUAAAUUUAUUUUAUAUGGAUUAUGUAAUCAAUUUUAAAUUAACGCAGCAAUUACUUUACAGUAAAGAGAAAAGACAUGUUUUGAAAAAGUUUAAAAGAAAACAAUUUUCUCAAUUUUAAUAUUUAAAAUUUUCAUUACUUUUAAUUUUUUUAAAUUUAAAAUAAAUUUAUCACAAUGUAUCUUAGCUGUAUUAUCGUAAUUUAAGGAAUCUCUGCACUUUAAAAUAUUUUGCACCCUUUAAUUUAUUUUUUUAUUUUAGUGAGCUCAAGAAUUUGGAUACUAAGAAUCAUAAUAUAAUGGCAACAACUCGAACUACUAAUUAGGUUUCUUUUAUUUUUAUAAAUAUCUCUUAUAGUUUAAAUUAUUUAAAUCUCUUACAAUGAUCUAACAUAUAAUUUUAGACUUAUCUAUAUAAAGUAUAUUUAUUGUUAAAGUUGUUGCUUAUGAAAAGCUAAGUUAUCUUUUACCCCAAAAAAAUAUCUCAAGGAGAGAUUAUUGCAAUCGAAUGAGAUUAGUACAAGCCUCGAGUAUGUGUUAUAUUCUAACUAAUACGCUCUGCAUCUUUAUAGACGAUGCAAUCUAACUCUAAAAGUCCUUUGUCAUUUAGCACCCGUUUGGUUUUAAAGACUAUCUAAUACUUUUAGACAAAACAUAGUUAUCUAUACCUCUAUACCUAUACAUUAUUUCUCCUAAAGUUUUGCCAUGUGACGAAUCCUCCUGCACCGUUGGCUUCUCUCUUCUCACUCCCAUCUCCAUCCAAUGCUUCAUCUUUCUAACCCCCACCUCUCAAUUAAUGUAUUUAUAUAGUCCCAUCUUCACCCAAUGCUUCAUCUUCCUAACCCCCACCUUUCAAUUAAUGUAUUUAUAUGAUCUCAUUUCCACCCAAUGCUUCAUCUUCCUAACCCCCACCUCUCAAUUAAUGUGUUUUCAUGGUUUUAUCUCCAUCCAAUACUUCAUCUUCCUGACUUCCACCUUUCUAUUGCUUUUACAAGAACAAAUGAGUAAAAUAAAGUUUCUUCAUACUUUUCUUUUCAUAUUGUUUUUUUUUUUUUCCUUUUUUUCUUGGCGCACAAAAAGGGCUCAUGUUUCGUAACUUUUUUAAAUUUUUUUUAAAAUUGUGUGUGGAUUGAAAUUAGGGUUUCGAGGAUCGCGAUGGGCACGGCAAGGGAAAACGAUGAUAAAUUUAGAGUCAGUAAGGAGGAAGAAGCAGUGGAUGUGGAAAAAAUAUACGGGAUUGACAUGGUUAUGGCUAAGGAGGAGAUCGACACUAGUGGCGAAGGCAAUGUAAAUAUUGGAAUUUGCCUUUUCGAUGUCGAUAGUACGAUGAAGGUGUGUAUGGGUAAAAUUUUUUUUAUUGCUUCUUUCAUUAUUGUUAUGUGUGAUUUAUUUAUCGAAAUUAUAAAUUUUGCUAUAUCUAUACCUAUAUCUAUUUUAUAUAUUAUAUUUAUGUUAUUGAAGUCUCAUGUCAAAUCAAAAAAUUUAUAGUUUUUAUUCUAUUUAUAUUUUAUCUUUUAUAGUAUCAUUCCGCCGCAAUGCGCGGGUGAUUUCACUAGUAAUGAAUGACUACAAUAUGAUUUCUCAAUAUUUUGCUGAUGUGGCACAACCACAUUGCUUUAGGAGUCUUUUUUUUCUCACUUAGGCAGGCCCUCCUACCCUUUCUCUCUCGAAUAUUCUUCUUCCCCCUGUCUUUCUCCCUCUCUCUCAAGCCUUAACUUCCACCUCUCCACCUUCCCCUCCUAAUCCCUCUCUCUCUCUUUCGAAUCUUCUUCCAUGUCCCCUGUCUUCCCCCCUCUCUUUCUCAAGCCUUAACUUCCACCUCUCCACCUUCCCCUCCUAAUCCCUCUCUCUCUCUUUCGAAUCUUCUUCCAUGUCCCCUGUCUUCCCCCCUCUCUUUCUCAAGCCUUAACUUCCACCCCUCCACCUACCCUUUACAACAAAGGUAUUAAUUGCACAAACUCACAAUAAAGGUAAAUUUAUAUAGCACUAUUCUACCAAUCCUUAAAAAUGUAUAUUUGUAACCAAUACAUGUUCCACAUUAAAACAAGCAAAAUUUAAAAUAUCACAGUACUGUUCUAUUAUACCUUAAUAAUGUAUAUUUGUAAUGAAUACAUAUUUUCUAUCCUAAACCGAACAAAAUUUAAUAAAAUGCGUGAUGUAUAAGUGUGUGACUGUGGAAGCAACUUCUAAACUUUAAACCCUAACCUUAACCUUAACCCUAAACUCUAAAUUUAUAUAAAUGCAAUAAAAAAUAAUAUAUACCAAUAGUUUCUAAAAUUGAGUGAAUCUGCUACUCGGUGAUGAAGUCAGUAGUGCGGCAAAGGCGAAUGUAAAUAUUGAAUCCUAAACCCUAAAAAUAGAAAUUUUAUAUUAAAUAAAAAAAAAUAAAAGAACAAGAUUAUAUAAAUUAAAAGAAUUUCCUUUUUGGGUUAUGGCCGAGAGGUUAAAAAUCGCCCCCAAUUUCGACGCCCACGAGCAAAUGAACGAGUGACAAAUUCUGCGAUAGAUAGAGGAGCAGUUUGUAGUGUCAUACAAACAACGAGAAGCAAGCUCCUACCAAUGUAGAGAAUGAGAGAGAGGGAGAACUCUGAGACGGUUGGAGUAGAAUUUUCUAUAGAGUACGAAAAUGUGUGGAACGAAACAAUCACAGCGUGAGAGGCGAACUUCUACCCGAUGGAGAGAGGCGAGAGCGUGAGACAGAGGCGAGAGUAAAAGACAGAGAGCUCAGAGCUCACAGAGCAUGAAAUAGAAAGCUUCGGAGGGAAUGCGUUGAAUAUGGGAAAAGAUGGUGAGACUAUACCAAUUCUUAAUAAAUAUUUAAUUUAAUCUCAACCAUUAAUUCUCAAGUUGUAUGUUGUAUGGGAAGCCUAUUCCAUUUUAUAUAUCUGUGGCAUAGUGCGGCUCGCUAGUAGUGUACAUAAUAAUAAGCACACAAGCCGUGGAGCCGACUUCGUUCGCCAAAAGCUCUCCUUCCUGCUGCUGUCGAAACUAGAAAGAGAAGCUAGCCCGUCUCCGCUCCCCGCCUCUCCCCCUCGCCGCCGCCGAUGGCGUCGGCGGAGCCGAGGAAGAAGCCUGCCCCCGGGCGCGGCGGCGUAGUCUCCCUCCCCCCGGGGUUCUCCGAGGAGGAGGCGCGCGUCCGCGCCAUCGCGGAGAUCGUCUCCGCCAUGGCGGAGCGCUCGCGGCGCGGCGAGGACGUCGACCUGAACGCGCUCAAGUCCGCGGCGUGCCGCAAGUACGGCCUCGCCCGCGCCCCCAAGCUGGUGGAGAUGAUCGCCGCCGUCCCCGAGGCCGACCGCGCCGCCCUCCUCCCCCGCCUCCGCGCCAAGCCCGUCCGCACCGCCUCCGGCAUCGCCGUCGUCGCCGUCAUGUCGAAGCCCCACCGCUGCCCCCACAUCGCCACUACCGGCAACAUCUGCGUCUACUGCCCCGGCGGCCCCGACUCCGACUUCGAGUACAGCACCCAGUCCUACACCGGCUAUGAGCCCACCAGCAUGCGAGCCAUCCGAGCCAGGUCUCUCUCUCUCUCUCCAUCCCUAACCCCUCAAUUUUGAAUUCUCUUAUAUGCAUGCGAAAAGGCUUCUUUUUUCUGUUAUAUGUAGAAUACCGAAUUCUGGAUCGAAAUAAUUUGCAUGCUGUACAUACACAAUACCAGCAAUAUUAGGUCAUAUUCAAGAUUACCACAACCACAGCAAGCAAGAUGAAACUGCUGUUAGUAAUCAUAAGAUUGUUCGCACUUACAAUGAUAUACACUCGCAUCCUAUCUCAAAGUACGGCCUCGCCCUAUGAAUUGCCCUCUUUCAUCAUUGAUCGAAUAACGCCAUGUGGCGAAGCCCUGAUUUCGUACUGGGAGUACAGUUAAUCAAAGAUUUCUUGGUAUAUUUGAAACCAUAAUUGGUGCCAAAUAACCACACUAACAAUUUUUUUUUUCCUGUUUCCUAUAACAUAGCCAACUCUUUCCGUAAGAAGGCAUUUUUGGCUUAUUCAAAUGAAAAACAUAGAGCACCGGCAGGUAUUUAAAGAAAGAUGGUGUUAAAAAUACAUUUGUGGCUCUUGCUAGCUUACUUUCUUUUGAUUGGAGAUAGAAAACAAAAGGAAGGCAGGUAGUAUAGACAAUAGAAGGAAUACGUGACAGAACUAACAACCAUAGAUUUGCUCCAACUACUCCCUGCUGCAUAGUAUGCGGUGCCGACAAAUUUCUUCGUACUUCCCAUGAUUGAUCUCUCGACUCCUUAUACUUGCGGAUUGCAAUUAUGAACCAUCUACCCUACUCGUAAGGGCAUUUGAAUUUUGAAUGGGAUUCCCAUCAUGGUUAAAGGUUAUGUUGGGUCAACAUCUGUCUGUGUUUCUUUUGCUCUUGUAGCGGCUGAUGUGCUUAAUUUUUAUCAGUGUAGUGCUGUAGUGUAUAACUGACGUGGUGUGUUGGGUGUAGGCAAUAGUUUCUUAUGCAGUGAAGUUAAAUGCUGCAAUUAUAGAAGUUGUGCCUUCUAACUUGAUAAAUCAUUUUUUUCUAAAGGCAUGUUUAACAUUGUAGAGACAACCAAUGCAACUUACCGAUUUUUUGUUUUUUGAGCUCCAACCUUAUAAAAUUGAAUGUUGGUGGAUGGUUUUUUGUGAUGUUAAAUAAACCUCCUAACUACAAGUACGGUAAUAAUGAUUUGAAUCUAUGAUUCUUUUGUUUCUUUCUUUUACUAAUAUGAAAUGUUACCACUGUACUGGUUUAAUCCUGUAUAUGGUUUAGUCAGAAAGUCAAUCUUGUGAAUAUAACUUAGGAGUGAGACUAUUUAUCUGAUAUAAAUCUAUUAUGUUAUUUGCAAAGUAGUUGUUGCUCCUUAAUGUUUAAAUAAGGCUAAGGGUGUAAUGUGGGCACUGGGCUGUGCCAUGCUGCUAUGACCCACAUUUACCUGUGCCGUGCCAACAUGAUUCGCAGUCAACCAUGCUGAAAUAGAUCUGAGACCGAUUUGGCAUUGCACAGGACUAAAACUAUGCCUUGUUGUGUCGGGCCGGCUUUCCUAAAUCAGCAGCGUAGCGUGGCCACUUGGUUUGGACGUACCGGAGUAUUUUUUUUUUCUGUUUUUUAUAUAAUUUUAUAAAAAUUUAAAUAAAAAAUGGACCAAAAUGAAUCCCAAUACCCUAUCUUUUCUAGCUAUUGGGGGGAUAUUUUGUCUUAGAAAACAAAAAAAAUAUUUCUAUUGAAUCCUUUGGGACUUGUUUCUAUCCCUUCCAAAGUCUUAAGGAGAGUAAGUUUUGAACCAAGGUCGAAGGGCCCAGGACCAAGUUGCCAAGGCAAGAAAGCUCAAUGGCUAGUUCUACAAUCUACAUUCUCGAAUAAGACCAUGCUAGGGCCACUACCACGCUUAACCAAACUAGCAUUUCUUUGCGGCUUUGACCUGCUCUCUUAUUCUGAUGCUAAGAUUGAAAAUCCCUAAGAACAAUAAUGAAACAAAUCAGACAAUAAUAACAACUCCAACCUUUGUUGCACUCCUCCAUUAUUUAUUCGCAAAUAAUCUGCUAUAGUGCUAUAAUAAAGAAAACAAUAAUAGUUUGAUUUAUAGUGACCAAUAAUUAUGACCUAUCACUUGAAAGAAAGACUCUUCAUUCAUAUUUCUUAACCAACAUCCAAUCAAGCAUCACCAACUAAUUGGGGAGUUUGAUGGCACUAUCGAGAAGCAGAAGCUCAAACUAUAAAGAGUGGAGGAGGAGAGAUGAUACUUCUGGUGAUUAUAUAAUCGAUUUUAUUGUGUGAUUCCUCACACAUCUUUGUGUGUUGGUGUUGUGUGCGCUCGUAUAAGAGAGAGAGAGAUUCAAUUAAGCACAAAAGAGUUAGAGAGUUCCUUUGUAAUAUCAAGCAUUCAAGUAAGCAAUAAAGAGUCGGAGGGUUCAUUUGUAAUAUCAAGAGAAGGAAGUUGGAGCAAGAAUAAGGGAGAUGACACUUCAUUAUGCGAUUCCUUUUGAUAUGUGUGUGGGCGCUAGAGAGAGGGGGGAGAGAGAGAUAUGAACGAUGGAGGAUCUUAUAUUUGGUACUAGUGGGCUUGUCAGGAUCAAAGAAUGGGCACUUAUAGUUCAUUAAGGUAGCGUUUGGUUCGGGUAUAAGCAAGAACUAGCUAUUGCAGGGAUAGGUACAAGUAUGGGGAUAAGCAAAAUAGCGCUUGGAUGAAAAUUGGGUUGUUCCCGGGGAUAAGAAAAAUAGCGUUUGGAUAGAUAAUAUGGAAUAAGAAAAAUAGUGGGUAGUUAUAUAUAGAAAAUGGAGGUGUUGGUGGGGAUAAUUAUACCAGCUUAUUUUAGGUACCUAAGAAUUACUAUUCUCGGAUAAAAAAUUUGCGUUUGGGUAUAAAAGGGGGAUAAGGGGUUAU